rnacentral:lncRNA from 1 species
UCUUAUACAUCUAAUUAAGUUAUUGAUAAUUCACCUAAGAAAUAGAAAUAUGUCGAAGAGCCUUAGUUUCAUCAUCUUGGCUUUACUCGUAGUGGCAAACACUGAAAGUAGACUUAUUUUAGCCAAUCAUAUUGGCCAAGGAUCUACCGCAGAUGUAUCAUUUUCCAGUAAUCCUACAGCAUCACCAGACAUUGUUGAUUGCUCAGGGAUUACAAGGGAAGAGUGUUUGAUUGCGAAGCUAAAGAAAGCUCUCGAAGACUAUAUCUAUCAUUGUCCCCCGGGGGGAUGCAAAUGAUUUUGAUAAUCAGUUAUUUCUUUUAUCUUUUAUGAGUGCUUUUGCAACAAUGAUCAAGUGUAGUGAAAUUGAAACUAUAUCUUAAUAAAAAAAGAAACUAAUCCAUUAUGAGUGUGCAAUGUUAUGAUAUGUGCCUUUUGUACGUGCAUCUGACGCUAUUUUGUUGUAUACAAAUCGUUAACUCAAUCGAUGAGAGAGUAAUUUGUUGAAAUACUAAUAAUGAUCAUUAUUACUGUGUUAGUACUAGUAAUAUUUGAACGUUCAAUCCAUUUCCUCUUCGGGUGAGGCUGUAUCCUCACAAAAAGGGGAAAAAAAACCCUUGUAUUUUAUCAAAAUCUUAUAUUACUAAACUGAUUGAGUUAAUUUAAGGGAAAAAUUCAAUUUAAUUGCCUGAACUAAUUUAUGUAUAGACUUCAAUUUAAAUUAUGAAAAUAUCAAUUUUACCCCAAAAAACGUGAACACAUCAUCUUACCCAUUUUUAUUACUAAAAAAAUAGAUUAAAAAAUUCAUUUACGCUUAUCUUCUGAACAAAAAUUGAGGUAAGUUGAGCUUUUCACGAUUUUGAAGGGAAAAUUGAAGAUUUUUAUUUGCAGGAGAAUGAAUUGAAGUUUGCCCAGUUAAUAUAACAAAAUUUUCCUAUUAUUCUGGCACCUAUUGACCUCAUCUACUAAAAAUACAAAAGUCUUUCUCUAAUUAGAUGCAAUGUUGUCAUGGCGGAUUCGCAAAUUGCGUUCAAGAUGAAAAAAAAUUAAUGCAAGUAAAUGGACAAUUUGUUGGCUAAGCCGCACAAUAGAAGUCACAUGUAAUUGUAACCAGAAUUUUAAUUUCAUCACUUGAAAAUAAAAAUAUUGGCUUUUAAUUUCUUUUAUUUUAUGUUAUUUUAUUUCAUUUAAGAAAAACUUGUUAGUAAUUACAAAAUUGUUUCAAGCAGUUGCUUCUAAAUGCAAAUAUGUACUAUUUUAUUUAUUUGCGAUGGCUAGUUUGGCUUUAAUUUAAGAUUUGUCUUUGAAAUUUAGAUAUUUCUUUAUUCUUGUUAUAUAACUAAAUAAUAUAAUAUUUAUACUUGAUUGAUGACUUAAAAUGAUAAUAUGUUAGUUUGUUAAUUUUUAUGCAGCUAGUAUGGUAAGAAAUUGUUUUUGAUAAGACAAUAGUGAAAUCAGAGAUAACAAUAAGAUUAAUCAUUUAAUGAUGCAAAAUAUAGGCUUCAUCAUGUUGGCUCCUACAAAUUUAAGACCUAGAUGUUGUUAUUACUAAGAAUAACAAGUAGGAAUUUUAAUCAAUGUUGUCAGUUUUAGCUUUUCUUUUUCGGUCUUUCUAUUGUAAUGCUCUUGAGAUGUUAUGAAUUAAACAAAUACAAGUUCUUAAUCACACGCUCUUAUUAGAUGGGAAGCAUCAUAAAAAGAAGAAGCAAAUUCUCAAAUUGGGUGGCCAAAAAAACUUGUGGCAAUAAAUUAAGUCUUUUGAGCAAGCUGGGGGAUUCAAGCCUACUGUGUACAUUGAAUAGAAAAGUAGCAACAAGUGGAUAAUGAGUCCAAUGAAGCCAAUAACAAAUGCUACUUUAAUUUGGUCACCGUAUUAAGGUGCUUGGAGGUAAACUUGUGUCCAACCUACUAAUGAAACGUAAAAUUGUCAAAGAUUUUUAGUUUCAUUAUCGCCUAAAAUUAUUGAUUGCUCAAGACUUACCAGGGAAGAGUGUUUGAUUGAAAAGCGAAAAUAGGCUCUCAAAGACUCUAUCUACCCUUGUUCCGCAAGGGGAUGCAAAUGAACUUGAUAAUCAGUUAUUUCUUUUAUCUUUUAUGAGUCCUUUUGCAGUAAUGAUCAAUUGUAGUGGAAUUAAAACUAUGUUUUAAUAAAAGAAGAAAUUAAUCCAUUAUGAGUACGAAAUAUUAUGUCAUGUUUUUUUUGUGUGUGCGCCUAGUGCUAUUGACUCCUACAAAUUCAAGACCCAUAUGUGGUUAGCACGAAGAAUAACAUGUAAGAUUAAUUAGUUCAAGGAAUUUUCGUUAAUGUAUUUAGUAUUCAACUUUUCUUAUUUUGUCUCUCUUCUGCAAUGUUUUUGGGAUGUUAUGAAUUAAACAAAUACAAUCUCCAAUUCACACACUCUUAUUAGAUAGGAAGCAUCAUAAAAAGAAGAAAUAAAUUCUGAAAGUGGGUGACCAAAAAGACUUGAGAUAGUGAAUCACCUCUUUGAACAAGUAGGGGAUUCAACACUACUGUAUGGAUGAAUAAGGAAGCAAAAGCAAGGAGAUGAUGAGUCCAAUGAAGCCUGCAGCUAAUUCUCCUGUAACUUUGUGGUAGUACAGGGACACUUGGAGGCUAACUGGUAGCUAGCUUGCUAAUGAAUUCCACCUCUUCCCCACUUGAGCAAUUGCCAAGGUAGCCGAUAUGCUUGGUGUGUAUAACACUAUGAAAACCAAUUGAUCCAAAGUAUUGAACAAAAUCAACAAGAAUUACGUCCAAUAUAAAUGCUUAAAUUAUCCAUACUUGAGCAAUUAAUUAUUUAAACUUUGCAUACAUACAUAAUUGUCAAACCAUCCAGUAAUUAAUGUCGAUGCUCAUAAUAUCUUGAGCUUUUAUUAUAGUUUAAUUAACGCUUUUAGAUUUGGUUCAAUGCUCUGGUGAGUUACAACAAUUUUGCCUCCACAUUUAUGUCAGAUAAUGCUUUCCACUGUUUGCAUAUUGCAUUAUUACACGAAUCUUAAUCUAAAACUUUUCAAUAUUUGUGUAAAAUGAUAUUAACAGAUAAUUUGAUGAUUCACAAAAAUGAUUGAGUACUGAUGAAGCUUGGCUUGGACUAGGUCGUUUUAUAUUGAAUAAAUGUGUAGGACUGAUUAUGUGCCAUUUUUCGAGUGGUGAUAUUGAACCUUCUCAAAAUAUCUUUUCAGCCAUCACCUUUUAAUUAAUUUACUUAAUUAGCAAAAGUAUCCUUUUCCUCGCUCUAGCAUUCACUUUGUUGUUUUUGGCCUGUCUUAUGAUAGUUGUGGUGGCCAUGAAGCUGAACAAAAAAAGCUUCAAUAUAAUAUCAGCACAUCCUCUCUGCCAUGCUAUCAUAGAUAAUUACAUUAAUUUCUCUUUUAAUAAAUGGUUUCUGUAAAUUUAGCGUCUUUAACACUAAUGUUGUUUGUUUCUUUUGAUCAUGUUAAAUUUCACUUUUAAAAAAAUGUUGGUUCUAUAAUAUUCGGACUCAGUACAUAAUGCUUAUAUUAGAAUUUCAACUUGAUGAUAUUGGAUAUUUGACAUUGUUAUAGAGAUUGAUGUAAUUGCAUUUGAGGUGCUUUAUUGAUUUGCUGUUAGUGAGAAGUUAAAAUGCGUAUACUUGGAGGAAAAUUAAUGUAAAAUUAUCCGGUACUUUUUCUUUUUCAAAUGGUCUGCCGCUGCUGUAGAAUCUCAUGGAUAUACAAUACAGCCUCUCUAAAUUAAUAACAGAAUCAUACAAUUCUAUUAAUAUAAAGAGAUACUUAUAUUAAUUAAUCUAUAAGUUAAUAAUCUUUUAAUUUAUAGAGUGUAUAUACAAUUAAGUGAACAUAUAUUUAAUCAACUAGAUAAUUCGUAGUAUUUUACCAACAUAGCCAAUUCAAAAUUAAUUAAUCCCCUAAAUAUAGAUUACAAUUAACCAAAAAAAAAAAGAAUUACUGUUGUUUUGAAUUCCGCAGGGAUAAGUAAUAUCAGAGAUGAGAUCCCACUAUGUUUAGAUUUGAAGAAAAACAAAUAAUAAUCGAGUCAUGUUUUAUUUAAUAACAUAUUAUAACAAUUAUGUUUGUAAGCCCAGUAAAUUAUUAUUUUAUAGUAAGAAUGUGACCAUACAAUUAUAAAACAUAAUCUCUUAUACAACUUAUUGAUUGAUUAAUAUCAAUAUCUCUUUAAAUUAAUAGAUGUUGCAUGAUUUAUUUAUUAUUAAUUUAUAGAAGUAUUACUGUAUAUCCAUGCAAAUAUAUAGGAUUGAUUGUGUCACUGGCUUGCUUAAAAUAGGAUGUGGUUAAUUUUGUUGGAGGGCGUGGCUUCUAGAAACAUCUUUACAUAUUAAAACAAUAGUUUGACGAUUGAUAUAAUGAGAAAGAAUCUAACAAUAAACUAAACAUAAUAAUAACACUAAAAACGAUCAAAUUAAUUUAAUGUAUGUUAAAAUUGUCAUCGUAAUGCAACAUGAUAUUAAAGUCAAUAGUUAAUUUAAACAAACACAACAUAAUUUAUUUAAUCCUCAUUUAUGGAAUCUUUCAAUUCCAUUAAAGUCACUGCAACUCGUUUCUCAAUAUUCAUUCAUAUAAAUAGAGACUCAUGAUGCCCUGAUUGAUGUAGAUCUCUUAUACUUCUAAUUAAGUUAUUGAUAAUUCACCUAAGAAAUAGAAAUAUGUCGAAGAGCCUUAGUUUCAUCAUCUUGGCGUUGCUCGUAGUGGCAAACACUGAAAGUAAACUUAUUUUAGCCAAUCAUAUUGGCCAAGGAUCUACCACAGAUGCGUCAUUUUCCAGUAAUCCUACAGCAUCACCAGACAUUGUUGAUUGCUCAGGGAUUACAAGAGAAGAGUGUUUGAUUGCGAAGCUAAAGAAAGCUCUCGAAGACUAUAUCUAUCAUUGUCCCCUGGGGGGAUGCAAAUGAUUUUGAUAAUCAGUUAUUUCUUUUAUCUUUUAUGAGUGCUUUUACAACAACGAUCAAGUGUAGUGAAAUUGAAACUACAUCUUAAUAAAAAAAAGAAACUUAUCCAUUAUGAGUGUGCAAUGUUAUGAUAUGUGCCUUUUGUGCGUGCAUCUGAUGCUAUUUUGUUGUAUACAAAUCGUUAACUCAGUAUAUGAAAGAGUAAUCUGUUGAAAUACUAAUAAUGAUCAUUAUUACUGUGUUAGUACUAGUAAUAUUUGAACGUUCAAUCCAAAAGGGAAAAACAAACCCUUGUAUUUUAUCGAAAUUUUAUAUUACAAAACUGUUUGAGUUAAUUUAAGGGAAAAAUUCAAUUUAAUUGCUAAUUUACGUAUAUACUUCAAUUUAAAUUAUGAUAAUAUCAAUUUUACCCCAAGAAACGUGAACACAUCAUCUUACCCUUUUUUAUUACUAAAAAAAUAGAUUAAAAAAUUCAUUUACGCUUAUCUUCUGAACAAAAAUUUAGAUAUUUCUUUAUUCUUGUUAUAUAACUAAAUAAUAUAAUAUUUAUACUUGAUUGAAGACUUAAAAUGAUAAUAUGUUAGUUUGUUAAUUUUUAUGCACCUAGUAUGGUAAGAAAUUGUUUUUGAUAAUACAAUAGUGAAAACAGAGAUAACAAUAAGAUUAAUCAUUUAAUGAUGCAAAAUAUAGGCUUCAUCAUGUUGGCUCCUGCAAGUUUAAGACCUAGAUGUUGUUAUUACUAAGAAUAACAAGUAGGAAUUUUAAUCAAUGUUGUCAAUUUCAGCUUUUCUUUUUUGGUCUUUCUAUUGUAAUGCUCUUGAGAUGUUAUGAAUUAAACAAAUACAAGUUCUUAAUCACACGCUCUUAUUAGAUGGGAAGCAUCAUAAAAAGAAGAAGCAAAUUCUCAAAUUGGGUGGCCAAAAAAACUUGUGGCAAUAAAUUAAGUCACAUGUAAUUGUAACCAGAAUUUUAAUUUCAUCACUUGAAAAUAAAAAUAUUGGCUUUUAAUUUCUUUUAUUUUAUGUUAUUUUAUUUCAUUUAAGAAAAACUUGUUAGUAAUUACAAAAUUGUUUCAAGCAGUUGCUUCUAAAUGCAAAUAUGUACUAUUUUAUUUAUUUGCGAUGGCUAGUUUGGCUUUAAUUUAAGAUUUGUCUUUGAAAUUUAGAUAUUUCUUUAUUCUUGUUAUAUAACUAAAUAAUAUAAUAUUUAUACUUGAUUGAUGACUUAAAAUGAUAAUAUGUUAGUUUGUUAAUUUUUAUGCAGCUAGUAUGGUAAGAAAUUGUUUUUGAUAAGACAAUAGUGAAAACAGAGAUAACAAUAAGAUUAAUCAUUUAAUGAUGCAAAAUAUAGGCUUCAUCAUGUUGGCUCCUGCAAAUUUAAGACCUAGAUGUUGUUAUUACAAAGAAUAGCAAGUAGGAAUUUUAAUCAAUGUUGUCAGUUUCAGCUUUUCUUUUUCGGUCUUUCUAUUGUAAUGCUCUUGAGAUGUUAUGAAUUAAACAAAUACAAGUUCUUAAUCACACGCUCUUUUUAGAUGGGAAGCAUCAUAAAAAGAAUAGCAAAUUCUCAAAUUGGGUGGCCAAAAAAACUUGUGGCAAUAAAUUAAGUCUUUUGAGCAAGCUGUGGGAUUCAAGCCUACUGUGUGGAUUGAAUAGAAAUGUAGCAACAAGUAGAUAAUGAGUCCAGUGAAGCCAAUAACUAAUGCUGCUUUAAAUUGGUCACCGUAUUAAGGUGCUUGGAGGUAAACUUGUGGCCAACCUACCAAUGAAACGUAAAAAUGUCAAAGAUUUUUAGUUUCAUCAUCGCCUAAAAUUAUUGAUUGCUCAAGAAUUACCAGGGAAGAGUGUUUGAUUGAAAAGUUAAAAUAGGCUCUCAAAGACUCUAUCUACACUUGUUCCGCAAGGGGAUGCAAAUGAACUUGAUAAUAAGUUAUUUCUUUUAUCUUUUAUGAGUCCUUUUGUAGUAAUGAUCAAUUGUAGUGGAAUUAAAACUGUGUUUUAAUAAAAGAAGAAAUUAAUCCAUUAUGAGUACGAAAUAUUAUGUCAUGUGUUUUUUGUGUGUGCGCCUAGUGCUAUUGAUGUUGAGUGUUAGAAAAUGUGUAUUUAUAAAGGAGAAAAUCGUUAUUUUACACUUCAAGUUUUACUAACACCCUUACUUUUAUGUAUUUAACCUUCUUGUGAUUUAAUUACGUGUGUUUUAUUUUAAUUAAGUAUUUUAUGUAUUUUAGGGGCAUCAUAGUCAUUUCACAAUGAACGAGAGAUCAGACGACAAAACGGACAUCACUUUUGAACUCAGAAUGGUCGAAAACCUUAGGAGGAACAUAAAAGGAAAAAUGGCACUGUUCACAUGUACCGUACUAUUCACAUGUACGGUACUGUCUACGUUACUGUUCACGACACUGUUCACAUUGACGGAUCGAUGACGUAGCAUUGACCGAUGAUGUGGCUUGACUGAUGAGGUGUCACGAUCCUGUUGGACUAAAAUUCUUAUGUACUGUUGAUGGUGACGUGGUAGCACAUCAGUGGACCAAAAAUCUCGCGUACGGUACAUGUAUUACACAAGAUUAUUUUCAACCAAACCGCGUCACUAUUCAAGUCGGGUCAAACCAUGUUACUAUUCACCCACGUGGUCAAACCGCGUACUGUUGACUGAUGACGUGGCGCAAUCCUGAGCGUCCGAAAUGUUUUCGAUCUGAUGGCCAUGAUUUACUCAAUGUAUCUAUAAAAAGGGGGCCUCUCCCCCACCCCCCUAAUUGGAUACCUCUGAAUCCAUUUUUGGACUCCAUUUUCUGUAAUUCCUUCUCCAUCUUGUAUUUUCUACGUAUUUUAAUAAAUUCUCAUUUUACCCCUAGUUCAAUUAUGAGUAGCUAAUUUUCUUUCAAACUUGGGUUGAUGGUGAACUCUCAACAUGUGUCAUGGGCUUUAUUUGGUAAAUUUACUUUCUCUUCCCCUCUAAUUUUUGUGAAUGAUUUGACUUUUCGUCGACAAAUAAUAAUAAUCUUGUCUAGAUACCGCCUUGGUUUCACCGGCUCUCUAGUACAAGGUUAUUAUUAUUUGGCACGAUAAGCCCUUUAGCACCAUAUUGAUUAGAGUGUGGUUUAUGAGGUGUGAAUUCCCCCCUCAUGAUUUAAUUGGCACUAAUAAGGAAUAUUUAGCCCAUGGUGCAUGUUGAUACGGAUCCAGAUACCCAAGUACGUCAAUUUAAUAGAUUUUCACUUCAAUUUAUUAUUGCCAUCUUAAACCAAAUAAUUUUCACCACAAAUCCAACCACCCUCAUACAAAAUUAAUUCUACAUAUAAUUAAAAUCCACCUCCUCGUGUGAUCGACACUCGUCACCAUUAAUCUAUUCUACAAUAGAUUCGUGCACUUGCGAGUUCAAUAAAAUUUGCACAACAAGUUUUUGGCGCCGUUGCCGGGGAGGUAAGUUAUUUUAAUUCGUAGAAUUAAUUUUUGUGAAUAAUUUCUUUUAAUUGUUUUCUUGUAAUUUUUUUUAUUAAAAAAAGAAAAAAAAAAGUGAAUCUACAUUUAGAGGUAAGAAUUUCUUUUCUUUUUCUCUUUUUUAAAAUUCUGUAAUUUAAUUUUCAAUUUAAUUUUCUUUGUAUUUUUUUUGUUUAGCUUAUUAAUUUAUUUUUAGCCAAUUUAUUUCAUGUAUUUUUUAAGUUCUUUUUUAUAGAAAGGUUGUAACAGCGUGAUAAGGUUAGUAUCGUAAUUUCUCAUUUUUCUUUAUUUUUAUUCAUUUUGUUCCCAUUUAUUUUUUGUUCUAUGCAUGCAUGGUCGUAGGUCAUUAUUACCUAAUCUUGAACCUAUAUUCCCUUCACUUCCUCAGAAUGCCCUCCUUACGAUCUAUAAAGCUCGGUCCGAACGCAUGCGAUUACUCAUGAGGAAUAACAUACCUGCUGAUAUCCGUUGGUUAAUCGAGGCUAAAGUACGAUCAGCAGGUGAGUUACCUCCAAAAUUUAUUGCAUACAUGCCUGGUUGUGGUAAAGGAAAUUAUGCAAGAAAAUGACGAGCUCGAAGAAUUUCUGUUGCUUGUUAUAAGUGUGCCAGAAUGAGUUGCAAUAGAAACCCAUGUUCUUUAGGAAUGGUGUCUGAUAACAGAGAAGAUAAGAUUCAAUUUAUUAGGGAUGGCUUGAAUAAGGAGUCAUUGGAUGAUAUCCUUCUGUCUCUUGAAACGCAUCCCAGUGGAUAUGUGCAAGGAGCGAUUCUCCAGUUAUGGCCAUUAUUCUAGAAAGAGCAUGCACGAUAUAGUCUCGGGAAUCUGACUAUAAACGACCCUGUUUGCCAGUUUAUAAGAAAACUGGAUGGGAAACCUAUCCUCGACCCAUAGAGGGCGUUCAAGCCGUUUCUGGACGUAAAACCAGAGGAAGAUGUGAGCCACAGUCGCAACUACCUGUAAAUAUCCUUUUACUUUACUGUGAUUUUAUUUCACUGUUGUUUUAUUGUUUGCAUUAUUGUCUUUAAUAAUUUUAUUACUGUUUGCUUUUUCCUUUUUACUGUUUCCUUUAUGACUCGCGAGCCAUGUGCUUUACGCGUUAUUUGACACUGACAUGCUACCUCAUACACAGCUGUGACCCACUGUCACCAAGACUCUUAAAUGUGAUUUCUUUUGUCAAACACUCACAAAUUGUUUUUGAGAAGUAUCCCAAUGGCAGCUACUCUCAAUAGACAAUUCAAGAACAUUUGUGUGCUUUCUGGAUUUACCUAUGGCAAACAUAAAGAGUUCGUUGAGGCAGCCAUAGAUCUUGGUUGAAGCAUAGCAGCGAGAAAAUUACACUUGGUGUAUGGAGGAGGUAACCGAGGGUUAUCAAAAAUAGUCUCAGAAGCAGCUUUUAUCAGAGGAAGUCAAGUGUUAGACAUCAUCCCCAGAGUCCUAAAACCAUUGGGCAGUUCGUCUGACUCAUCAACUGGAGAAGAGUUAGUCAUCUCAGGUAUGCAAGACAGAAUAACUGAAAUGCUUAAUCAUGCUGAUGCUUUUAUUUUCCUUCCAGGAGAUCUUGCAACACUAGAGGCACUUAUCACACUAGCAUCUUGGGCCCAUCUGCACAUCCACCAGAAACCCAUCGGUUUGUUAAAUGUCAAUAACUUUUAUGAUGGCUUUAUCGCAUUUCUUAACCAUGCAAUAAAAAACUAUUUCAUUCCUUCUAAUGUAAAAAAACUUUUUAUUUGUGCUCACAUUGCUAAUGAGCUACUUGAUCUGUUACAAGCUUAUAAACCGGAGCCAGACCCCUGGACCUUUGUGUUGGAGCACCCAAAUAAUGAUGGUAACAGUAGCCGCAGUAAGAAGUACAAAUUAGAUUUAACUCUCCCCUUGUAAAUAUUUUCUUCUGUGUUGCACCACCCAGGUGAUGUCUUCUAAACUCUACUUCUUUCCUUUAAAACAUUGAGGACAAUGUUUCGUUCUGGUUGGGGGGAGGGAAUAGUCGACAAUUGUGGAAUCUUGGUUAAGUUUUUACUGAUUUUUUGUUGUAGAAACUAAUUGUUGCUAACAUUUUGUGUUGAAGAUGGCUGAAUAUGGAGUGUAGUUACUCUAGAAACGCAUCUUCAUCGUUUAAAAAAAAAACAAAAAAAAACCGUUUUCUUCCUCUUUCUCCUUUAUAAAUAUAUAUUUUCAAAUUUUUUGAGUCGAAGAUGGCUGAAUAUGGAGUGUAGUGCCUCUAGAAACGCAUCUUCUUAGUUAAAAUUUUUUUUUUCUUUUUCUAAUUAAUUUUUCUACAUCAUUUUCACAUUUCUACAUGCAUAUUUUCCUUUCAUGUUUAGAAUAGGUUAGGGGGUAGAAUGUUGUUUAAAAAAAAAAAUUGUGUGAUUUGUUUUAACAUUGGAUGACAUGAUUAAUUUUAAAUUUUAGUAUUUGUAUUAUCUUUGGUCUUAAGUGAUGUUACAUUAUGUUUGCUACUCUACAUGUUGAUGUCGAAGACAAAUAUGAGUUGCUUGAAGAAAUGAACAUGUCAUAAUAAGUACCAAGUGAGUUUUUGAGCCUAUUAUUUUUCUUGGAGAGUAACCCUUUUGCCCAUUCUCUAUACAGCUUAGCAGUUUAUUAUUUUAUACACGAUCUCUAGAUUUCUUUUGAGUUAACCCUUAAAAAAAAAUGGUAAAAUUAAAAAAAGAAAAAAAAAUGUGUUGCUACAUUUGGAGGCCCAUCUAACUAGUAGAUAUGGAAGGUUAUUUAGAGCCCUAAAAGACGAUGGAAAGGCCAUAUUUGAUCCGCUUGAGCCUUUCUAGCCAUCCUUUUUAUCAAAUAUCCAUAGUUAACCAUUUUGAGCCUUUAAAGAAAAAAAAAAAACUUUUUAUUUGUUAAACUUAUCAUCUUGACCCACUCCGAUUUGGAGUAUUACCCGAUGUCUUAUAAGUUCCAUCACCUAUUUAUGUUUGAGAAAAUGUAAAUAAUUAUUUUGUUCAGUGAAGUUAUGCAAAAAAAAAAAAAAAAAAAAAAAAUCUCUGCAUUUUUCUCAAACAUACACUUUGUUUUCCUUAUUUCCCUUCUGUGUUAGCCAUGUCCCUAGCCUACGUUACGUCCUAAUAAAAGUCCUUCUUGAUUUUAGGGAACUAUAGUUUGAAGUAGAAGCUAGUUAUAUGGGCUAAAAAGAUGUAGUGGUGCAUAAUAAUAAAAGAAAAAGAGAUAAAUAAAAUGGGUUGACUAGCAUUUUUGUUUGACUUGAGAUCGUAUUGUUUCUAAGCUGAGGGCAUAUUUCUUUCAUCUUGGUGAGAGCAUGUGAUAUCACUUCUUUAUUAUUUUCUCUCAAUUACCAUUCAUUGGAGUGACUAUUUUUAUUGGGUUUAAUUUCUUUGUGAGAGUGUCACUGCUUCUAGUGAGAUUUUGGGGUUUGACAUGUCAUUCUUGAAAGUAGCUAUAACAACGUCUACUGGGCUGAUUCAUGUGGAUGGUUGAUGUGGGUGUGAUGUUUCUUUAGACUGGAGAUAAUGCUUAUACUUUUAUUUGAUUGCUAUCAUUAAUCUGAUUGAAUAAACAAAUUGAAACGGCUUACUGGACGAAACCGGAUUUCUGGAUAGCCGGUUAUGCAAACCGGAAAUCCGGAUUCGCGUGGCUAGGUCACUGCCAACAACCGGUUAGCCGGUUAGGGAUUUCUAAAAAUCUGGAAUCGCGAGUAGAUAAACUAUUCAUCUCCUCCUUUAUCUUUCGGUAAACCGGAAAGCUUUCUCUCUCUAUAACCGAUUAUUCCUCUCUCAUUUUCUCUCCAAAAUCCAUCAUUUUCACAUGUUUUUUUUGCAAAUGGAUCCAUGAAACUUGUUUCCCAUCCUUUCUUGUAUCCAAAAUCAUCCUUCAAACCCUUUUUCAACCUCAAAAUCAAUAGAUCCGAAAUCGAUUCUAGGGUUUAAGCCGAAACUUCUCUCUCUAGAUUUCUCUCUUUGAAGUCGUUUUUGAUCGAAAUUGCUUCUCAAAAUCUCUUUCCAUCCUUAUUAUCUCCCUUCUCAUUGAUUUAUUUCACUUCAAAUUAAUCAAACUCACCAUGUCAAGCUCACGGCCGGUUCGAAGGAAAGGCAAAGAACCGGUUCAACAUACCAACCGGUCAUGACAAGCAGGGGGCACAUCCAAUCAAGCCAACUUUGAGGCCACACACUUUCAGAACCAUAAACAUCUAGCCAAACGAUUUCACCAACAGUUCAUGACUCGUGAGGUACUCCAAACCUUUUUUGUUUUACCGGAUUGGUUAAAUAAUCUUAGUAUUAGCAAUAGAACUUUAUUGCAAUUGUUGGAAGAUGUUGGUUGGCUUAAUGCAAUUGUUUUUGAGGAAAAUGUAUAUCCCGACUUGGUGAAAGUGUUUUGCCCGAAUAUGGAUUGUUCCGCGGAGAAAGAGAAUCGAGUAAUCACCACAGUUGGAGGAGUUUCGAUUAAGUUUGAUGAUUCAGAGUUGAACUCUAUCCUAGGAACUUCCGAUGAUGGCCUAGAAAUAUUUUCACCUAGGAAACCUCCUGAUAUUGAUGACUAUGUUCAUAUUGAUACUGUUAAGAAUAUAUGUCAUCGUAUUGACCUUUCGGAUGACGAUUGUACUAUCCAUUUUCGCACCCGAUGUCUUUGUCUUCAAACUCGGAUAUUACUUCGUUUUAUUCAGAGUAUUGUGCUUCCUAGAUCAGGCCAUUUAGAUGAGGUUUCUCAUAUGGAUGUUGCCUUGAUUGAUUGUAUUCUUAGACAUCGUCCAGUCGACUUAGGAUACACCAUUGUCCGAAACAUGCUUAGUAUACCUAAGUUGAUUACUCGUUCCCUUCCGUAUGGUCAUUUCAUCACCCGAAUCCUUAAAUACUUUAGCGUCCCUAUCGAAGAACCAUCAUGUAGGCCAUCUAAGAGCAUUGGGGAUGAGGCUGUUAGUUCUUUAGGUUUUGAGUGUCGUAAUGGCACUUGGGUAAAAGUCGCUGAUAAUAAGUUCACCUUUAUUGCUCCAAGUGAUGAUCGGCCACUUAAUGUUGUGGUUCCAGCCAUCAGCUACCUGAUUUUUCGCUUUCAUUUCGGGGUCAGCGUAGAGGUCGAGCUCCUUCAGUGUCUCCCUCAGCUCCUGCACCUGCUUUACCACAUCCCAAGCCUCCUACUUCUGAAGAAGUUACUCUUCAGCAGCUUAUGGAUGAAGUGAGGACACUCUCUGUACGGCAGACUGAGUUUCAGCAGCAGCAACAGCAACUUAUUCAUGGACAACGCCUCCUCUUUGAGCACUUCGGCAUUCCAUAUCUGUAUCCACCUCCAUCACCACCAUCUUCACCCCCUCAGUAGUCUCUUAUGCUUGUAUUUGGACACACCUACAUUUCAUUAUGAUUUUGGAUUAUGUAUUUGUUUUGAAUGAUAUGGAUUUGUUUUGAUUGUUUGAUAUUUCAUGGAUAAAUUAUUGUUUUGAAUUUCGGAUUUGGACCUAUUUGAAAAUAUUUAAAUGUUUUCAGUCAUUCUAUAAUUUAUGAUAUUUUGGAUCAUAUCUUAAUUUCAUAAAGUUUUGGCUUUAAUAAAGUAAUAAUUAGAAAUUCUGAAAUUGGACCUAUAUGAAAACUUUUAUCACGUUUUGGGUCAUAACAUAGUUUCAUAUAGUUUUGAGGUCAAACUGUAUUUUAAAAACAUAAUUCAUUGUAACACUUCACAUGGAAUAUAUAACUUAUCACGUAAAGUUGGCAACAUGGACGUCAAACAUGAAACGACCAAGAAUAAUCGAGAAUUUUAGCUUUAUCCAAAACAUGCAACAUCGUACGUCAAACAUGAAAUCCUACCGUCAGACAUGCAACAACUGACGUUAAUUAUGAAACUUACAAUACUUCACGUUAAAUAUGCAACUUAUCACGUAAAGUUUGCAACAUGGACGUCAAACAUGAAACGGGCGAGAAUAUUCGAGAAUAUUCUUUAUUUUGGCUUUAUUCAACACAUGCAACCUCUAACGUAAAACAUGCAACCGUUACGUCGGACAUGCAACAACUGACGUUAAACAUGAAACUUGCAACACUUCACGUGAAAUAUACGACUUAACACGUAAAGUUCGCAACAUAGACGUCAAACAUGAAACGGGCGAGAAUAUUCGAGAAUAUUCUUUAUUUUGGCUUUAUUCAACACAUGCAACCUCUAACGUAAAACAUGCAACUGUUAGGUCGGACAUGCAACAACUAACGUUAAACAUGAAACUUACAACACUUCACGUGAAAUAUACGACUUAUCACGUAAAGUUCGCAACAUGGACGUCAAACAUGAAACAUGCGAGAAUAUUCUUUAUUUUGGCUUUAUUCAAGACAUGCAACCUCUAACGUAAAACAUGCAACUGUUACGUCGGACAUGCAACAACUGAUGUUAAACAUGAAACUUGCAACACUUCACGUGAAAUAUACGACUUAUCACGUAAAGUUCGCAACAUGGACGUCAAACAUGAAACGGGCGAGAAUAUUCGAGAAUAUUCUUUAUUUUGGCUUUAUUGAAUACAUGCAACUUCUAACGUAAAACAUGCAACGGUACGUCGGACAUGCAACAACUGACGUUAAACAUGAAACUUACAACACUUCACGCAAAAUAUGCAAUUUAUAACGUUAAGUUCGCAACUUCGAUGUCAAACAUGAAACAAACGAGAAUAUUCCGGAAUAUUAUUUAUUUUGGCUUUAUUCAACACAUGCAACAUCGUACGUCAAACAUGAAAUCCAACCGUCGAAUAUGCAACAACUGACGUAAAACGUUAAACAUUAAACUUACAACACUUCACGCGAAAUAUGCAAUUUAUAAUGUAAAGUUCGCAACUUCGACGUCAAACAUGAAACAGACGAGAAUAUUCUAGAAUAUUCUUUAUUUUGGCUUUAUUCAACAGAUGCAACCUCUAACGUAAAACAUGCAACUGUUACGUCGGACAUGCAACAACUGACGUUAAACAUGAAAUUUGCAACACUUAACGUGAAAUAUGCAACUUAUCACGUAAAGUUCGCAGCUUCGACGUCAAACAUGAAACAGACGACAAUAUUCCGAAAUAUUCUUUAUUUUGGUUUUAUUCAACACAUACAACAUCUUAUGUCAAACAUGCAAUCGAGACGUCGGAGAUGCAACAACUGACGUUAAAUCUGAAAUACUAUUUUUUUCAUUUUCAAUUUCUUUAUUUUUUAAUUAUAUUAUAUUGUAUUAUAGGGUUUCUAUUAUAUUAUUUAAUUUGUUUAUCUUUUGCUGUUAAUUAUAUUAUAAAAAAUUAUUUUUGACAUUUUAUUUAAUUUUUCAUUUUUAUAUUAUAUUUUUAAUAUAUAUUUUUUAAAAAAUAUGGUGCAACCGGUUUGUUAACCGGCUGCACCAAGUCUUUGGCUGCCAAAUGGCAGCCAAAAACAACCUGGCUCUCUUUUUGAGAGCCCGACAUGGUGCCGGGUACAAAUCCAACGGUACUGUAGCCAAACCCAGCUGAAGUUUUUAGAUUUGCCCAUAGUGUACUGAACUGACACGUUGCCCACCCAUACUUUCUAUAUUUUUAUAUUCAAAAUUGUUUAACACUUUAAGGACUCUAUUUUUCAUAUAAAUAACUCUUCCUCUUUCUUACCAAUAAUUGUGUUUUUAAUUUGGCUAGCCAUUAUGGACGAUUGUUUUACUGUGUUUAUUUUCUUAUAUAGAAAACCAACUUUCUUUUAGAUUUAUUAAUGAAUUCUUGAGUUGAUUGCUUUUAGUCUUGCUAUUUUUGAUAAGCCAUAAUUCAUUUUAAAUGAGUAUUAAUUAUUAAGAAUAAUUUAAUUUAAUUUAAUUAAAUUAAGUUAUAUUUUGAAUUAAUUACUCUAAAGGUAUUUUAAUAAUAUCAUAUUUUAUUAAAAUUAAAGUGUUCAAAGUAUUAUUUGGAGUUGCCUUACCUUAUAUAAGUUAUUUGAGCUUCGCCAUCAACAUAUAUUUGACCACAUUUUUUGUACGACUCCCAUGUCUUUUAAGUCUCAAAGUUUGUUAGUAUAGUCAAACAUAAAUAUGAUAAAGUGGAUCCAUCCAUUAUGCCUUAAUGGACGUGCAAGUAUUAAUAGCAAGAUGCAACAUGCAGGCGUUCUUCAUUACGUGAUGAGCCUUGAUCUAAAGAAAAAUGAACUUGUUGUAUAAUGUAAAUGCUUAAAGUAUCCAUAUUGAGCAAUUAAUUUAUAAACCUUUGCAUUUAUACAUAAUUCUCAAACCAUCAAUUAGUUAAUGUCAACGCUCAUAAUGUCUUGAGAUUUGGUUGUAAUUUGAUUAAUGCUCUUUGAUCUGGUUCAAUGAUCUAGUGAGUUAUGGUGUUUUCGUCUCCAUAUUUAGGUUAGAUAAUGCUUUGCAUAUUUGCAUAUUGCAUUAUUACGCAAAUCUUUAAUAAUGCAUUUGUUACAUUAACCAAGUAUUUAUAAAACUUUGCAAUAUUCAUGUAAAUUGAUACUAAGAGAGAAUUUAAAAGUUCACAAAAAUGAUUGAAUACCAAUGGAGCUUGGGCUUGGAUAUGGUCAUUUUAUAUUGAAUCAAUGCAUGGGAGUAUACGUCGCCUUUUUUGAAUAGUGAUAUUGGACCUCCAAUUAUCUUUCCAGUGCUCAUUUUUUAAUUAAUUUAAUUUAUUAUCAAAAGUACCCUUAUCCUUUCCCUAGCAUUUAUGUUGGUUUUUUUGGGCCUAUCUUAUGACAAUGGUGGAGCUCAACAAGAAUAGCAAAGACAAUAUCAGCACAUCCUCUUCUUUUAAAAUUUAGUCUAUCAUUUCUUUCUUAGUAAAUGGUUUCUGUAAAAUUUAGUCUUUUUAACACUUAUCAUGUUUAUUUCUUUUGAUCUAUGUUAAAUUUCACUUAAAAACAUUGGUUUUAUAAUUUUUCUGAUUUAGAAUGUCGACUUGAUGAUAUUGGAUAUUUGACAUUGGUAUAGAGAUUAAUGUAAUUACAUUUACGUGCUUUUUUUAACUAGUAAGAAGUUAAAAUGCAUGUACUUAAAGCAAAAUUACCAUAACAACAUGUUACAACUAUUUAAUUUUUUUUUUCAAAUUGUUGGCCAUUGUAGCAGAAGCUCAAUAUGGAGGAAUUUAGAUCCAUCUCAAAUUGUACCAUGCCGGGCUUGGGUAGCCAAUUCAUUAUGCAUCUUUGAUAACGAAGAGAUAAUUAUAUUCCUAAAAAAUGAGUUAGCAACUUAUGUGGAACACAUGGAUUGGCCAAAAAGUAUAAGCAGUUAUAAAAAUAAUUGUGUAGAGCCUAUGAUACUUCUAUCCAAUCAAUCCAUUUGUGCAACAUAAGUUACCAAACUUAGUUUGCAUACAAGUGCUUGUACAAGUAUUUAUGGUUGAAUGAUUGUUGCAUCUUUAAAUAGAUAAUCAAAAUGUUAUUUUUUCAACAUUCGCAAACCUACGUAAAAGAUUUGAUGAGUAAAGAUUGAUUUGAUAUAGUGAUGUACCUAUGCGGCAAAUACGUGUCAAAACAAUAUGAAAUUUUUUGUCUAUUAAUUAGGGUAAAUUGCAGUUCAUCUCCCUCGUAAUAAUCUUCAAUUUACCCUCCAAAAGUAUGACAACGUCAAUUUACCCUAACUUUUAUUCAGAAGAUGAGUAAUAAGUAGGGGACACAUUGAUGAACUUUUUAUUUGCUUUCUUAGUAGUAAAUGUGGGUAAAUUGAUUUUUUCACUUUUUUUUUUGGGAGGAAUUUGAAGAUUCUCAGGGUGUAAAUUGAAGUUUACCCUUAAAUUAAAUCAAACAGUUUAGUAAUAUAAGAUUUUGAUGAAGUAAGAUUUUGAUAAAAUAGGAUGCAAAUAACCUAACCUAAAAUAAAGUAGACUUAAAAUUUUAAUAUUACAUAUGGUACUUUCAUAGCAAUUAUGAUCGCUUGAUCAUUAUUAAUAUUUCAACAAUUUCUCUCUCAAAAAUUGAUCUAACAAUAUGCAUACAACAAAAUAGUAAUAGAUAUACACACAGAAAACAUAUGACAUAACAUUAUAUACUUAUAAUGGAUUAAUUUCUUCUUUUAUUGGAACACUGUUUAAAUUUCACUACAAUUGUUCAUUAUCGCAAAAGCACUCAUACAAGAUAGAAGAAAUAACUGAUUAACAAAAUCAUUUGCAUCUCUUCAAAAGCUUUCUUAAAUUUCUUGACGAAACACUCUUCACUUGCAAGCCUUGAGCAAUAGAAAAUGAAGCAUCUAGGUAAGCAUGCUUUUAGUGUUUGCCACUACGAGCAAAGCUAAAACGAUGAAACUAAGACUCUUUGACAAUUUAUAGAAGUUUUAAUAUAUAUCUGUGCAAAUAUAUAGAAUAUGAUAUCAUUGGAGGAUGUGGCUUGUAGAAACAUCUUCAUAUAUUUUAAAAAAAGGGGCUUGAUGAUUGAUAUAAAGAGAAAAAAAAUCUAAUAAUGAACUAAACAAAAUAACAAGAAUAAAACUCUAAAAUUAAUUAAUCAUAUGUUGCAUUGCCUUCAUAAUGUAGCAAGAUAUUAAAAUCAAUAGUUAAUUAAAACAAACACAACGUAAUUUAUUUAAUCCUCAUUUAUGGAAUAUUUUAAUUCCAUUAAAGUUACUACUACUCAUUUCUCAAUAUGUUUUCAUAUAAAUAGAGGCUCAUGCCUUCCUAAUUAUUACACAUCUUAUUUAAUUCUAACUAAAUUGUUUAUAGUUGAAAAAUGUUGAAGAGUUUUAGUUUCAUCAUCUUGGCUUUACUUGUAGUGGCAAACUGAUGUAAGAUGUUAUUUUAAGGUUUAGAAUUUUAUUAUUUUAGAAUUUUCUAUUUUAAUUAGUGUUAGUUAUGAUACGAGUCUUAAUUUUUUAUUUCUAAUUUAAUUUUGAUUUAUUUUCCCCUUUUAAGUUAACUUAGGGAAAUAGAUUUUCUCUAUUAUAAAUAGAAAGGUCUUUUUAGUAUUUUUGUGACUUGAACUUCAACAAUUCAAUAAAAACCUCUCUUUUGUAAUUCCUUGUGGGAUUAUCUAUUAAAAUCUCUCUUGUAGAGUUAUUUGGAUUAGUCCUAAGAAAUGAGUUAGCAACUUAUGCAUGAUACAUGGAUUGGUUAGAAAGUAAAAGCAAUCAUAAAUAUUUGUAUCGAUCCUAUGAUACUUUAUCCAAUCAAUCUGACGUAGGAUGUUGUGUGUUCAUGAGCAGGGUAUCUUCUAGAGGCCAUAAUUUGGGUUACAAGUGUUUGUUUAAGAGUUUAAUAUGUCUUUUCAAAGCUUAUGACAAGACGAACAAAAAACAGAAUUGGCUAAGCUAUUCUGCCAAUAGUCGAGUUGAAAAUUUCGCUUCGUUCUUAGUCAUUUUCUAAUUUUAAGAUUUUUUUCUAUUUUUCCCAGUUCUUCUAGGAUUUUUAUCUUUUUUUUUCUAGAACUCGGAUUUGAGUGCCACUUAUUUUUCUUUUCUUAUUCUGAUUAGGAGAAUUUAAUUAUCAUAUUAUAUUUUAGAUUUUCCUAUUUUAAUAUAUUCACAAUAUUUAAACUUCUUAUAAAUGGGGCUCAGAACUUUAGUUUUACUCAUUUAGACUUUUAAUAAAAUUCAUCAUUAUUCAGAAACCUAGUUUCUUCUAUCAUUAAACUCAAUAAUGGUUUCGUUUCAUCAGUUGGUAUCAGAGCAAAUUUGCCUGUCAUCAUGGCACGACCAUAAAAAACAAAAGAACAACCGUUCUGAAAGACGCUGAUUAAGAGAUGUAGGCAAUGUCUGUAGAGACUAUUAGACAAAUGGUCAUAGAAGAAGUCUUGUAAGUCAUAAAGAAUGCAUUAAACCUGAGCAUGGCAGCAGUGGAGCAAGCAAUUGAGGGUCUCACAUUUUCCAUGAAUAAUAGAGAGAGAGAGAGCAGUGGUAACAAGUUAAUUGCGAGAGAGUAGUUGAAGAAGUCAAUCAAGAUGAACGAUCUCGGGAUUAUCACCAUCAAGAGGUUCGACAAGGUUUAAAUCGCGAAGCAACACUUCAGGGCAUCAAUCUCGAAGUAGUGCUUCAGAACCUAGAACUCGUGAGGCGAGUGCAGCCGUGUGUGCGUCACGAGUUAGAAAGCAAUUAGAAAGAAAAAGACGCUAAGGAUUAUUAUAGAAGGCAUGGAAAGAGUUGAGAAUACAAGAUGAAUGUAGAUAUUGCAUAUUUUUUAUAAUGAGAUCCAUGUUGAAGAAUUUUUGAACUGGAUAUAGGACAUAAAAAAUUUCUUUCAGUAUAUGGAGAUUUCCCAAGAUAAGUGGGUAAAGCUUAUGGAAUUUAAAUUGAAGGGCGCGGCAUCCGCAUGAUGGCGAAAGGUACAAAAUCUAAAAAGAGUUGUAAGAAAGUCAUUGAUCAAAUCAUGGUCUAGAAUGCAAAAGAUGAUGAAAGAGUAUUUUCUGCUAGCGAGUUACUAACAACAGUUGUAUGUGAAAUAUUAAAAUUGUAGGCAAGGAAAUCACAAUGUGUUUGAUGAAUAUAGAUGAGCCAGAGUUUUGGACUGUGCAGUAGUUAAGACAACAACCACCCAGAUAGCAUAGCCACCCAGACAGUAGAAUAAUCCUUAUGCAAAUCCUAUGCUGAAUAAGUGUUUGAAGCAUGGAGAACCAGAGCAUAGAUCCAAUGAAUAUCAUCCUAAAAAUUUGAAUUUGGUAGAGGUAGAAGUCAAUGAAGUUGAGUUGAAUGAUGUUGAGAAUAGGGUUGACAAGUAGGCUUUGGAAUUGGAAGCAGAUGAGGUGAGAGUUACUAAACCUUAUUGUGCAGAAGAUUUUAUUGGCACCAAAGUUUGAAGAAGUUAACUAGUGUAAUAAGAUUUUCAGAAUAUAUGGCACCAUCAAUGAUAAGGUGUGCAAGGUGAUAAUUGAUAGUGGUAGUAGUGAAAACAUAGUCUCAAUGGCAUUAGUUAAAGUGAUAGGAUAAAAACGCAAGUGACAGGAUAAAAACGCAAGUGACAGAGGUAUGUCCAUUUUUCUUUCUCCAUCAAUAAGAUUUAUAAGAUUGAUAUGGUAUGUGAUGUAGUAGAUAUGGAUACUUGCCAUUUGUUAUUGGGUAGACCUUGGUAGUAUGAUGUGGAUACAAUACAUAGAGACGCAAAUAAUGUGUAAGAGUUUCGGUGGAAUAGUAAAAUGGUUCAUUUUGUGCCUUUAACAAAUAAGAAGAAGAAUCUUAAAGCUAAAGGGAACAAUUUUCUAACUAUUGUGAAGUGACAUCUAAAAGAAGAUUAUGACAGUUGAAAGAAGCUAUAGAAAGAAGAUAAGUUCGAGGUAAAUUAAAGGUACAACCAUUGUUAGAUGAGUUUGCUAACAUUAUACCAUCAGAAAUGCCAAAUGGGCUAUAACUUUUGUAAGAAAUCCAACAUCAUAUAGACCUAGUACCUAGUACAAACUUACCUAACUUGCCAAUUGUCGUAUGAGUCCUCAUGAGUAUGCGAUUCCACAAGGUCAGGUUGAUGAAUUAUUGUGAAAGAGAUUCAUUCAUGGAGCGUGAGUCCAUGUGUUGCACAAGCCUAGUUAUUGCCAAAGAAGAAUAUGAGUUGGUGUAUGUGUAUAUACAGCAGAUGGUUUAAUUAGAUUAUGGUGAAAUAUUGUUUUCCUAUUCUAAUGCUUCGAGAUUUGCUAACUCAAUUAGAUAGUGCUUUGGCUUUCUUGAAGAUAAACUUGCAAUUUAGGUAUCAUCAAAUUCGGAUUAGGACCAAAAGUGAGUGAAAAAAAAGACAAAAGAAGGGUUUUAUGAGUAGUUAGUGAUGCCAUUCAAAAUAUUAAAUGCAUUGAGUACUUUUAUGCACUUAAUGAACCAGGUCCUUAUGCCUUUUUUCUUGCAAAUUUGUUGUGGUAUAUUAUUGAUGAUAUUUUGGUGUAUUCUGUUGAUAUGGUGACAUAUUCAGAGCAUUUGAGAAUGAUUAUUAAGGUAUUGUGGAGGAAUUAGCUUUACAUUAAUAUGAAAAGCUGUAGAUUUUGCAGAGUAAUGUAGAGUUUUUUGGAUUUUAUAGUUGGUGCAGAUAGGAUUCAAGCAAUUGAAUCAAAUAUGCAAGCCAUUAGUGAAUGCCCUACGCCUAAGAUAAUGAGUGAAGUUAGGAGUUUUCAUGGGCUAACAAUGUUUCGUAGGAGGUUUAUUAACAGUUUUGGCACUACAAUAGCACUUAUCACAAAGUUCUUGAAGAAAGGAAAGUUUAAAUAGGGAGAAAACGAAGAGAUGAGCUUUGCUUUACUUAAGGAGAAGUUAUCUACCGCUUCUACGUUGGCCUUGCCAAAGUUCGACAAGUUAUUUAAGGUCGAGUGUAAUGCUUUUGGCAAGAUAAUUAGGGCCGUUCUUUCCUAAAGAGGCAGACAAUUGAAUAUGUGAGGGAGAAAUUAAAUGAGGCAUGGUAGAACUAGUUUGCUAACGACCAAGAUUUUUAUGCCAUCCUUAAGGCGUUGAAGAUGUGGGAGCAAUACUUGAUUAAAAAAGAGUUCGUGCUUUAUAAACGACCAUCAAGCACUAAAGUACCUUACUAGCCAGCAAAACUUGAGCAAGAUGUAUACAAGGUAGGGUAAAUUAUAUGUAGAAGUUCAAUUUUGUUAUGAAGCACAAGUCUAUGCAGCAGACUAAAGUUGGCAGAAGCAUGAAAUAGGCAAGAAACUUUAUUGGUAACUCUAGUUAAUGAAGUUACUAGUUUUGAGUGCUUAAAAUAGUUCUAUGCUGAGGAUGAUGACUUUGUACAUAUUUAGGAUUAUUACAUGAAUCCUUAGAAUACAAAGGAUUUCUUCAUUUAAGAUGGGCAUUUAUUCAAGGCCAACUACUUAUGCCUCGAAGUUUUUUAAGGGAGCAGAUUAUCUGUGAGUUGUAGGGAAGAUGAUUAGGCAGACAUCUUGGACGAGAUAAGACCAAGGCGCUUAUGGAAGAGCGUUAUUUUUUUGCCACAGUAAAAUGUAGAUAUGCAAAAAAUUUGGUGUCAGCUUUGCCAAGAAGGCAAGGAACAUGCACAUAAUACAGGCUUAUACAUGCUUGUAUGUAUUCCAGAAAAAUGUUUGGUUUGAUCUAUCAAUGGACUUUGUGCUAGGAUUGCCUCUUAUAAGGACAAGUCAAGAUUUUAUAUUGGUGAUGGACAUGUUUUUUGAAGAUGGCGCAUUUUAUUGUGUAUAAAAAGACAGAAGAUUUUACCUCAGUGGCAUAUUUGUUCUUUCAAGAGAUGGUGCAUUUGCAUGGCAUUUCAAAGACCAUUAUUUCUGAUAGAGAUGUGAAGUUCAUUAGUAAGUUCACGCAUUAUCUCUGGGAUAAGUUUGGUAUGCAAUUAUAGUUUAGUAGUGCUUUCCAUCCACAAAUAGUUGGACAAACGAAUGUGGUCAACCAAACUUUAGGUAACAUAUUGCGCCAUCUUUGUGGUGACAAGCAACUGAACUGAGAAGUUACCUUGCCUCAGGUUGAGUUUACUUACAAUAACAAGGUAAAUCAAUCUACUGGCAAAGCCCCUUUUGAGAUUGUCCCCAUGCCAUGUCUGUGACUUGGGAUACCAUUAGCAGAGAGAGCUGGAUGUUGUGCAAAUUUGAUUGAACUCGCAAGUGCACGAAUCUAUUGUAGAAUAGACUAAUGGUGACGAGUGUCGAUCCCACGAGGAGGUGGAUUUUAAUUGUAUGUAGAAUUAAUUUUGUAAAUGGGUGGUUGGAUUUAUGGUGAAAUUGAUUUGGAAUAUUCUAAAAACUUAAAUUAAAAUGGCGAGAAUAAAUUCUAAAAUUGGAAUUGAAAUGACGAGAGUAAAUUGAAGAGAAAUCUAUUGAGAUGACGUACUUGGGUAUCUGGAUCCGUAUCAACAUGCAUCAUGGGCUAAAUAUUCCUUAUUAAUACCAAUUAAAUCACGAGGGGGGAAAUCCACACCUCAUGAACACACUCUAAUUAAUAUGGUGCUAAGGGCUUAUCGUGUCAAAUAAUAAUAACCUUGUAUUAGGGAGCCGGUGAAACCAAGGCGGUACUAACAAGAUUAUUAUUAUUUGUCGACGAGAAGUCAAAACAUCCACAAAAACUAGAUGGGAAGAGAAAAUAAAUUUACCAAAUAAAGCCCAUGACACAUGUUGAGACUUUCACCUUCAACCCAAGCUUGAAAGAAAAUUAGAUACUCAUAAUUGAACUAGGGGAAAAAUGGGAAUUUAUUAAAAUACAUAGAAAAUACAAGAUAGAGAAAGAAUUACAGAAAAUGGAUCCCAAAAAUGGAUUCAGAGGUAUCAAAUUAGGGGGGGGAGGCCCCUUUUUUAUAGAUACAUCGAGUAAAUCAUGGCCCAUCAGAUUAAAAACAGUUUGGACGCUCAGGAUUGCGCCACGUCAUCAGUCAACAAUACGCGUGAAUAGUACAUGGUUUGACCACGCGGAUGAACAGUAAACACAGUUUGACCCGGGUGAACAGUGACGCGGUUUGGUUGAAAAUAAUCUUGUGUUGCAUGUACCGUACGUGAGAUUUUUGGUCCACUGAUAUGCUGCCACGUCAUCGAUCAACAGUGCAUAAGAAUUUUAGUCCAACAGGAUCGUGACACCUCAUCAGUCCAAUGCCACAUCAUCGGUCAAUGCCACGUCAUCGUCCGUCUAUGUGAAAAGUGUCGUGAACAAUAACGUAUACAGUAUCGUACACGUGAAUAGUACCGUAUAAUGUGAACAGUGCCAUUUUUCCUUUUAUGCUCCUCCUAAGGUUUUUGACCGUCCUGAGUUCAAAAGUGAUGUCCGUUUUGCCAUUUGAUCUCUCGUUUAUUGUGAAAUGACUAUGAUGCUCCUAAAAUACAAAAAAUGCUUAAUUAAAAUAAAACACAAACAGAAUUAAAUCAAAAGAAGGUUAAAUACAUAAAAGUAAGGGUGUUAGUAAAGGUUGUAGUGUAAAAUGACGAUUUUCUCCUUUAUAAAUAUACAUUUUCUACACACUUCCACACUGGAGAAAGUAAAACAACGAAUAAUGUAGCAGAAAGCGCUCUGCGUAUUCAUGCUGAGGUAUGAACUCACUUGGAGACUGCCUAUGCCAAAUACAAGGCUGAAGUGGACAAGCAUCAUCAUAAGAAACUAUUUGUAAAGGUGACAUCGGUGAUGGCAUAAUCUACGCCAGAGUCAUUUCCCUGGCAUUCGCACUAAAUUGGAGAAGUGAAAAUGCAGACCAUUUUGACUGGCAUGGAAAGAUUAAAUAAUAAUGCUUAUGUGAUUUAGUUGCCCGACAGCUAGAACAUCUCUCACACCUUUAAUGUGGCUAAUCUGUUUGAAGUAUCAUCCAAACGAUGAGGAAUUGCAACGAGCCAAUCUUGAGGAUAAUUUCUUUUCCAAGUGCAGGGGACUGAUGUAAGGUGUUAUGUGCCACGAGCUGGAUACCUUCCGGAGGCCAAAGCUUGGCUACAGGUUGUUCGUUUUUCAAUGUGUGUGUGUGUGUGUAUAUAUAUAUCGUUUCGAAGCAUAUGUUGAGACGGACAAAACCUAGGCCGCCUAAGUCGUUUCACCCCAUGUUUGAGUCGAAAAUUCCCUUAUUUCCUGGUUGUUUUCUAGUUUUAAGAUUUUUUUUUUGUUUUUCUUAAUUCUUCUAGGAUUUUUAUCUUUUUUUUAGAAAUCAAAUUUGAGCGUCGUUUGUUUUCCUUUUCUUAUUUUGAUUAGGAAAAUUUAAUUAUCAUAUUAUACUUCAGAUUUGCAUAUUUUGAUAAAUUCGUGAUAUUUAAACUUGUUAUACAUUAUUUAGAAAGCUAGUUUCUUCCAUUAGUAAACUCAAUAAUGUUUUCAUUUCAUCACAAUCCAUUCGUGCAACGUAAGUUACCAACUUAAUUUGAAUGCUAGUCUUUGUACAAGUGUUUAUGGUUAAAUCAUUGUUGUAUCUUUAAUAAUUAGAUCAUCAAAAUAUUAUUUUUUUUCAAUAUUCCCAUGUAUAUAUAAUAGAGUUGAUAAGUAAAGAUUGAUUUGAUAUAGACAAAGCUAUGUGGUAGGUACAUGUCAAAAAUAAUAUGAAAAGUUUAGUUAUAUUAAUUUGGGCAAACUUAAGUCCAUCCCCUUUCUAAUAACAUUCUUUAAUUUACCCUUUAAAAAGCAUGAAAUCUCAUUUACCCUAAUUUUUGUUCAUGGGAUGAACAUAAAUGAGGGCACAUUGAUGAAUUAUUUAUUUAUUUUCUUAGAGUAAAUGACGGUAAAUUGAUUUUUUUUCACACUUUUUAGGCAAAUUGAAGAUUCUUAGGGCAUAAAUUGAAGUUUACCUUAAAAUUAAAUAAGACAGUUUAAUAAAAUGAAAUUUCGAUAAAAUAGGAUCCAAAUAGCCUCACCCUAAAAGAAAAUAGACUUAGAAUUUAAAUAUUGCAUGUUACUACCAUAGUAAUUAUGAUUGCUUGAUCGCUAUUGGUAUUUUAAAAGAUUUGUUCUCUCUUUGAUUGAUUCAAUGAUAUGUAUGCAAUAAAUCAACACUAGAUACAUACACAAAGGCAUAAGUUACAUACUCAUAAUGGAGUAAUUUCUUCUUUUAUUAAAAUAUUGUUUCAAUUUCAUUACAGUUGAACCUUAUUACAAAAGCACUCAUGCAAGACAAAAGAAUUAAUUGAUUAUCAAAAUCAUUUACAUCCUCCUUAGGGGUAGGGAUUAAGAUAGUCUUUGAGAACUUUCUUAAAAUUCUUGAUGAACAACUCUUCACUUGUGAGCCAUAAGCAAUAGAAAUCAGCAUUUGGGUAAGCAUACUUUUAGUGUUUUCCAUUACAAGCAAAGCUAAGAUGACAAACUAAACUCUUCCACAUUUUUCAAUUUCUUAAUUGAAUUCUAAAUAGCUUAAUUAGAAUUAAAAGAGAAGUGUCAAAAUUAGGAAGGCAUGAGCCUCUAUUUAUAUGAAGGAAUAUUGAGAAACAAGCUGCAGACGACCUUACUGAGGCUUAAAUAAAUUACGUCGUGUUUGUUUGCAUUAACUAUUGAUUUAAAUACCUCGUUGCAUUAUAAACUAAUUUUAAAACAUGCAUUUCAUUAAUUUUAUCAUUUUUAAUGUUAUUGAAACUGUGUCUUAAUAAAAGUGAAAAUUAAUCCAUUAUGAGUAUGCACUGUUAUGUCAUAUGUCUUUUGUGCAUGCAUCCGAUGCUAUUUUGUUGUAUACAAAUUGUUGACUCAAUCUACGAGAAAGUAAUUGUUGAAAUACUAAUAAUGAUCAUUAUUACUAUGUUAGUACCAGUAAUAUUUGAAUUUUAAAUCCAUUUUCUUUUAGGGUGAGGCUGCUUCUUUAUUAAAAAAAAAAAUUGAACCCUUGUAUUUUAUCGAAAUGUUAUAUUACUGAAUUGUUUCAAUUAAUUUAAGGGUAAACUUCAAUUUAAUUGCCUGAAUUAAUUUAUGUGUAGGCUUUAAUUUAAACUCUGAGAAUAUUGAUUUUACCCAAAAAAUGUGAAGGCAUCGUCUCACCCCUUUUUACUAUUAAAUAAAUAAAUAAAUAAAUUCAUUUACGCUUAUCUUCUGAACAAAAAAUUAGAGUAAAUUGAGUUAUUCAUGUUUUCAAAGGGUAAAUUAAAGAUUUUUACUGGGAGGAUGAAUGGAAGUUUGCCCUAAUUAAUAUAACAAUUUUUUUCUUAUUAUUCUUACAUGUAUUUGCCUCAUCUACUAAACAUACAAAAGUCUUUCUCUAAUUAGAUGUGAUUUUGUAAUGGCACAUUGCAAAUUGCAUUCAAGAUGAAAAUUUUUUACAUAAGGAAAUGGACAAUUUGUUGGCUAGUUACAAUUAUUAGGCUGCGCAACACAUGUCACAUUGUAAUAGUAUCCAUAAUUUUAAUUUCAUCACUUAAAAAUAAAAUAUUGGUUUUUAAUUUCUUUUAUUUUAUCUUAUUUUAUUUCAUUUAAUUUUUUUUUGGAAAUUACAAAGUGGUUUAAAGCAAUUGUUUCUAAAUGCAAACAUGUAUUCUUUUAUAUAUUUGAGAUGGCUAGUUUGGCUUUAAUUUAAUAUGUCUUUGAAAUUUAGAUAUUUAAUUAUUUUUGUUAUAUAAAAAAAAAUAAUAUUUAAACUUAAUUGAUGACUUAAAAAUGAUAAUAUAUUAAUUUUAUAAAUUUUUCUACAGCUAGUAAGAUAAGAAAAAAAUUUUGAUAAGAAAAUAGUGAAAGCAGAGAUAACAAUAAGAUUAAUCAUUUUAUGAUGCAAAAUAUGGACUUCAUGAUGUUGGCUUCUACAAAUUCAAGACCUAAAUGUGGUUACCACUAAGAAUAACAAGUAGGAAUUUUAAUCAAUGCAGUCAGUUUCAGCUUUUCUCGUUUUGCCUUUAUGUUGUAAUGCUCUUGAGAUGUUAUUCAACAAAUACAAGUCCUUAGUCAUACACUCUUAAAACUGGGUAGCCAAAAAGACUUGAGGCAAUGAAUUAAGUCUUUUGAACAAGUAUGGGGAUUCAGGUCUACUGUGUGGAUUAAAUAUAGAAGCGAUAGUAAAUGGAUGGCAAGUAUGAGGAAGCCUAAAGCUAAUGCUCCUGUAAUUUGGUCACAAUAUUGGGGGACUUCGAAGUAAACUUGUAGUCAGCCUACUAAUGAAACAUAAAAUUGUCAAAGAUUCUUAGUUUCAUCGUCUUGGCUUUGCUUGUAGUGGCAAACACUAAAUGCAGACCUAUUUCAGGAUGUCAUACUAGCCGAGGAUCUAAGUCGAAUGCUUUAUUUUCCAUUAAUCUUGUAGCAUCUCCUGACAUUACUGAUUGCUUAAGGCUUACAUGGGAAGAGUGUUUGACUGAGAAGUUAAAAAAGGCUUUCGAAGAUUAUAUUAUUUCUUUGUUCCCUAGGGGAUGCAAAUGAAUUUGAUAAACAAUUUCCCUGGGGGAUGCAAAUGAAUUUGAUAAACAAUUAUUUCUUUUAUGUUUUAUGAGUGCUUUUGCAAUAAUCAUCAAUUGCAGUGAAAUUAAAUUUUUGUUUUAAUAAAAAAAAUAAAUUAAUCCAUUAUGAGUAUGCAAUAUUAUGUAAUAUGUUUUUUGUGCGUGCAUCUAGUGCUGUUGACUCUUACAAAUUCAAAUUCAAGACUUGGAUGUGGUUAACACUAAGAAUAACAUGUAUGAUUAAUUAGUACAAUGAACCUUCAUUAAUGUAGUCAAUAUUCAACUUUUCUUGUUUUGUCUCUCUUUUGUAAAACUUUUGAGAUAUUAAGAAUUAAACAAAUACAAGCUCUAAAUCACACAUUCUUAUUAGAUAAGAAGCAUCAUAAAAAGAAGAAAUAAAUUCUCAAAGUUGGUGACCAAAAAGACUUGAGACAAUGAAGCAACCUUUUAAACAAAUAGGGGAUACAACACUAUUGUGUGGAUUGAAUAGAGAAGCAAAAACAGGGAGAUAAUGAGUCAAAUGAAGCCAGCAGCUAAUGCUCCUGUAACUUGGUCAUAGUGCUAGGGGACUUGGAGGCAAACUGGCUGCUAGCUUGCCAAUGAAUUCCUCUUUUUGCCCACUUGAGAAAUUACGACCAAAGUCGCUGAUGUGCUUGGUGUGUGCAACACUGUGAAAGCCAAUUGAUCCCGAGUAUUGAACAAAUCAAUAUGAAUUUUACAUAGUAUAAAUGCUUAAUUGAACUAUGUAUUCGCCAUCUUGUAUUUUCUACGUAUUUUAAUAAAUUCUCAUAAUUGAACUAUGUGCAAAAUGAGAAUUUAUUAAAAUACGUAGAAAAUNAAUUAAUUUUGUAAAUGGGUGGUUGGAUUUAUGGUGAAAUUGAUUUGGAAUAUUCUAAAACUUAAAUUAAAAUGGCGAGAAUAAAUUCUAAAAUUGGAAUUGAAAUGACGAGAGUAAAUUGAAGAGAAAUCUAUUGAAAUGACGUACUUGGGUAUCUGGAUCCGUAUCAACAUGCAUCAUGGGCUAAAUAUUCCUUAUUAAUACCAAUUAAAUCAUGAGGGGGAAUCCACUCAUGAACCACACUCUAAUUAAUAUGUGCUAAGGGCUUAUCGUGUCAAAUAAUAAACCUUGUAUUAGGGAGCCGGUGAAACCAAGCGGUACUAAACAAGAUUAUUAUUAUUUGUCGACGAGAAGUCAAAACAUCCACAAAAACUAGAUGGGAAGAGAAAAUAAAUUUACCAAAUAAAGCCUAUGACACAUGUUGAGACUUCACCUUCAACCCAAGCUUGAAAGAAAAUUAGAUACUCAUAAUUGAACUAGGGGAAAAAUGGGAAUUUAUUAAAAUACGUAGCAAAUACAAGAUAGAGAAAGAAUUACAUAAAAUGGAUCCCAAAAAUGGAUUCAGAGGUAUCAAAUUAGGGGGGAGGCCCGCUUUUUAUAGAUACAUCGAGUAAAUCAUGGCCAUCAGAUUAAAACAGUUUGGACGCUCAGGAUUGCGCCACGUCAUCAGUCAACAGUACGCGUGAAUAGUACAUGGUUGACCACGCGGAUGAACAGUAACACAGUUUGACUCGGGUGAACAGUGACGCGGUUUGGUUGAAAAUAAUCCUGUGUUGCAUGUACCGUACGUGAGAUUUUGGUCCACUGAUAUGCUGCCACGUCAUCGAUCAACAGUGCAUAAGAAUUUUAGUCCAACAGGAUCGUGACACCUCAUCAGUCAAUGCCACAUCAUCGGUCAAUGCCACGUCAUCGUCCGUCUAUGUGAAAAGUGUCGUGAACAAUAACGUAUAUAGUAUCGUACACGUGAAUAGUACCGUACAUGUGAACAAUGCCAUUUUUCCUUUUAUGCUCCUCCUAAGGUUUUUGACCGUCCUGAGUUCAAAAGUGAUGUCCGUUUUGCCAUUUGAUCUCUCGUUUAUUGUGAAAUGACUAUGAUGCCCCUAAAAUACAUAAAAUGCUUAAUUAAAAUAAAACACACGGAAUUAAAUCAAAAGAAGGUUAAAUACAUAAAAGUAAGGGUGUUAGUAAAGGUUGUAGUGUAAAAUGACGAUUUUCUCCUUUAUAAAUAUACAGUUUCUACCACUCCACACUGGAGAAAGUAAAACAACAAAUAAUGUAGCAGAAAGCGCUCUGCGUAUUCAUGCUGAGGUAUGAACUCACUUGGAGACUGCCUAUGCCAAAUACAAGGCUGAAGUGGACAAGCAUCAUCAUAAGAAACUAUUUGUAGAGGUGACUCGGUGAUGGCAUAUCUACGCCAGAGUCAUUUCCCUGGCAUUCGCACUAAAUUGGAGAAGUGAAAAUGCAGACCAUUUUGACUGGCAUGGAAGAUUAAUAAUAAUGCUUAUGUGAUUUAGUUGCCCGACAGCUAGAACAUCUCUCACACCUUUAAUGUGGCUAAUCUGUUUGAGUAUCAUCCAAACGAUGAGGAAUUGUACGAGCCAAUCUUGAGGAUAAGUUCUUUUCCAAGUGCAGGGGGCUGAUGUAAGGUGUUAUGUGCCACGAGCUGGAUACCUUCCGGAGGCCAAAGCUUGGCUACAGGUGUUCGUUUUCAAUGUGUGUGUGUGUGUGUAUAUAUAUAUCGUUUCGAAGCAUAUGUUAGACGGACAAAACCUAGGCCGCCUAAGUCGUUCACCCCAUGUUUGAGUCGAAAAUUCCCUUAUUUCCUGGUUGUUUUCUAGUUUUAAGAUUUUUUUUCUGUUUUUCUUAAUUCUUCUAGGAUUUUUAUCUUUUUUUUUAGAAAUCAAAUUUGAGCGUCGUUUGUUUUCCUUUUCUUAUUUUGAUUAGGAAAAUUUAAUUAUCAUAUUAUACUUCAGAUUUGCAUAUUUUGAUAAAUUCGUGAUAUUUAAACUUGUUAUACAUUUAUUUAGAAAGCUAGUUUCUUCCAUUAGUAAACUCAAUAAUGUUUUCAUUUCAUCACAAUCCCAUUCGUGCAACGUAAGUUACCAACUUAAUUUGAAUGCUAGUCUUUGUACAAGUGUUUAUGGUUAAAUCAUUGUUGUAUCUUUAAUAAUUAGAUCAUCAAAAUAUUAUUUUUUUUCAAUUUCCUAUGUAUAUAUAAUAGAGUUGAUAAAGUAAAGAUUGAUUGAUAUAGACAAAGCUAUGUGGUAGGUACAUGUCAAAAAUAAUAUGAAAAGUUUAGUUAUAUUAAUUUUGGGCAAACUUAAGUCCAUCCCCUUUCUAAUAACAUUCUUUAAUUUACCCUUUAAAAGCAUGAAUCUCAUUUACCCUAAUUUUUGUUCAUGGGAUGAACAUAAAUGAGGGCACAUUAAUGAAUUAUUUAUUUAUUUUCUUAGAGUAAAUGACGGUAAAUUGAUUUUUUUUCACACUUUUUAGGCAAAUUGAAGAUUCUUAGGGCGUAAAUUUGAAGUUUACCUUAAAAUUAAAAUAAGACAGUUUAAUAAAAUGAAAUUUCGAUAAAAUAGGAUCCAAAUAGCCUCACCCUAAAAGAAAAUAGACUUAGAAUUUAAAUAUUGCAUGUUACUACCAUAGUAAUUAUGAUUGCUUGAUCGCUAUUGGUAUUUAAAAGAUUUGUCUCUCUUUGAUUGAUUCAAUGAUAUGUAUGCAAUAAAUCAACACUAGAUACAUACACAAAAACCAAAAGGCAUAAGUUACAUACUCAUAAUGGAGUAAUUUCUUCUUUUAUUAAAAUAUUGUUUCAAUUUCAUUACAGUUGAACCUUAUUACAAAAGCACUCAUGCAAGACAAAAGAAUUAACUGAUUAUCAAAAUCAUUUACAUCCUCCUUAGGGGUAGGGAUUAAGAUAGUCUUUGAGAACUUUCUUAAAUUCUUGAUGAACAACUCUUCACUUGUGAGCCAUAAGCAAUAGAAAAUCAGCAUUGGGUAAGCAUACUUUUAGUGUUUUCCAUUGCAAGCAAAGCUAAGAUGACAAACUAAAACUCUUCCACAUUUUUCAAUUUCUUAAUUGAAUUCUAAAUAGCUUAAUUAGAAUUAAAAGAGAAGUGUCAAAAUUAGGAAGGCAUGAGCCUCUAUUUAUAUGAAGGAAUAUUGAGAAAACAAGCUGCAGACGACCUUACUGAGGCUUAAAUAAAUUACGUCGUGUUUUGUUUGCAUUAACUAUUGAUUUAAAUACCUCGUUGCAUUAUAAACUAAUUUUAAAACAUGCAUUUCAUUAAUUUUAUCAUUUUUAAUGUUAUUGAAACUGUGUCUUAAUAAAAGUGAAAAUUAAUCCAUUAUGAGUAUGCACUGUUAUGUCAUAUGUCUUUUGUGCAUGCAUCUGAUGCUAUUUUGUUGUAUACAAAUUGUUGACUCAAUCUACGAGAAAGUAAUUGUUGAAAUACUAAUAAUGAUCAUUAUUACUAUGUUAGUACCAGUAAUAUUUGAAUUUUAAAUCCAUUUUCUUUUAGGGUGAGGCUGCUUCUUUAUUAAAAAAAAAAAAUUGAACCUUUGUAUUUUAUCGAAAUGUUAUAUUACUGAACUGUUUCAAUUAAUUUAAGGGUAAACUUCAAUUUAAUUGCCUGAAUUAAUUUAUGUGUAGGCUUUAAUUUAAACUCUGAGAAUAUUGAUUUUACCCCAAAAAAUGUGAAGGCAUCAUCUCACCCCUUUUUUACUAUUAAAUAAAUAAAUAAAUAAAUUCAUUUACGCUUAUCUUCUGAACAAAAAUUAGAGUAAAUUGAGUUAUUCAUGUUUUCAAAGGGUAAAUUAAAGAUUUUUACUGGGAGAGAUGAAUGGAAGUUUGCCCUAAUUAAUAUAACAAUUUUUUUCUUAUUAUUCUUACAUGUAUUUGCCUCAUCUACUAAACAUACAAAAGUCUUUCUCUAAUUAGAUGUGAUUUUGUAAUGGCGCAUUGCAAAUUGCAUUCAAGAUGAAAAUUUUUUUACAUAAGGAAAUGGACAAUUUGUUGGCUAGUUACAAUUAUUAGGCUGCGCAACACAUGUCACAUUGUAAUAGUAUCCAUAAUUUUAAUUUCAUCACUUGAAAAUAAAAUAUUGGUUUUUAAUUUCUUUUAUUUUAUCUUAUUUUAUUUCAUUUAAUUUUUUUUUGGAAAUUACAAAGUGGUUUAAAGCAAUUGUUUCUAAAUGCAAACAUGUAUUCUUUUAUAUAUUUGAGAUGGCUAGUUUGGCUUUAAUUUAAUAUGUCUUUGAAAUUUAGAUAUUUAAUUAUUUUUGUUAUAUAAAAAAUAAAAUAAUAUUUAAACUUAAUUGAUGACUUAAAAAUGAUAAUAUAUUAAUUUAUAAAUUUUUAUACAGCUAGUAAGAUAAGAAAAAAUUUUGAUAAGAAAAUAGUGAAAGCAGAGAUAACAAUAAGAUUAAUCAUUUUAUGAUGCAAAAUAUGGACUUCAUGAUGUUGGCUUCUACAAAUUCAAGACCUAAAUGUGGUUACCACUAAGAAUAACAAGUAGGAAUUUUAAUCAAUGCAGUCAGUUUCAGCUUUUCUCGUUUUGCCUUUAUGUUGUAAUGCUCUUGAGAUGUUAUUCAACAAAUACAAGUCCUUAGUCAUACACUCUUAAAACUGGGUAGCCAAAAAGACUUGAGGCAAUGAAUAAAGUCUUUGAACAAGUAUGGGGAUUCAGGUCUACUGUGUGGAUUAAAUAUAGAAGCGAUAGUAAAUGGAUGGCAAGUAUGAGGAAGCCUAAAGCUAAUGCUCCUGUAAUUUGGUCACAAUAUUGGGGACUUCGAAGUAAACUUGUAGUCAGCCUACUAAUGAAACAUAAAAUUGUCAAAGAUUCUUAGUUUCAUCGUCUUGGCUUUGCUUGUAGUGGCAAACACUAAAUGCAGACCUAUUUCAGGAUGUCGUACUAGCCGAGGAUCUAAGUCGAAUGCUUUAUUUUCCAUUAAUCUUGUAGCAUCUCCUGGCAUUACUGAUUGCUUAAGGCUUACAUGGGAAGAGUGUUUGACUGAGAAGUUAAAAAAGGCUUUCGAAGAUUAUAUUAUUUCUUUGUUCCCUAGGGGAUGCAAAUGAAUUUGAUAAACAAUUUCCCUGGGGGAUGCAAAUGAAUUUGAUAAACAAUUAUUUCUUUUAUGUUUUAUGAGUGCUUUUGCAAUAAUCAUCAAUUGCAGUGAAAUUAAAUUUUUGUUUUAAUAAAAAAAAUAAAUUAAUCCAUUAUGAGUAUGUAAUAUUAUGUAAUAUGUUUUUUGUGCGUGCAUCUAGUGCUGUUGACUCUUACAAAUUCAAAUUCAAGACUUGGAUGUGGUUAACACUAAGAAUAACAUGUAUGAUUAAUUAGUACAAUGAACCUUCAUUAAUGUAGUCAAUAUUCAACUUUUCUUGUUUUGUCUCUCUUUUGUAAAACUUUUGAGAUAUUAAGAAUUAAACAAAUACAAGCUCUAAAUCACACAUUCUUAUUAGAUAAGAAGCAUCAUAAAAAGAAGAAAUAAAUUCUCAAAGUUGGUGACCAAAAAGACUUGAGACAAUGAAGCAACCUUUUAAACAAAUAGGGAUACAACACUAUUGUGUGGAUUGAAUAGAGAAGCAAAAACAGGGAGAUAAUGAGUCAAAUGAAGCCAGCAGCUAAUGCUCCUGUAACUUGGUCAUAGUGCUAGGGGACUUGGAGGCAAACUGGCUGCUAGCUUGCCAAUGAAUUCCUCUUUUUGCCCACUUGAGAAAUUACGACCAAAGUCGCUGAUGUGCUUGGUGUGUGCAACACUGUGAAAGCCAAUUGAUCCCGAGUAUUGAACAAAUCAAUAUGAAUUUUACAUAGUAUAAAUGCUUAAUUGAACUAUGUAUUCGCCAUCUUGUAUUUUCUACGUAUUUUAAUAAAUUCUCAUAAUUGAACUAUGUGCAAAAUGAGAAUUUAUUAAAAUACGUAGAAAAUACAAGAUGGCGAAGGAAUUACAAAAAAUGGAGUCCAAAAAUGGAUUUAGAGAUGCCAAAUUAGGGGGGAGAGGUCCCCUUUUUAUAGAUACAUUGAGUAAAUCAUGGCGAUCGGAUUAAAAAUAAUUUGGACGCUCAAGAUUACGCCACGUCAUCAGUCAACAGUACUUGAUUUGACCACGCGGUUUGAACAGUGAACCGAUUUGGUUGAAAAUAAUCCUGUGUAAUGCGUGACACCUCAUCAGUCAACGGCACAUCAUCAGUCAAUGUCACGUCAUCGGUCAAUGCCACGUCAUCGGUCUGUCUAUGUGAACAAUGUCGUGAACAGUAACGUAGACAAUACCGUACAUGUGAACAAUGACAUUUUUCCUUUUAUGCUCCUCCUAAGGUUUUCAACUAUCCUGAGUUCAAAAGUGAUGUCCAUUUUACUGUCUGAUUUCUCGUUCAUUGUGAAAUGACCAUGAUGCCCUUAAAAUAUAUAAAAUACUUAAUAAAAAUAAAACACACGUAAUUAAAUCACAAGAAGGUUAAAUACAUAAAAGUAAGGGUGUUAGUAAAACUUGAAAUGUAAAAUGACGAUUUUCUCCUUUAUAAAUAUACAUUUUCUAACACUCAACACACCCCCCAACUAGCUUAUUACUAGUCCCUAGCAAAUAAAGCAAAAACAAAAUUCAAAUCCAAAAUGAUUUUUUUUUUUAACAAUCAUGUUUAUUCAACCAGAUAAAUGAUAGUAAUCAAAUAAAAGUAUAAGCAUUAUCUCCAGUCUAAAGAAACAUCACACCCACAUCAACCAUCCACAUGAAUCAGCCCAAUAGACUUUGUCACAACUACUUUCAAGAAUGACAUGUUAAACCCCAAAAUCUCAUUGGAAAUAGUGACACUCUCACAAAUAAAUUUAACCCGAUAAAAAUAGUAACUCCAAUGAAUGGUAAUUGAGAGAGAAAAUAAUAAAGAAGUGAUAUCACAUGCUCUCACCAAGAUGAAAGAAAUAUGCCCUCAGCUUAGAAAUAAUAUGAUCUCAAGUCAAACAAAAAUGCUAGUCAACCCAAUUUAUUUAUUUUUUAUUAUGUACCACUACAUCUUUUUCGCCCAUAUAACUAGUUUCUACUUCAAACUAUAGUUCCCUAAAAUCAAGAAGGACUUUUAUUAGGACGUAACGUAGGCUAGGGACAUGGCUAACAAAAGAGGGGAAAUAAGGAAAACAAAAUGUAUGUUUGAGAAAAAUGCAGAGAAUUUGUUUUUGGAAGUUGCAAGGUGGAUUUCACCUAUUAUUGUUUUUUUAAACAACAAUUUUUGUUUUUUUUUCUUUUUUUUUUUUACUUUUGUUUGGCACAACGUCGCUGAACAAAAUAAUUAUUAUAUUUUUCUUAAACAUAAAUAGGUGAUGGAACUUAUAAGAUAUCGGGUAAUACUGCAAAUCAGAGUGGGUCAAGAUGAUAAGUUUGACAAAGAAAAGGUUUUUUUUUUUUUUUUUAAGGUUCAAAAGGGUUAACUAUGGAUAUGUCACAAAAGGGAUGGCUAGAAAGGCUCAAACGGAUCAAAUAUGGUCUUUCCAUCGUCGUUUAAGGCUCUAUAUAAUCUUUCAUAUCUACUAGUUAGAUAGGCCUUUAGAUGUAGCAACACACAUUUUUUUUCUUCUUUUUUUUUAAUUUUACAAUUUUUUUUAAGGGUUAACUCAAAAGAAAUCUAGAAAUCGUGUAUAAAAUAAUAAACUGCUAAGCCGUAUGAAGCAUGGGCAAAAGGGUUACUCUCCAAGAAAAAUGAUAGGCUCAAAAACUCACUUGGUACUUAUUAUGACAUGUUCAUUCCUUCAAGCAACUCAUAUUUGUCUCCGACAUCAACAUGUAGAGUAGCAAAGAUGGUGUAACAUCACUUAAGACCAAAGAUAAUACAAAUACUAAAAUUUGAAAUCAUCAUGUCAUCCAAUGUUAAAACAAAUCACACAAAUUUUUUUUUCAAACAACAUUCUACCCCCCAACCUAUUCUAAACAUGAACGGAAAAUAUGCAUGCAGAAAUGUGAAAAUGAUGCAGAAAAACUAAUUCAAAAAGUUACACUUAAAAUGAUAGAAAAAGAAAAUGAUUUUUUUUUAACUAAGAAUAUGCGUUUCUAGAGGCACUACACUCCAUAUUCAGCCAUCUUCGACUCAAAAAUUUGAAAAUGUAUAUUUAUAAAGGAGAAAUUAAAAAGAAGAAGAAAAAUGAAUACCAAAGCUUAAUAAAGAAAAAGAAAAUGUCUAAAUUUUUUUGUUUUUUUUUUUAAUUUUUUUUCAAACGAUGAAGAUGCGUUUCUAGAGUCACUACACUCCAUAUUCAGCCAUCUUCAACACAAAAAGUUAGCAACAGUUAGUUUCUACAACAAAAAAUCAAUAAAAACUUAACCAAGAUUCUACAAUUGUCGACUAUUCCCUCUCCCCAACCAGAACGAAACAUUGUCCUUAAUGUUUUAAAGGAAAGAAGUAGAGUUUAGAAUACAUCACCUGGGUGGUGCAGCACAGAAGAAAAUAUUUACAAGCGGAGGUUAAAUCUAAUUUGUACUUCUUACUAUGGCUACUGUUACCAUCAUUAUUUGGACGCUCCAACACAAAUGUCCAGGGGUCUGGCUUCGGUCUAUAAGCUUGUAAAUAAUCAAGUAGCUCAUUAGCAGUGUGAGCACAAAUAAAAAGCUUUUUCGCUGUGGAAGGAAUGAAAUACUUUUUUAUUGCAUGGUUAAGAAAUGCGAUAAAGCCAUCAUAAAAGUUAUUGACAUUUAACAAACCGAUGGGUUUCUGGUGAAUGUGCAGAUGGGCCCAUGAUGCUAGUGUGAUAAGUGCCUCUAGUGUUGCAAGAUCUCCUGAAAGAAAAAUAAAAGCAUCAGUAUGAUUAAGCAUUUUAGUUAUUCUUUCUUGCAUACCUGAGACGACUAACGCUUCUCCAGUCGGUGAGUCAGACAAACUACCCAAAGGUUUUAGGGCUCUUGGGAUGAUGCCUAACACUUGGCUUCCUCUAACACAAGCAGCUUCUGAGACCAAUUUUGAUAACCCUCGAUUACCUCCUCCAUACACCAAGUGCAGUUUUCUCUCUGCUAUACUUCGACCAAGAUCUAUGGCUGCCUUAACGAACUCUUUAUGUUUGCCAUAGUUAAAUCCAGAAAGCACACAAAUGUUCUUGAAUUGUCUAUUGGGAGUAGCUGCCAUUGGGAUACUUUUAAAAAAUAAUUUGUGAGUGCUUGACAAAAAAUCAUAUUUAAUAAUCUUGGUGACAGUGGGUCAUAGCUGUGUAUGAGGUAGCAUGUCAGUGUCAAAUAACGCAUAAAGCACAUGGCUUAAGAGUAAAAAAGGAAACAGUAAAAAGGAAAAAGCAAACAGUGAUAAAAUUAUUAAAGACAAUAAUGCAAACAAUAAAACAACAGUGAAAUAAAACAACAGUAAAGUAAAAGGAUAUUUAUAGGUAGUUGCGACUGUGGCUCAUAUCUUCCUCUGGGUUUACGUCUAGAAACGGCUUAAACGCCCUCUAUGGGUCGAGGAUAGGCUUCCCAUCUAGGUUUCUUAUAAACUGGCAAACAAGGUCGUUUAUAGUCAGAUUCCUGAGACUAUAUCGUGCAUGCUCUUUCUGGAAUAAUGAUUAUAACUGGAGAAUCGCUCCUUGCACAUAUCCACUGGGAUGCGUUUCAAGAGACAAAAGGAUAUAAUCCAAUGACUUCUUAUUCAAGCCAUCCCUAAUGAAUUGAAUCUUAUCUUCCCUGUUAUCAGACAUUAUUCCUAAAAAACAUGGGUUUUUAUUGCAUCUCAUUCUAGCACAUUUAUGACAAGUAAUAGAAAUUCUUCGAGCUCUUUGUUUUCUUGCAUAAUUUCCUUUACCACAAUCAGGGAUGUAUGCAAUAUAUUUUGGAGGUAACUCACCUGCCAAUCGUGCUUUAACCUCGAUUAACCAACGGAUGUCAGCAGGUAUGUUAUUCCUCAUAAGCAAUCGCAUGCGUUCGGACCGAGCUUUAUAAAUUGUAAGGAGGGCAUUCUGAGGAAGUGAAGGGAAUCGAUUGUGAAGCGUUGCUAAAAUCUCGUUUCUGUCCAUACCUUCGCCUCAGAAUAUCAGUUAUUAUGGGAAACUGAAGUAACCGACUUGAUUGUCACGGAGUACCGUUAUCUGCCACUUUACCGGGGUAACAAACUAAAGCACACAAACAAAGAAAAACAAACUAAAACACAUAAAGAAAAUUACAAUCGUCCUCUUAUUGAAUUUACCUCAAGCUCCAACUGGAUGUUGUAGACACUUCUCUCAAUGUCUCUGAGUUGGAUUUCUAAAUCCUCAACAUAGGAUACUAACUCUGGUGGUUGCAGAGCCCAAAUACGAUGUGUUUUACAAAAUCAAAUCUACCUUUUGAGAUGAGAUUUUACACGUUGAAGUGGUUUAAGAAUGUGCAAGAGGAACUGUUUAGCUAUGACACUCAUGAUUAACAAUGAUAAGAGAAAACUUAAUGGUUAAAUAAACAUACUUAUGCAAAAAUAAUUUCAAUUAGCAAAAGAAUAAUAAAAAGAAAGAAAAAAAUCAAAUCACCGAAAAGAAAGAAAAAAAAACUCAAUUCAGAUCUGGUGGGUCACUUAAAUUUAUUUCGGUGUGUUCUCCAUGUGGUUGGUACUCUAGAUAUGGCUUUAAUCUUUGACCAUUAACUUUAAACGUGACACCGUUCUUUGGGUCCUUAAUUUCAAUUGCCCCAUAUGGAAAAACAAUAUGAACAAUAAAGGGGCCAAACCAUCGAUAGCGUAACUUACCUAGGAAUAGGUGCAAGCGAGAAUUGAAUAAAAGCACUUUCUGACCUGGAGUGAACGAUUUUCUCAUAAUUUGCUUGUCAUGAAAGACUUUCAUUUGCUGCUUGUAAAUCUUGGCAUUUUCAUAUGCAUUAUUGCGAAUUUCUUCAAGUUCUGCCAGCUGUAAUAUUCUUUCUGAGCUGGCUUGCUGCAUGUUAUAGUUGAAUUUCUUGAUGGCCCAAUAUGCACUAUGCUCGAGUUCCACAGGUAGGUGGCAAGCUUUUCCAUACACUAGCCUGUAGGGUGACAUCCCAAUCGGGGUCUUGAAAGUCGUUCUAUAUGCCCAUAAUGCAUCAUCAAGUCUUAAUGACCAAUCUUUUUUGUCUGGCCUCACUGUCUUUUCUAAUAUGUGCUUUAUUUCUCGAUUGGAGAUCUCAACUUGGCCACUGGUUUGCGGAUGAUAUGGGGUCGCCACUUUGUGAGUGAUUGAAUACUUUGUCAAAAGAGUUUUGAAUGCUUUGUUACAAAAGUGGGCACCACCAUAAUUGAUUAUUGCUUGAGGGAAUCCAAAGCGUGAAACAAUGUUGCUUUUCAAAAAUCUUAUCACCACCUUGUGAUCAUUGGUUCUACAUGGAAUUACUUCUACCCAUUUUGAUACGUAGUCAACAGCAACCAAUAUGUAUUGAUGGUCGAAAGAAGGGGAAAUGGUCCCAUGAAGUCGAUACCCCAUACAUAAAAAAUCUCAACCACUAAAAUUAGAUUUAGUGACAUCAUAUUCCUUCGUGUAAUGGUCCCCAUUCAUUAACAACUUAUCACAUGAAGAACAGAAAGUGUAAGCGUCUCGAAAUAUAGUUGGCCAAUAGAAACCACAUUGUAAAACUUUAGUCACUGUUUUCUUAUCACUAAAAUGGCCUCCACAAGCUUGUUCAUGGCAGAAUAAAGGAUAUUUUGAAUUUCACUUUCUGGGACACAUCGUCUAACAAUUUGAUCUGCACAAUACUUGAACAAAUAAGGAUCAUCCCAAAAGAAAUUCUUUAUUUCCGUAAAAAAUUUGGCUUUGUCUUGCGUGGUCCAAUGCUUUGGAAGUUGACAUGUAACAAGAUAAUUAACGAUAUCGUAAUACUUCCGUACUCAUCAAUUUUUCAUCUGGGAAUGACUCAUUCAAUGUUAAUGGUUCUGUAAUUGUGUCAAAAUGGAGACGAGAGAGAUGGUCUACCACAACAUUUUCUGUGCCUUUCUUAUCUUUAAAUUCCAAGUCAAAUUCCUGCAAAAGAAACACCCAACGAAUUAGUCUAGCUUUUGCAUAUUUCUUUGUGAAAAGAUAUUUAAGAGCAGCCUGAUCCGUGAAUACAAUUAUUUUACAACCAAUGAGAUAAGAUCGAAAUUUUUCUAAUGCAAACACUACUGCUUGAAUUUCUUUUUCAGUAGUUGAAUAGUUCAACUGUGCAUCAUUCAAUGUCAUACUAGCAUAGUAAAUAACAUGGAGAAUUUGAUCAAUUCUUUGUCCUAAAACUGCUCCUACUGCAUAAUCAGAUGCAUCACACAUGAGCUCAAAUGGUAAGUUCCAAUUUGGGGGCUGAAUGAUGGGUGAUGAUGUCAAUAACUGCUUUAAUUUUUCAAAUGCCACAAGACAUGAAUCAUUAAAGAUAAAAGGUACAUCCUUAGCAAGUAGAUUGCAUAAGGGUCUAGAAACUUUACUAAAAUCUUUAAUGAAACGUCUAUAAAAACCAGCAUGCCCAAGGAAAGAUCUUACUUUUCUGACUGUUUUGGGUGGAGGAAGAUUAGAAAUGAGAUCCACCUUGGCUUUGUCAACCUCAAUACCUUUACUCGAAAUGAUGUGACCGAGAACAAUACAUUGUUUUACUAUAAAAUGACACUUUUCCCAAUUUAAGACUAAGUUCUUCUCGAUACAUCUCUGCAGAAUUAGUGUUAGAUGAUGUAAACAUUGAUCAAAUGAGUCAGCAAAAACAGAAAAGUCAUCCAUAAAGACUUCAAGGAAUCGUUCAACCAUUUCAGAAAAAAUGCUUAACAUGCAUCGUUGAAAUGUGACAGGUGCAUUACAUAAUCCAAAUGGCAUCCUCCUAUAUGCAAAUGUGCCAAAAGGGCAAGUGAAAGUUGUUUUCUCUUGAUCUUUUGGUGCUAUGGAGAUCUGAUUGUAUCCUGAGUAGCCAUUUAGAAAGCAAUAAAAUUCAUGGCCUGCUAAUCUAUCAAGCAUUUGAUCGAUAAAUGGUAAAGGAAAAUGGUCUUUACGUGUGACAGAAUUCAACUUUCUAUAAUCAAUGCAUACACGCCAUCCUGUAGUCACUCUAGUAGGUAUUAAUUCAUUAUCGGCAUUGGUAACUACUAUGACUCCUGACGUUUUGGGGACAACUUGUACAUGACUGACCCAUAAACUAUCAGAAAUAGGGUAAAUGAUACCUGCAUCUAAUAGCUUAAGGACUUCAGUUCUGACAACUUCUUUCAUGUUAGGAUUUAACCGACGUUGCAUUUCCCUAGUAGGUUUAGCAUUUUCAUCAAGGUGAAUGUAAUGCAUGCAGUCUACUGGGUUUAUACCUUUGAUGUCUGCUAUAGUCCAUCCUAAUGCUCCUUUGUGCUCUUUUAAAACAUCCAACAACUUACCUUUUUGUUCUUCAUUUAGAGUACUUUCUUCUCCCAAAAAUGUAUAUUCCAAAGUGUUGGGUAAUGGUUUGAGCUCGAGUUUCGGUGGUGAUUCUGAUGAUGGGAUGAGUUUCUCCUCUGAUGGUGCUAGUGGUUCAACUCUUGACUUCCAUUUAUUAGUGUCCAUGGAUGGUGCUGAGUCAAGUAGAUCGUUGACUUCAUCGACCGAUCUGUUAAAAUCAAAAUAAAAACCAAAGUGAGUUAAACAUGUUUGUAAAGGAUCAUCAUUGAGGUUUGAAAGAAAAAUAUUAUCAACUAUUGUUUCUAUUAAAUUCACAUUAAUAAUUCCAUCAUCUGCAUUGUGAGGUUGUUUGGCAAUGUUGAAGAUGUUUAGCUCCAUAGUCAUGUUGCCAAAGGACAAAUGCAUAUUUCCAGUUUUGCAUUGAAUGUGAGCAUCGGCAGUUGCCAAGAAAGGUCGGCCUAGGAUAAUGGGGAUGUGCUUCCUUGAAUCCUGUAUUGGUUGAGUGUCAAUUACAAUGAAAUCAACAAGAAAAUAAAACUUGUCUACCUGGAUAAGCACGUCCUCCACAAUACCACGAGGUAUUUUCGUGGACCGAUCUACAAGUUGUAACACCACUGGAGUUGGGUGUAAUUCUCCCAGUCCAAGUUUCACAAAUACUGAGUAGGGUAACAGAUUUACAUUAGCUCCUAAAUCCAACAAAGUAUUCUCAAUUGUGUGGUUCCCUAUACUACAUGAGAUAGUAGGGGAGCUUGGGUCUUUCCAUUUUAGAGAAAUUUUGUGUUGGAGUAUAGAACUAACAUUUUCUGUUAAAAAAACCUUCUUUUGAACGUGAAUGUUUCUCUUUUUAGUACAAAGGUCUUUAAGAAACUUGGCAUAAGAUGGAACUUGCUUUAUAGCAUCAAGUAAAGGGAUGUUAACACUUACCUAUUUGAAGAUUUCAAGAAUCUCACCUGUGGAUUUUCCUUCUUUCCUUUAGCUAACCUCUGAGGAAAUGGAGCUUUGGGAACAUAUUCUUGUGGGUUGGUUUCUUCUUUCUCUUCCGAUGGUGAGUCCUCAACAUUCACAGGUACAAUUUGAUUUUCUUUUGUCACCUGCAACUCCACUUUGUUGUCGACUUCUUUUCCUUUUCGCAAGGUCAUGACUGCUUUGACCUCUCCAUGCUGCUGUGGUGAACUGGUACUUACUUCAUGCACUCCUUUAGGAUUAGACACUGGUUGACUUGGAAACUUGCCUUUCUCAACAGUUAUUGCCAAGGUCUGAACUGAAGAAGCAAGUUGUCCCACCAUCUUCUCGAAGCUUGAAACUGAUUGGCCUUGUGAGUUUAAGGCUGCUCUCAUCUCAUUUCGUAGUUCAUCAAUGGUGCGGUUCUGUUGCUUAAUCGUGGAGUGAGUAACAUUCUUGAAAUUUUGGAAUGAAUCCUCCUAUGGUCUGGGUUGAAAGUAGUUCUGGUUCUGAUUUUAUGGUCUAAAUGGUGGCUGAGAGGCUUGAGGAACUUGAGGAAUUUGUUGCAUUGGUGGAGCUGGAGCUGCUGGUCCAUUCUGUUAGAAUCCUUGAGACCAUAAAAAAUUUGGGUGGUCUCUCCAUCCAUGGUUAUAUGUGUUGGAGUAUGGGUUGUAAUUUGAUGGUUUUUUAUUAUACCUAUGGCAUUGGCUUGAUCUGGGUAUGAGUUAUGGUCAUGUGGUUCUGUUGAUUUAGCAGUCGAUAAUGAUGCUAUUUGUCGAGAAAGACCUUCAACCAUCUCCUUGACUUCUUUGAUUCCCGAAGUUGACUUGCCAAUGUGAACCUCAUUCACUCCUUUAAUUCUUUUAGUAUUCCCGAGUGAUCGACUCCGUUGUUGGGAAUUAUCCGCUUGUCGCUGGAAGAAUUCCCAAAUCUCUGAUGCACUUUUUGACAUUUGCUCUCCUCCACUUGUUGCCAUUAGCCAUUCUUGCACAUUUGCAAUAAUCCUUCCAAAAAGUAUUGGCAUUGGUGCCAUUUCUUGUACCCAUGAUGUGGACACUUCAAGAGUAGCCUAUUGAAUCGCUCCCAUGUUUCGAAAAACUACUCGUCUUCUCUCUGGGUAAACUCUGAAAUUUCCCUGCGAAUAACAUUGAUUUUAUGCACUGGGAAAUAUUUAUUCAAAAAUUUAGUUACCAUUUAUUCCCAUAAUGUGAUGCUAUUGACAGGUAAUGUAUUGAGUCAUGAACGAGCUCUAUCCUUUAAAGAAAAUAUGAAUAAUCUGAGUUUAACAUCAUCGUCUGAAAAAUUCUCGUAUUUAAAAGUUUGACAAACAUCAUGAAAAUCAUUCAGAUGACUAUAUGGGUCCUCAUUUUAUAAGCCAUAGAAUGUUGGGAGACAAUUUAACACACUAGGUUUUAGUUCAAAACUCCUAGCAGCUACAUUUAGGUAUCUUAUUCAUGAUGUGCUCAAAUUAGCUAAAGGACUGAAGUAGUUCUUAAAUGGCCUCUCCUGUGGUGGUGCUUGUUGUUGCAAAUCUAUUUUAUUUUUAAUGUGUUUGUGUGUGUGCAGUGUUUUUUCUAGUUGAAGGUCUAUAAGUUCAAGAUUAGGUAAUAAUAACCUUCGACCAUGCAUGCAAAGAACACAAAAUAAAUGGGAACAAAACAAAUAAAAAUAAAGAAGAAAGAGAAAUUACGAUACUAACCUUAUUACGCUGUUAAAACCUUAUUAUAAAAAUACACAAAAAAUACAUUAAAUAAAUUAACUAAAAAUAAAUUAGUAAGAUAAAUAAAAAUUACAAAGAGAAAAAAAAUAAUUUGAAAAUUAAAUUACAGAAUUGUAAAGAAUAGAGAAAGAAAAGAAAUUAUUACUUCUAAAUGCAGAUUCACUUUUUUUUCUUCUUUUUUUUAAUAAGAAAAAAAUUAAAGGAAAACAAAUAAAAGAUAUUAUUCAAAAAAAUUAAUUCUACGAAUUAAAAUAACUUACCUCCCCGGCAACGGCGCCAAAAACUUGUUGUGCAAAUUUUAUUAAACUUGCAAGCGAACAAAUCUAUUAUAGAAUAGAUCAAUGGUGACGAGUGUCGAUCCCACGAGGAGGUGGAUUUUAAUUGUGUGUAGAAUUAAUUUUUCUAAAUGGGUGGUAGGAUUUGUGGUGAAAGUGAGUUAGAUUAUCCUAAAAUUGGAAUUGAAAUGGCAAGAAUAAAUUGAAGAGAAAUCUAUUAAAAUGACGUACUUGGGUAUCUGGAUCCGUAUCAACAUGCACCAUGGGCUAAAUAUUCCUUAUUAAUGUCAAUUAAAUCAUGAGGGGGAAAUCCACACCUCAUGAACCACACUCUAAUCAAUAUGGUGCUAAGGGCUUAUCGUACUAAAUAAUAAUAACCUUGUACUAGGGAGCCGGUGUAACCAGGGCGGUAUCUAGACAAGAUUAUUAUUAUUUGUCGGCGAAAAGUCAAAUCAUCCAUAAAAAUUAGAGGGAAAAAGAAAAUAAAUUUACCAAAUAAAGCCCAUGACACAUGUUGAGACUUUACCUUCAACCCAAACUUAAAAGAAAAUUAGCUGCUCAUAAUUGAACUAGGGGCAAAAUGGAAAUUUAUUAAAAUACGUAGAAAAUACAAGAUAGAGAAGGAAUUACAAAAAUAGAGUCCAAAAAUGGAUUCAGAGAUGCCAAAUUAGGGGGGAGAGGUCCCCUUUUUAUAGAUACAUUGAGUAAAUCAUGGCCAUCGGAUUAAAAACAGUUUGGACGUUUAGGAUUGCGCCACAUCAUCAGUCAACAGUAUGCGUCAACAGUACGCGGUUUGGUUGAAAAUAAUCUUGUGUAAUGCAUGUACUAUACGCGAGAUUUUUGAUCCACUGAUAUGCUGCCACGUCAUCGAUCAACAAUACAUAAGAAUUUUAGUCCAACAGGAUCGUGACACCUCAUCAGUCAAUGCCACAUCAUCGGUCAAUGCCACAUCAUCGAUCAAUGCCACAUCAUCGGUCAAUGCCACGUCAUCGAUCCGUCUAUGUGAACAGUGUCGUGAACAGUAACGUAGACAAUACCAUACAUAUGAAUAGUACCGUACAUGUGAACAGUGACAUUUUUCCUUUUAUGCUCCUCCUAAAGUUUUUAACUAUCUUGAGUUCAAAAGUGAUGUCCGUUUUGCCGUCUGAUUUCUCGUUCAUUGUGAAAUAACCAUGAUGCCCUUAAAAUACAUAAAAUACUUAAUUAAAAUAAAACACACGUAAUUAAAUCACAAGAAGGUUAAAUACAUAAAAGUAAGGGUGUUAUUAAAAUUUGAAAUGUAAAAUGAUGAUUUUCUCCUUUAUAAAUAUACAUUUUCUAACACUCAACAGGCACCUUACUUAGUUUCUUCCACUGAUUAGACUUUAUAUAUUUCCAAGCCAGAAAUCUUCUUUUUGUCUUUUUUUUUUUUUUAACCAAGCUAAUGGCAGCUCUUUGGGUGGCCUGGGUACCACUUCUUCUAUGAGGUGUGCCUAACCUCCUCACAUCUUAAGAUGUGAACCAGGUCACCCAAAAACUCAGACAUUACAUCCUCUCUUACUCAUUAAAAGUGUUGGAACAGAUGUACCAAGAUAAAAGAUAACGGCUCAAGGAGUACUCCGAGAACCCAAAAAAGAAAGAUGGGCUCCCUUUCCUAUUUGCUUUAGAAAUGGCUGCCAAUUUGGACAAGUUGAAGAGGGCGGAGCUGAUUGACCCAAACUGUUCAUCUGCUUUUGAGGAUAAAUCACCAAGUAUAGGUAGAGGGUGUUGUAAGGGUACCCCACCAUCACCCAUAUUUUGUUUUCUAGUGACUACCAUGUAUAGAUCACUCUGGUGAGGAUUUUAAUGCCUUCUUCAGUCAUUUGAGAAGUGGUUUAUCGAUUACCUCAAAAUGUACUUCAAUUAAGGGUACCUUUCCUUCACAUUCUUUGAGGACGAAAGCAAAAUCAUAGGGCUCCUUUCUUGCAGCUUCAGAGGUACCCUCAACAGAAGAACAUAAUCGACAAUACUUUUGAGCGCAUCAUGACCGAAGAAUGAAGUGCUAAUCUGAGGCUAGUUGUGCCAAGAGUGGAGAAGUGGGUAGCCAAGUCGGCCAUCUUGAAGGCGAUUGAGGAUAGUAGGUCUCCUAACAAAUCUUGGUCUGAAAGCCCAUGGAGAUAAGUAGGGGUACUGAUAACUCUAGGAAAUGAGAGUUAUUACAUCAUUUCUAAGCUUAAAUCAAGAUCACUUAGAGAUCAAAGAAGGUGUUUUUAUUACAUUUUGGUUAUAUUUUGCGUAAACAUUCAUUUUAGUUGAGUCUUAAUAAGUUUUGCUUAAAUCAAAGUAAUUUGUGCUAAAAUCAGGUGCAUAAUUGUAGGUUUUCAGAAAGUCUUGAUUCAUGAGGGGAUGUUGAGGCAUUAGGCGAGCAAGAGGAGGAAAGAAGACAGCCACAAAAGAAGUAAAGCACAAUAGGGAAUAGUGCAGUGUGGUUGCGGAUGUUAGAGCAACCAGUGUUGUAGCAAUCUGAGAACAAUGCGGGAAAAAACUUAGGCGCGGGUCAACUACAGAAUCACAAUCUGCAUGUUCCUAAUUUAACGCAUACACGCUCAUGGGCUUUUGUUUACCCUAAUUUGCAAUAUAAAAGGGAGGCGUGCACGACAUAGAACGGCGGAAGGGAAUUAUCAUUAGAAUAAUUACAAAGGAAAGAAGAAAAAGAUCAGAAUUGAAGAGUGAUGUUUCGGCAACAUUGAAGAAUCGUGCAGAAUUAUUUGGAUUUGUCUUUCACCGUGCUCAACUUAUAUUUAUCUUCUUCCUUUAAUUGUUUGAUGUAUCCCUUGAUCAAUAUAUUUAUGUUUAUUUUUCUCAUUCAGAAUAUGAACUAGAUUUACUUGUAGUUGAGUGACAAAUAAUCCAUUGGGUUAUUGACUGUUCUUAUAAGUUGUUAUGUCAUUGCUGUAACAUUUUACUCUAGUAGUUUGUAUGAAUAUAACUAUUAUUUCGGUUGACCACCCAUUUAAUAGUUUCAGUUAAGAUAGAGCAGCAAAAGGGCAUGUCUUAGUGGAUAUUAUUAGAGUAUUACUUGAUCUUAAGUUGAGUUUCCUAGAUUAAGUUAUCUUGAAUCCCAUAAGGACAAUACUUGAAGUUAGGAUUUGUGACACACUAGACAUAGGUGUUCACCUUGUAGGGUGGAGAGACUAAAGAUCAUAAUGUCAUGCCAUAAGUAGAUUAGCAACUGGUCAUUGUUAAUAGAUUUAAGGGUAUGAGACUUCCAAUAUGCCAUAGCUGAGGAUGCAGAUUUAUUCUGCCUAGUGCUGCCGCACUUGCCGUAACAACUGGUGCUAAAUUGAUGAACAAAAUAGUCAUCCUCGUAAGGAGAAUUUGAUCAUUCAACUACUAUGAUCUCAAUUGAAUCUUAGACACAGUUAACAUAGUUUAUUUCAUUACAAUAUUGUUUUAUUUAAUUCUCUCACAAUUAUUAAUUGCGAUAGAAAUUACUUUACAAUUGUUAGCUUCGGCCUUAAGUUGAUUUGCACUAUUGUGAUUGCUGUAGCAUUUCGAGUAACAUCAAUCCCUGUGGAGACGAUCUUGAAUAUUCAUCACUUUAUUACUUGUUGUGUAUACUUGCACAUUGGCAUUGGUAGCAAUUGCUUAUUAAAAUAACCAACAAGUUUUUGGCGUCGUUGCUGGGGAUUCAUUGUUUAUCUUUGAAGUGUGAAGUAAAUCUUGAUAGCACAAAAUUUGACCUAAUUAAUUCUAUUUAUUGGCAGAUCGGUACGUGCAUGCUCAAAGACAGAUCUAUGGUAUUCCAAUUCGAUCCUGGGAUUGAAAGGAUUGUCAAGAGACUGCGAAGAGAACAAAGGAAUUCAAAAACUGUUUCAAGCAUGAAUAAUUUGCAGGAUGCGGGAAAUUUGAAUCCUCACGAGCCCUUACAACCAGUCAACAUUCAAGAAGAGCAGAAUGAACAUGCUAACGGGAGACAGCCAGGCAAUAACAAUAUUAUUUACAUGGCUAAUGACAGAGACAGAGCUAUAAGAGAUUAUGCUGUGUUAACUCCUCAAGUUGUACACCAUGAGAUCAUCAGACCUGAAGUAGAAACUGCAAAUUUUGAGUUGAAGCCAAUGAUGUUUCAAAUGUUGCAAACAGUUGGUCAAUUCAAUGGAUUGCCAAAUGAAGAUCCUCAUCUCCAUCUUAAAUUGUUCUUGGAAGUAAGUGAUGCUUUUAAGAUUGCUGGAGCAACACAAGAUGCCUUAAGGCUGAGGCUCUUUCCUUAUUCCUUAAGAGAUCGAGUAAGAGCAUGGUUAAAUUCGUUACCAUCUGAUUCCAUCACUACAUGGAAUGAAUUGGCUGACAAAUUCCUAAUGAAAUAUUUCCCACCAACAAAAAAUGCAAAGUUGCAGAAUGAGAUUACUUCCUUCCAUCAACUUGAAGAUGAGAGUUUGUACGAGGCUUGGGAAAAAUUUAAAGAAUUGCUCAGAAAGUGUCCUCAUCAUGGUAUUCCUUGUUGCAUUCAAUUGGAAACUCUCUACAAUGGGUUGAAUCUGAGUACAAGGUUAAUGGUGAAUGCUUCAGCAAAUGGAGCCCUGUUAUCCAAAUCUUACACUGAAGCUUAUGAAAUUCUAGAGAGAAUUGCCAAUAAUAAUUAUCAGUGGCCUUCAGCCAGGCAACCAACAGCAAGAGGAUCAGCAGGGGUACAUAACAUAGAUGCAAUUAUAGCCUUAUCAGCACAAGUAACCUCAUUGACUAACAUGGUAAACGCCAUGACAUCUGCUCUAGCAACAGUAAAGUAAGUUGCUGAACUUUCUUGUGUAUACUGUGGUGAAGAACAUGACUUUGAUAAUUGUCCUGGAAAUCCAGCUUCAGUAAACUAUGUGGGUAAUUUCAAUCGACAGCCUCAGAACAACCCAUAUUCAAAGACUUACAACCCUAGCUGGAAACAACACCCAAACUUCUCAUGGAGCAGUCAGAAUCGAAAUGCUCCAGCAUUAAAUGGACAAAAUAGAAACACACAAUCACCUGGUUUUUAUCAGCAGAGUCAAGGGCAAAAGCAUAUCAGUAAGGAUCCAAUCACUUCCCUGGAAGCACUAAUUAAGGAAUACAUUUCAAAGAAUAAAGCAAUUGUACAGAGUCAAACUGUAUCUUUGAUAAACCUGGAAAACUAAAUGGGACAACUUGCCACAACAAUGAGUAGCAGAACUCAAGGAAGCUUACCUAGCAACAUAGAAGACUCUAGGAGAGAGGGCAAAGAACACUGCAAAGUAAAUAAUUUGAGAUCUGGAAAGAAUGUUGAUAUCCCAGUUGAUGUAACCAAAAAUGGGAUGGAAUUCAAUUCAACACAAAAAUCACCUCAAAAUGGAAGCUUGUUACAACAACCUCCCCAUGAAGACACUGGUUACAUGGGCCAAGGUAUAGCAAAUACAGAAGAAAUUCAACUAGAACAUGCUGAAAAAGAAGUUGCAACACCAGUAGCCACAACUUACACCAAACCAAACAAAUAAAGUUUCAUACCUCCUGAAGCUACCCAGCAGUUUAGACAUCCACCACCUUUCCCACAAAGGUUCCAGAAGCAAAAACAAGACAAGCAGUUCAGCAAAUUCCUGGAAGUGCUGAAGUAAUUACACAUAAAUAUACCUUUUGUGGAAGCUUUGAAGCAAAUGCCAAAUUAUGUGAAAUUUCUAAAAGACAUCUUGGCAAGAAAGAGAAGACUGGGAGAGUUUGAAACUAUUGCUUUAACAUAGGAAAGUAUUCAUAUGCUCCAAAUUAAGAUUCCUACAAAAGUGAAAGAUCCAGGAAGUUUUACAAUACCCUGCUCUAUAGGAACUGGGUAUGCUGGCAGAGCACUUUGUGACUUGGGAGCUAGUAUUAAUUUGAUGCCAUUAUCUAUAUUUAAGCAGCUGGGAGUAGGAGAAUGCAGACCAACAACAGUCACUCUGCAAUUAGCUGACAGAUCUCAUGCAUACCCUGAAGGAAAAAUAGAGGAUGUACUGGUGAAGGUUGACAAAUUCAUCUUCCCAGUAGAUUUCAUUGUACUGGACUUUGAAGCUGAUAAAGAGGUACCCAUUAUACUUGGAAGACCUUUUCUAGCAACUGAAAAGACUCUGAUAGAUGUACAGAAAGGAGAACUCACCAUCAGAGUAAAUGAUCAGCAAGUCACAUUUAAUGUACUAGAGGCUAUGAGGAACCCUGAUGAAGUAGAAAAUUGCAAUUUUCUAAGUGUAGUGGAUUUUGUUGUAGCAGAUAGAAUGGACAUAUGCUGCAGUAAUGAACUCAACAAAGUCACUACCUUUGAGGAUAUAGAACAAGAAGAUGUUGCAGCAAAUCAGAUAGAUUGGAUGGGAGAAAAGCAACCUGAUAGGCACAACAGGUUUAUUGAGCAUCUGAACCUUUCAGAUAAGGAAGUAAAAAAAACUUUACCAUCUAUUGAAUCACCUUCUAGUCUUGAGUUAAAAUUGUUACCUUCACAUUUGAAGUAUGUUUAUCUUGGUCAAAACAAAACACUCCCUAUAAUCAUUUCUUCUACUUUGGAUGUAGGUCAAGAACAGAGUCUAAUGAAUUUACUUGGAAAAUACAGAAGAGCAAUUUGAUGGACCAUGGCAGACAUCAAGGGUAUAAGCCCAUCAAUUUGCAUGCGUAAAAAUCCUAUUAGAAGAUUGCUCCAGCAAUUCAGUGGAGCACCAGAGAAGGUUGAACCCUAUAAUGAAAGAAGUGGUGAAGAAGGAAAUCAUCAAAUGGUUGGAUGCUGGAAUCAUAUACCUAAUAUCAGACAGUUCAUGGGUGAGCCCAGUUCAAUGUGUUCCAAAGAAGGGAAGGAUAACAGUAGUAGCUAAUGAGAGGGAUGAACUUAUCCCUACAAGGACAGUGACUGGAUGGAGAGUAUGUAUGGAUUACAGGAAGCUCAACAAAGCCACAAGGAAAGACCAUUUCUCACUUCCAUUCAUAGAUCAGAUGUUGGAUAGACUUGCUGGAAACUAGUACUAUUAUUUCUUAGAUGGGUAUUCAGGCUACAACCAGAUUGCUAUAGCGCCAGAGGAUCAGGAGAAGACUACAUUUACUUGUCCUUAUGGAACAUUUGCCUUCAGAAGAAUGUCCUUUGGGUUAUGCAAUGCUCUAGCAACUUUUCAGAGAUGCAUGAUGUCUAUUUUUUCUGAUAUAGUAGAGCAGACUUUAGAAGUUUUCAUGGAUGACUUCUCAGUUUUUGGAGAAACAUACAAAGAUUGUUUACACAACUUGGAAGAAGUUCUCAAAAUAUGUGAGAUGACCAACUUAGUACUCAAUUGGGAAAAGUGUCAUUUCAUAGUGCAAUAUGGAAUAGUGUUGGGACAUAAUGUAUCCAAGAAUGGCAUUGAGGUAGACAAAGCCAAGAUAGAGGUAAUAAAUAAACUGCCACCUCCACUUCAGUAAAAGGUAUUAGGAGUUUCUUGGGUCAUGCUGGAUUUUACAGAAGAUUUAUUAAGAAUUUUUCCAAGGUAGCUAAACCACUAUGCUCAUUGCUGGAACAUGACAAACCUUUUCAUUUUGACAAGGAUUGCCUUCAAGCAUUUGGAGAGUUAAAGGAAGCUCUAAUUACUACUCCAGUGGUUAUAUCUCCAGACUGAAAUUUCCCAUUUGAACUGAUGUGUGGUGCUAGUGACCAUUCUGUGGGAGCAGUAUUAGGGCAAAGAAAUGAUAAGGUCUUUCACUCCAUAUACUAUGCAAGCAAAACUCUUACUCAAACUCAUAUCAAUUACACCACUACAGAGAAAGAGUUGCUAGCUGUAGUAUUUGCUUUUGACAAAUUCAGAGCUUACUUAGUGGGUAUUAAAGUGACUGUUUACACAUACCAUACAACCAUCAAAUACUUAAUCUCAAAGAAGGAUGCCAAAUCAAGAUUAAUUAGAUGGAUCUUACUGCUUCAAGAAUUUGAUCUGGAAAUUAAAGAUAGAAAGGAGACUGAGAAUUAAGUGGCAGACCACUUGUCACGGCUGGAAGCAAACACUAAUACAUCGACAAUGAGGGACAUCAUUGACACAUUUCCUUAUGAACAGCUAUUGGCAAUACAACAAGCACAGAUGCUGCAGCAGUUAGGAUCCCCCUGGUAUGCAGAUUUUGCUAACUACUUAGUAAGUGGGAUGCUACCACCUGAGCUGAAGUUUCAGGAGAAAAAGAAAUUUUUUCAUGAUGUUAGAAGCUAUCAGUGGGAUGAUCCAUACUUAUAUAAGUUAUGCUCAGAUCAAGUAAUACAAAGAUGUGCUUCCGAAGGAGAAAUACACCACAGACUAGAGUCAUGCCAUGUUGCAGCAUAUGGAGGACAUUUUAGUGGUCAUAGAAUAGCUGCUAAAAUUCUGCAAUUAGGUUAUUACUGGCCCACUAAUUUUAAAGGUGCUUAUGAAUUUGUUAAAUGUUGUGACAGGUGCCAAAGGACAGGGAACAUAACUAAAAGACAUGAAAUGCCAUUGACUAACAUUCUCGAAGUGGAAGUUUUUUAUGUCUGGGGAAUAGAUUUUAUGGGACCUUUCCCACCAUCCUUUGGGAACUUAUAUAUCCUUGUUGCUGUGGAUUAUGUCUCCAAGUGGGUAGAAGUUGCAGCAUUACCUACCAAUGAUGCUAAGACAAUGGUGGCUUUUCUUCAUAAAAACAUUUUUUCCAGGUUUGGCACUCCUAGAGCAAUUAUUAGUGAUGAUGGUACACAUUUUUGCAACAAAGUCUUUGCUGUAGCUAUAGUGAAAUAUGGAGUCAGACACAAGGUAACAAUAACAUAUCACCCACAAUCUAAUGGUCAGACUGAAGUGUCCAAUAGAGAAAUUAAAAAGAUAUUAGAAAAAGUGGUGAACCCAACAAUGAAGGAUUGGUCUUUACAGUUACAUGAUUCUCUAUGGGCCUAUAGAACAACAUACAAAACUCCACUCGGCAUGUCUCCUUACCGAAUUGUUUAUGGAAAGGCUUGUCAUUUGCCACUAGAGCUAGAGCAUAAAGCACACUGGACACUGAAGAAAUUAAAUUGGGACAUUCAUGCCGCAGCAGAGCAAAGAAAGCUUCAACUUUGUGAGCUUGAUGAAUUAUGGCUAUUUUUUCAUAUGAAAAUGCAAGAAUCUAUAAAGAGAGGACAAAACACUAGCACGACAAGAAUAUUCAACAUAGGUACUUCAACCCUGGUCAAUUAGUGUUACUCUACAAUACAAGACUAAGAUUAUUUCCGGAAAAGCUAAAAUCACGAUGGUCUGGCCCUUUUAAGCUGUUAAAAUUUUAUCCUCAUGGAGUUUUUGAUCUUCUAGAUGAACAAACAGGUCAAGAAUUUAAAGUUAAUGGACACAGGGUUAAGCAUUACAUACACCCAGCUAUUGAGCAAUGACAGAAGGUCAGGCUGAAGGACCUUAAAUCAAGCGCUCCAUGGGAGGCAACCCAUAGUAGAGACAACCACCUAAAACUAAGUUUGAUCUCCUUUGGUUUUGUUGACAGCUCUCCCUUUUUACCAUUUUAUUUUGUUCUCCCAUUCUAGCUAUUUAGUUUUAUUCUUUCACAUUAUUGCAUUCUUUACUUUCGCUAUCAUUUGAUCUCUUUAUUUUUAAUUAAUUUUAGAAUUAAUUUUAGUUUGUGGGAAAUAUGUGUAGAAAUUGAAUUUCAUAUUGACAAGUGAGGUUGUUUGGUGGCAGAGUGCAGAGGUGAGCCACAUGUUAAAGGGCUUUAGUGUGGAGUAUGUAACCGUUGCUAGAGUAAGCAAAUGGGUACUGCAGUAACCAAUUUUACCGUUACAGUAAAUUAAAAGACGGAGCCUCUCACUUACCGUUGGAGAUAGAUCAUGACAGAUGGAAGCAUGAUUUGGAUAAAAAUUGCGAAGAAAGAAAAAAAUAUCCGAAAUUAAUGCCUUAAUUUCACUGGCCGAUAUUUUUGAGAUAUACACAUUAAAAUCAAAAUAUUUUCUUCCUUCAUUUAUCUUUAGUUACCGUGUUUAUCUUCAAUUAAAGUCCACUAUAAAAAGGAGUCGCUGUGCGUAGUGCUCUACGGCACUAUUCCCUAUCUCCUUCACAAAGUGCAACUCUCAUAAUUCUUAACCUCUUCUUCAUUUUACUCUCAGGGACAUUAGCUUCAAUUUGGUACUGCUACAGCAAUGCUGAGGUAUAAGAAAACAGCCAGCCGCCUCAAAGAUCCGUCACGCAUGCAGAGUUACCACGCCGAAGAAAAAUAUGAAGAAUUCAUAGAGCUGCGUAGAAUUCUGGAAGAAAAAGGAUUUCAAUUUCCAGAACGACUCACUGGAAUUGUGCAAACAAUACACAAUGCUGCAGCAAAGCGCGGAUGGUUAGAGUUUUGCAACCACCCUCGAGAUCCUGUGGUACCAGUAGUCAAACAAUUUUAUGCCAAUUUGGUAAGCCCGAAUCAACACAACAUUUGGGUAAGAAAUACACUUGUUCCAUUAGACUCCCACGUUAUAAAUGCUUUUUAUAAUUUACCUGCUGAAAUUAAUUGUGAGUAUACCAAGUUGCUUAGUAAAUUGACCCCAAAAAAAUGGAACACCAUUUUCACAACUCUUACAAUUGAAGAGGCAUCGUGGGUUAACGAGAAAGGGCAUGUAGUUAAUAGGAUAAAUUUGAAACAUAUUGCGAAGGUGUGGGUAAAAUUUCUGAAAUCUAGGCUUAUGCUAACCACUCACACUACUACAGUUUCACAAGAGAGGUUGGUCUUGUUAUAUGUCAUUGUUCGAGGGCUUCCCAUAGAUGUGGGUAGCAUUAUCACAACAGAAAUCCGAGAUUGUGCAGUUAAGACUCACAGGACUGCUGCCUUGCUAUUUCCUUCACUCAUCACCAGCAUUUGUGUAGUUUUUGAUGUCCGUCUUGACGCAAAAGAUGACCAUAUCAGGAAUGAUGGAGCCUUUACGGCAUGUACCAUUGAGAGUUGCUGGAGAGAGUGCUGGAACAACAACUGAACCAGCUGUUGUAACGGAAGCAAGACGAGCCAUUGGUUUAGAACAGACAAUCCAGGCACUCAGCACAAGUAUAACUCAAUGUGCUAAAGCUCAACAGAGGGAAAAUGAUCGGUUUUGGAGUUAUCUAUAGCACCGGGACAACCAACUACACCAAUUCACCCUGUACAUGAAACGCACUCACCGGAACUUCCCUGAUUCAUUGCUCCAGCAGUACAAUUUUGUCCCCAAUCCCAUAGGAGCUCCAGCAGAAGCCAGUGAAGAAGCCACUGCCAUAGAUAAACCAGAAGAAGAAGCUACAGCCGAACCACAAGCGGAGAUAGAAUCAGAAGAUACGGAUCCAUCUGAUUAACCUAAGGAAGAAAGUGACAAGUCUGAGACUGAUAGCUCACCCACAGAGGCAGAGGACAAUUCUGAGAAAGAACAUGAGGAACCUUCCAUCCCCACUCAGUCCAAGACCAGAAAAAGGCACAUUAUUCAAGAAGAUGAGAAGGAAGACCCUGAAGAGGAACUGUCCAUUCCAGUCCUUGCGGCAAGGGUAAUGGCAAAGGCAAAGCAAAAAUGGCAACACCUCCAGCCUCUGAAGAUGAAAUGGAGAAAGUUGAUGCAGAGCUGGCUGCUACAGCAACCAGAGUUACGCCCACACCUGCAGAAGCUAAACAGCUACUUGAUAUCAUCGCUGCCAUCACAGUUGAGGGCCAGGCAGCUGAUGUAGCAACUCCAAUUCCUCAGCAGCAAACUCCUAGCUAGCCUGUUCGUACCAGUCCACGGUAAUCCAGUAAAAGAAAAGGCAGUACAUCUAAAGGCACUGCUACAGCAACCUCGCCACAACCAAAACGGACCAAAUCAGUGGCAAGCACGCCAGCUACCCCAGCCACAACUCCUCUCACUAGCCCCGUGAAGAAAAAGACAAAGACAUUGCCAGCUACUUCCCCACAAGCUUCCCCAAAGGAUAAGCUGCGCAGUGCAUCCAAGAAGCGCUGAUAGCAUCCCGUCAUGUGCCGCAGUCCCCACCACAGGGGAGUACUCUUUCCUUGCUAGUUCAUUUUUCUUUUUUUUUAAAAAAAACCCACUUUCUUUUCUUUAUGUUUUUCAAUUUGUGUGGUAUUUGCUAAGGUCUUCCAUAUCCUUGUCAACUCGUGUGCCUUUAUUCUGUAUGCUUGUGAGGACACAAUAAUUCUCAAGUUUGGGGGGAUUAUGUUUCUGAAUGCAUGUGUUUAUGUUUGUGUUGCGUGAAGCUCUGCUAUCUAAUAUUUGUGUAUGGAUUUGAAAACCUAAUGAAGAUAAAUUGAGUGUUAUUUAGUAUUUAUGAGAAUACCAAGUAGAGAUAGUUAUAGAUGGAAGUGAAAUUUUGUCCCGACACUUAGACUUUGGUUGAAUUGUAUAAGACUGCUAGAGCAAAGCCAAAGAAUAGACAAGAUCUUAAGUUUGGGGGGAAAAGCAAGUUUGAUUGAUUGUGAUAUCUAUGAAAUAAACUCUAUUCCAAUGGCUCAAGUUGCUGAGUAACCAGAUCUGAGUAUGUACCCCAUAUGCAGAAUUGUUUUCAAAGGUAGCAAGAGUUAUGAGCAGUGAUGCAGCACAUAAAAAAAAAGAGAGAGAAAAAGAAGUCCUCUGUCUAAGGCAUUGAGUAGCCAGGUCUGUUCAUGAGCCUCAUGUUUAGCCUUGAGUAAAAGAUACCUCUAGACAAUAUUAUAUUAUAGAUAUUACUGCAACAACUCUGAUCUGGACAUGGUUUGAGUAAUUGGGUGUCAUCAUUACAAUUGAUUGACAUUCACAUGAAAGAUAAAUGUUACAGUGACAAAGGAGCACACACACACUAUGAACAGAAAGAAGCUUAAGUUUAGAACUGAUUUACUAUGAUCAUUUUGCAUGAUUAGGAUUGUGAUCUGAAGGUGUAAGAAUCCUUGCAAAUUUGAUAAAAGAGCUAAAGUUGUGUGCAUGAUUGUUUGCUUGAAGUGUGUAUGUGUCAUUACUUGAGAGCAAGUAAUAGUUUAAGUUUGAGGGUGUGAUAACUCUAGGAAAUGAGAGUUAUUACAUCCUUUCUAGGCUUAAAUCAAGAUCACUUAGAGAUCAAAGGAUGUGUUUUUAUUACAUUUUGGUUAUAUUUUGCGUAAACAUUCAUUUUAGUUGAGUCUUAAUAAGUUUUGCUUAAAUCAAAGUAAUUUAUGCUAAAAUCAGGUGCAUAAUUGUAGGUUUUCAGAAAGUCUUGAUUCAUGAGGGGAUGUUGAGGCAUUAGGCGAGCAAGAGGGGGAAAGAAGAGAACCACAAAAGAAGUAAAGCACAAUAGGGAAUAAUGCAGUGUGGUUGUGGAUGUUAGAGCAACCAGUGUUGUAGCAAUCUGAGAAUAAUGCGGGAGAAAACUUAGGCGCGGGUCAACCACAUAAUCACAAUCUGUAUGUUCCUAAUUUAACGCAUACACGCUCAUGGGCUUUUGUUUACCCUAAUUUGCAAUAUAAAAGGGAGGCGUGCACGACAUAGAACGUCAGAAGGGAAUUAUCAUUAGAAUAAUUACAAAGGAAAGAAGAAGAAGAUCAGAAUUGGAGAGUGCUGUUUCGGCAACAUUGAAGAAUCGUACAGAAUUAUUUGGAUUUGUCUUUCACCGUGCUCAACUUAUAUUUAUCUUCUUCCUUUAAUUGUUUGAUGUAUCCCUUGAUCAAUAUAUUUAUGUUUAUUUUUCUCAUUUAGAAUAUGAACUAGAUUUACUUGUAGUUGAGUGACAAAUAAUUCAUUGGGUUCUUGACUGUUCUUAUAAGUUGUUAUGUCAUUACUGUAGCAUUUUACUCUAGUAGUUUGUAUAAAUAUAAUUGUUAUUUCGAUUGACCACUCAUUUAAUAGUCUCAGUUAAGAUAGAGUAGCAAAAGGGCAUGUCUUAGUGGAUAUUAUUAGAGUAUUACUUGAUCUUAAGUUGAGUUUCCUGGAUUAAGUUAUAUGGAAUCCCAUAAGGGCAAUACUUGAAGUUAGGAUUUGUGACACACUAGACAUAGGGGUUCACCUUGUAGGGUAGAGAGACUAAAGAUCAUAAUGCCAUGCCGUAAGUAGAUUACCAACUGGUCAUUGUUAAUAGAUUUAAGGGUAUGAGACUUCCAAUAUGUGAUAGCUGAGGAUGCAAAUUUAUUCUGCCCAGUGCUGCAGCACUUGCCGUAACAACUGGUACUAAAUUGAUGAACAAAACAGUCAUCCCCGUAAGGAGAAUUUGAUCAUUCAACUACUAUGAUCUCAAUUGAAUCUUAGACACAAUUAACAUAGUUUAUUUCAUUACGGUAUUAUUUUAUUUAAUUCUCUCACAAUCAUUGAAUUACGAUAGAAAUUACUUUACAAUUGUUAGCUUUGGCCUUAAGUUGAUUUGCACUAUUGUGAUUGCUAUAGCAUUUCGAGUAACAUCAAUCCUUGUGGAGACAAUCUUGAAUACUCAUCACUUUAUUACUUGUUGUGUAUACUUGCACAUUGGCAUUAGUAGCAAUUGCUUAUAAAAAUAACCAACAGGUACCUCUGAUGAAGUCUCCAUAAGGUACCCUUGAUACCGAUGCUUGUUUUUCUGCUACUUUUAGCACUUUUGUUGAUCCCCUUAUCCUAAGAGAUGAAUGUGAAGAUAAUCAUCCUACUGUGUAACCCUGUUCGGCAUUACUGACAAGGUAUGUGGGGUACCUCAUGAGGUACCCUUAAGCUUGGAUAUUCACUGAGUUAUCUGUUACUUUAUGUCGGAAUAACCCAAUUUCAUUAAACAUAUGGUGAUUUCUCCAGAUAUGCUUGCUGCAUAUCUCAAGUUUUCUUAGGGUUCCUCUUGAUGUACACGAGGAACGACUUUUUGUCGUAGGGUACCCCAUGUACUACGGAUACCCUUAAUCUUAUCUCAUCAGUAUAUGGCGAUUUACUUAGAUAUGCUUGCUGCAAAUCUCAAUAAAAAUCAUGGCGAAUCCUUUUCUGAGAUGGCCGAAAACCUCAUGAUCUGCCAUUCGCUCUAAAUCAAAUACGUAACACAAAUAGUCAUAAAGGUGGCUGCUCGCCUACCCUUAUAUGAGAUGAUUGAAAACCUCAUGAUCCGUCAUUCGCUUGUAAUUAAUUAGACAACAUAGAUUGAGAUAAAGGUAGUUGUUCGCCUACCCUUAUGCAAUAUGGUCAAAAAUCUCAUGAUCCACCAUUCGCAUGGAAUCAAAUAAACAACAUAGAUUGAGAUAAAGGUAGCUGCUCGCCUACCUUUAUGUGAGAUGGUUGAAAACCUCAUGAUUCACUAAUCGCGUAGAAUCAAAUAGACAAUAUAGAUAAAGAUGAAGGUGGCUGCUCGGCUACCCUUAUGCGAGAUGGUCAAAACCUCAUGAUCCACCAUUCGCUUAGAAUCAAAUAUGGCGAACAAAUAAUGAUGAAAGGCGGCUACUAGCAUGCCCUUUUGCUGGGUCUGAUGUUGAAUAGGUCAUCAUGAUCUGGGUAGGCCAGGUAGUUUGGGUACCUUGGAAUAAGGUGAUCUCUGGAUACUAUCUUGCGCCAUAAUAAAUAAUACUCAACAAUAUAUAUGAAGUUAGUUUAAUGGUGAACAUAUUCUUAUAACAUUUUAAACUAUUCAUCCAUACCAAAUAAUCAAAAGACAAAUAAGAGCAUACGUCACCAAAUUUUGUAAAGCAAAUGCAUUCAUAGAGAAUGGAGAUAUGAAUCAUUAUAUGACACUAUUUUGUUAUCCUAAGGAGAAUAUAGGGGAUCCCGAGAUCACUUGUUAUUGUCAUUUAAGACUUAGGAAACUAACCAGUUUGGGGUACUCUCUAGGUACCCCACAUGGCCAAGCAUAUAUUUCAGACACACAAGCAUUAAAGAAACCAAACAAAAUAAGAAGAAUGAGGUAGAGUGUUAUCACUUUACUAGUAGUAUGACUUUUCUUUGUUGUUCUUCUGAAAGAUUGGAACCCAUUUUCACGGUCUAUGUUGGGUCAGUGGCGCAGAUCGAGAUUGAAAUAAGGUCUUCAUCCGGGUCGUCCCAUUUUUCAUUUUUCGGUAUUCGGGGAUCCAAAGGUGCCUUAAAUUCACAUCUGGGCUCAACAUGGUCCCCGUGAGGUACCCCCGAGUCAUCCGAAGUGACUGUUUCUACACCCAUUGGCGAGGUUCCCAACUAUUUUGGUGGGUCCGCUACCUGAGAAGUUUUAUUGAGUACUACUCUUCGCUGUCUAGCAAGUGCUCGCGACGUGGGAUAAAGUGUGGGCUUGCUACCACUGGGGUAACCCUUUACUAGCGGAUCGAAAGCUAUUUGGUAAGUGACUUUGGAGGCCACAGAGUAACAACCACGAGCUGACUACUGGUCCCCUUUAAUAGUGAUAACUUCUUAGGCGGCUGGGACUUUCAUGGCGAGGUAGUGCAUGGAUACUACUGCUUUAGUUGCUACUAAGAACGACCUACCCAAUAUGAUAUUGUAGGCACCCGGGUGAUCCACAAUGAGAAAAAUUGAGGUAAGUUGAGGUUUUCAUGUUUUUGAAGGGUAAAUUGUAGAUUUCUAUUGGCAAGGGGAUGAAUUGAAAUUUGUCCCAAUUAAUAUAACAAAAUUUUUCAUAUUAUUCAGGCCCGUAUUUGCCUCAUCUACUAAACAUAUGGAAGUCUUUCUCUAAUUAGUUGCCAUGUUGUCAUUGCUGAUUCGCAAAUUACAUUCAAGAUGAAAAAAAAAAUUACAUAAGGAAAUGGACAAUUUAUUGGCUAGGCAACACAACAGAAGUCACAUGUAAUUGUAACUAGAAUUUUAAUUUCAUCAUAUGAAAAUAAGGAUAUUGGCUUUUUAAUUUCUUUUAUUUUAUGUUAUUUUAUUUCAUUGAAGAAAAAGUUUUUGGUAAUUAUAAAAAUGGUUUAAAGUAGUUGUUUCUAAAUGCAAAUAUGUAUCCUUUUAUUUAUUUGGAUGGCUAGUUUGGCUUUAAUUCAAUAUAAGUUUUUAAAAUUUAGUUAUUUCUUUAUUUUUGUUAUAUAACUAACAAAUAUAAUAUUUAUACUUGAUUGAUGGCUUAAAAAUGAUAAUAUGUUAAUUUGUUAAUUUUUAUGCAGCUAAUAUGAUAAGAAAUGUUUUUGAUGAGACAAUAGUGAAAGCAGAGAUAACAAUAAGAUUAAUCAUUUAAUGAUGCAAAAUAUGGGCUUCAUGAUGUUGGCUCAUGAAAAUUCAAGACCUAGAUGUGGUUACCAAUAAGAAUAACAAGUAGGAAUUUUAAUCAAUGUUGUUAGUUUUGAAAUACAAGUGUGCAACCCAAGAGGCGGGGGGGGGGGUGAAUUGGGAUUCUAAAAAAUUAUUUGAUUCUAAACUAAUUAUCAACCAAAUCUAAAAUGAAUUUAAUGGAAUAACACUUAAAUCAAUUACAAUAUAAAAAGAUAGGGGAAGAGAGAUUCAAACACGAAGAUUUUUACGUGGUUCAGCUAACCUCGCCUACGUCCACGCCUCCAAGCUUUCUGCGCUUGAGGAUUUCACUAAGCACGCCUCCAAGACUUCAAAUGCUUACACUUGACUUCCAAGGUAUCAAUGAACAUUUACAACAAGAGAUUAUCCCCAAUCUCUUAAUCCAAGUGUAUCCCAACACUUACAAUCACUCAAAGUAAAAGAUUAAAAAUUAUUUUUCUCUCACACAAUAUUUAAGAUUACAAAUCAAUGCCCAAUGUGUGAAUAGAUGAAGCAAGAAUGUGUUUUAAAGCUCUAUGAAGAUUGUAUUCUCGAAUAUAAGCUCAAUGGUCAUGUUGUGAUCAAUCUUGUUUGAAUUUGAAUGAGCUUAUUUAUAGUUGGAGCUGAAAAACUAGCCGUUACAAACUGUCUGCCCGAAAAUGGUUCGCCAUUAACCAUUAACGGUUAACUAUUUAGGCCGGUCAAAAGUUACCGUUAGGCCAAAUUUCAGAUAAACGGUUUGCCGUUUAUGCUUACCCUUUCGCCAUUAAUUCCCAGAGACCUGCAAGAUGAACAUCAGUUAUCCGUUUAUAUUAAACGGUUAAGGAUUUGCAUGAAAUGACUUCUCUAGAAAUUAUCUGUUAGCUGUUUGUAAUUAACGGUUCGCCGUUUGUUUCCAGUAACCUGCAAAACGAGUUAGCUUUAUCCGUUUCAGUUAAGCUUUUUCCGUUUGUUUGCAGGUACAAUCUUUCAUUCUGGAUUUUAUCGGUUAACUGUUUCAAUAAACGGUUCGCCGUUAAAUUCCAGUAGCCUUCCCAGCUUUUUGUGUUUUCCAUUUUUCUUAAUCGGUUAGAGCUUAGGCAAUAUGUUGCUCUCUGUUUUUAGUCGAUUAACCGUUUAAAUAAACAGUUCACCGUUUAUUUCCAGAAUAACAGUUUAAGCCAGAUUUUACUGAGAAUCAUUUUCCAAUUUGAAAUUUACCAGUGAUCCAUCUUUUAUGAAUAUAAUUGGAAUGUUUAUAAGGCUCUCAUUUAUUAAGAAAUAGCUCCAACAUUUUAAUCAAAAAUCAUUUAAAGUUUGUUAUCAUCAAAAUUAAUAUUAUUAACAUAUUCAUGUUAACAAUCUCCCCCUUUUUAAUGAUGACAAACUUCAAUUAAUAUUUUACUCCCCCUUAAUAUAUGCUCCCCCUUAAUAUAUGACCAACUUAAAAAAUAUGUCCAAUAAAAUGAUUUUUGCUCAAAAGAAUCAUUUUAAAAACAAAAUUCAUUUCAAAACAAAAUUCAUUUCAAAUCUCCCCAUAAUUAUCUCCCCCUUCAUCAUCAAAAGAAAAGAGAGAAAAGAAAUCCGUAAAGCCGAAGAAUAAAAAAGUGACCCAGUUCUGGCGAGCGAAACAUUUGGCAGAGUUUCCCCUUAAAAUGGAGCAAAACCACUAAUACAAAAUGAGAUUAAGACACUUCCAAAAUAUAUUAACAACAACUCCAUCAUCCAACAAACUAACAACUCCAUCAACCAACAAACCAACAACUCCUUUAACCAAUAAACCAACAAUUUCAUCAACCAAUAUCAAGUCAUCCAACAUCAAGAACAUCACAAAAACAUGUCAUCAAAAUCCAUCAAGAUCAUAUAGAGGUAGCAGUGUAUAUAAAAAUAUAAAUAGCAACACACAAACAAACAAAAUAUGAAAUGUAUGUGCGAAAAUAGAACUCAGAAACUAUGGAGGUGGAGAAGAUGUGCUCCCCAGAUCAUAACCAAAAUAACGAAGAAGAGUGCGUUGUCCAGCUAUAAGCUCAAGCUGCUGAUCAAUGCUCUGCUGCUGGAAGGUCUGAAAGUCAGAACGUAGCUGCUGGUGGUCACGGGAAAAAGUGUCCAACCGAUCAAGAAUCAGCUGCAGGCGCUCUGAAAUCCGGUGAACAUCAGCAAUCAACUGCUGCACAACGUCUGAAGCAGGGGGCUGAACUGGAGCUGGAGGUGGCUCAGAGGCAGAGGGCUGCUCAGGAACUGCAGAUGGCUCAGGAGCAGGAGGGUGCUCGAGAGCCAGAGGCGGCUCGGAAAAGGAGGGAAUGUCAACAUCCAUCGCACGCUCCUCAGAGUCAAAGUCAGCUGGAGGCCGGGGGACAAAACGGAGACACGGAGGAUAAGGAUGAGCUCCUAAUAUAAAAUCUGGAAGCCUAUCAGGAAGAUAGACAUCGUUGAGCAUCCGAUCGUCUUCUGGAGCAAUCAAGGUAUCCCGGGUUUUGGAGGUUUUAGUCUUUAUCCACUCUCCAUUCUUCCUAGAAAAACCGAUACUAGUCAUGGCCUCUGGACCAAUCCGUCUAGUCUCCAUAUAACCAGUAUCGAGAAGAGGAACCUCAAAGUGUCGCAGUAUCUUAGUAAUGAUACUGCCAUAUGGAAGCAAGCGGUGGUUAACUGCGGGAGUACUCAACAUGUGCCGCACAAUAACAUAGCCGAGGUUAAUGGGAUGACCUGUAAUGAGGCUGUCUAAUAGGCCAACGUCCAACCUCAUAACCUCAUCCGAGUGACCCUUCCGAGGAGUCACUAUGUGCUGCAAAAUAGUGUGAAGAAUGCGAACUUAGAGAGGUAAAAGUUGAGACCGAAAAGGUAGAUUACAGAUCUCAAUAGACAAGUCUCGACGUCGACAAAUAUUGCGGACUCCAUUAACAUGACUAAAACCGUCAAAUGAAAGGGCUUUCCUAGAGGUAUAAAUUUCAUGACCCUCACUAGAGAUACCUAGAAAGCCAUUUAGGUCCUCAUCAUCAAAUUCUAUAGGCACACCGCCGACUUGAAUAACUAUCCUAUCUAGGUGAGUUGCGGAGAUUUUCAUGUUCGAAUAAAAGACUCGCACUAAAUUGGGAUAAACUCGGUCAUCAAAGUCAAUGGCAGACUCCCAAGGCUGAAGCAUAUCCCUAAUGCUUCUACCACAUACAACUAAGGUACUGAAAUCAUCUAUUUCAACAUAGGAAGAGUCAAGUACCUUGCGACCAUUGAAGCGAUCCUCGAACCGCUUGGCCAAGAAAGGCAUGGGGAAAUGAAUUCUUGUGAAUUCAGAGACUUCCCGUGGUGGUAUAGGAUUCCUUGGAGGCACAAAUUUUCGCCUGAGAUUUCUCCGAGGGGAUGCAGCCAUGGUAAAGAAUAAAGGAGUUUGAAAAUUGCGAGAGAGAUGUGAUGAGAAGAAGAUGAACCGAUUAUUUGCUUAGGAAUAAGUAAAGGAUGUGAUUUUGAGGCUCAAUUUGGUUGAAGAAGGGCAAGAAUCAGGUUAAAAAAAGAAGAAACCCGAACGGCUGCAGUUAGGGUUUAGAUUUGGGAUUUUUCAAUUUUGGGCUUGAUUUAAAGAUUUGAAUCGGUGAAAGUGUUCUAAAGGUGAUAAGAAAUGAUGUUAUAGGUUUGAUUUGGCAAGAAAAACAAGAAAAAUGAAGGUUUGAUGGCAGAGGAAGCUUCGGCUGCGCAACAAUGGCCGAACGGUGAAAGGGCAACUGGAGAAGGAGAAGAAAAACCUUUGAACAAUUUUAUAAUCACGAAAACGGUUAACCGUAAGGGGUAACUUUCAGAGGCUAAAGAAUGGGGAGCGGUGAAAGUUUAAGCUCUUAACGGCUAAGGAGUAACUGUUAGAGGACUCUCUGUUUUUAAACGGUUUACCAAUUGCAUCAAACGGUGAAAGGGUAAAAAGACAGACAUAUAAUCUCGUUUCUAGAAUAAAACGGUUCACCGUUUAUUGGAAAUGGUUAUCCGUUUAUUUUAUCUAUAAUGUCGUACAUUUGAUUUAAUUUCUGGCCAGCAAAUAAUACAUUCCAAGAUCAUUUAAUUGAUCUAAAAAUGUUUUAUGAGCCAUUUUAAUUCAUGAUUCAUGAACAUGUAUUCAAGCAAUUAAUUCAUAUAAUCAAUCAAGAAUUAAUAAAGAAAAUACAUCAUUUGAAUAUCAAGCUUAAGCAUUUCAUAAAUAUUAAAUCACCAAUAAGUCAAUCAAUUCAAUACACUCAAUAGCAUGAAUAGAGACGUUAAUGCGAAAAUUUCAUCAUCCCAAGUUCAUGCCGAAUUUUCAAAAAUUGUUCUUCGCCAAGGGGUUUGGUAAAAAUAUCGGCGAGUUUUUUUUCUGUAGAAAUAAACUCUAAUGCAAUAUCUCCCUUUUGAACAUGAUCUCUCAAGAAAUGAUGACUUAUUUCUAUAUGCUUGAUUCUAGAGUGUUGAAUGGGAUUCUUUGAAAGAUUUAUAGCACUAGUAUUAUCACACUUAAUAAGAAUUUGUUUUAGGUUAAUACCAUAGUCUCUAAGUGUUUGUUUCAUCCAAAGAGCUUGCGCACAACAACUUCCUGCAGCUAUAUAUUCAGCCUCGGUAGUUGAAAGUGCAACAAAAUUUUGUUUCUUGCUAAACCAUGAAACAAGUGAGUGACCUAGAAUAUAGCAAGUUCCACUAGUGCUUUUCCUAUCAACUUUAUAACCGGCAAAUUCCGCAUCCGAAUAGCAUGUUAAAUCUAUAUGAGUUCUCCUAGGAUACCAAAGGCUGAUAUCUAUGGUUCCACUCAAAUAACGGAAAAUUCUUUUAACAGCAAGCAAAUGAGAUUCCUUGGGACAUGAUUGAAAUCUUGUGCACAAACAUACACUAAACAUGAUACCGGGUCUGCUUACAGUUAAAUAAAGUAAAAAUCCGAUCAUACCUCGAUACAUUUUGAUAUCCACUUCCUUGCCUUUUUCAUCUUUGUCAAGUUUGGUUGUUGUGCUCAUUGGAGUGUUUUUGGUCUUUGAGUCAUCAAUGCCGAAUCUUUUAAGCAGAUCUUUUACAUACUUGGCUUGAUUUAUGAAAAUUCCUUCCUCAUUUUGUUUUAUUUGCAGCCCAAGAAAGUACUUCAACUCUCCCAUCAUACUCAUUUCAAAUUCAUUACUCAUGCAAGAUGAAAAUUCUUUAUACAACAAUUUAUUAGUAGAUCCAAAAAUAAUAUCAUCAACAUAAAUUUGAACAACAAGUAUGUCUUUGUCCUUAUGUUUGACAAAGAGAGUAGUAUCCGCUUUACCCAUGGAAAAAUCAUUUUCUAACAAGAAAUUAUUAAGCCUAUCAUACCAUGCUUUAGGUGCUUGUUUUAAUCCAUACAAGGCUUUAAACAACUUAUAAACAUGAUUUGGAAAUUUUUCAUUUUCAAAACCAGGGGGUUGUUUUACAUACACUUCUUCCAUAAUAUACCCAUUUAAGAAAGCACUUUUCACGUCCAUUUGAAAUAAAAUGAAAUCUUUAUGAUAUGCAAAUGCCAACAACAUUCUAAUUGAUUCUAGUCUAGCAACGAGUGCAAAAGUUUCAUCAAAAUCAAUUCCUUCUUCUCGGUUGUAACCUUGAGCCACUAAUCUAGCUUUAUUUCUUAUAACCACACCGGAUUCAUCCAUCUUAUUUCUAAAUAUUCAUUUAGUACCUAUGACAGAUUGAUGUUCCAGUUUAGGAACUAAUUCCCACACAUUGUUUCUUUCAAAUUGAUUUAACUCCUCUUGCAUUACCAUAAUCUAAGAUUCAUCAUUUUCCGCAUCCGCAAAGGAUUUGGGUUCAAUUUGAGAAAUGAAUGCAUUAUGCUCACAAGUAUUCCUAAGUGAUGAUCUAGUUGUAACACCUCGUGAUGGAUCUCUUAAGAUUACAUCUUUAGGGUGAGAAGAAACAUACCUCCACUCCUUGGGGAGUGCUUGAGAAGUACCUUCAUGUUGCUCCAUAUUUGUUUGCUCUUCUUGUUCAUCCUCUUGAUUUCUUUGUUGUGCAUUCUCUUGAUUAUCCUUUGAUGGUUCUUCUUGUAACUCUCCAUCUGCAUCAUCAUAAUUUAUUCCUUUCUCCGUAGAGGAGGGGUUAGACCCAUCAAAUGUAACAUGCAUAGAUUCUUCUACAACUAGUGUAUUUUUGUUAUAAACUCUAUAAGCUUUGCUUGAGUUUGAAUAACCAAGAAAAAUACUUGUUGAGUGUUAGAAAAUGCAUAUUUAUAAAAGAGAAAAUCGUCAUUUUACAUUUCACGUCUUACUAACAACCCUUACUUUUACGUAUUUAAGCUUCUUGUAAUUUAAUUAUGUGUGUUUAUUUUAAUUAAGUAUUUUAUGUAUUUUAGGGGCAUAAUGGUCAUUUCACAAUAAACGAGAGAUCAGACGGCAAAACGGAUAUCACUUUGAACUCAGGACAGUCGAAAACCUUAGGAGGAGCAUAAAAGGAAAACUGGCACUGUUCACAUGUACAGUACUGUCUACGUUACUAUUUACGACACUAUUCACAUAGACGGAUUGAUGACGUGGCAUUGACCGAUGAUGUGGCAUUGACUAAUGAGGUGUCACGAUCCUGUUGCACUAAAAUUCUUAUGUACUGUUGAUCGAUGACGUGGCAGCAUAUCAGUGGACUAAAAAUCUCGCGUACGGUACAUGUAUUACACAGGAUUAUUUUCAACCAAACCGCGUUACUGUUCAAGCUGGGUCAAACCAUGUUACUGUUCAAACCGCGUGGUCAAACCACGUACUGUUGACUGAUGACGUGGCACAAUCCUGAGCGUCCAAACUAUUUUUAAUCUAAUGGCCAUGAUUUACUCAAUGUAUCUAUAAAAAGGGGGCCUUCCCCCCCCUAAUUUGAGAGCUCUGAAUAUAUUUUUGGACUCCAUUUUCUGUAAUUCCCUCUCCAUCUUGUAUUUUCUACGUAUUUUAAUAAAUUUCCUUUUUACCCCUAGUUCAAUUAUGAGUAGCUAAUUUUCUUUCAAGCUUGGGUUGAAGGUGAAGUCUCAACAUGUUUCAUGGGCUUUAUUUGUUAACUUUAUUUUCUCUUCCCCUCUAGUUUUUGUGGAUGUUUUGACUUCUCGUCGACAAAUAAUAAUAAUCUUGUCUAGAUACCGCCUUGGUUUCACCGGCUCUCUAGUACAAGGUUGUUAUUAUUUGGCAUGAUAAGCCCUUAGAACCAUAUUCAUUAGAGUGUGGUUCAUGAGGUGUGGAUUCCCCCCUCAUGAUUUAAUUGGUAUUAAUAAGGAAUAUUUAGCCCAUGAUGCAUGUUGAUACGGAUCCAGAUACCCAAGUACGUCAAUUUAAUAGAUUUUCACUUCAAUUUACUCUUGCCAUCUUAAUUCGAAUUUUAGGAUAAUCCAAAUCAUUUUCACCACAAAUCCAACCACCCAUUUAGAAAAUUAAUUCUACACACAAUUAAAAUCCACCUCCUCGUGGGAUCGACACUCGUCACUAUUGAUCUACACUACAAUAGAUUCGUGCACUUGCGAGUUUAAUAAAAUUUGCACAACAAGUUUUUGGCGCCGUUGCCGGGGAGGUAAGUAAUUUUAAUUCAUAGAAUUAAUUUUUGUGAAUAAUUCCAUUUAAUUUUUUUCUUGCAUUUUUUUUUUUAAAAAUGAAUCUACAUUUAAAGGUUAGUAUUUCUUUUCUUUUUCUCUUCCUUAAAAUUUUAUAAUUUAAUUUUCAAUUUAUUUUUUGUAAAUUUUUUUUGUUUAUCUUAUUAAUUUAUUUUUAGUUAAUUUAUUUCACGUAUUUAUUUUUGUGUAUUUUUAUAGAAAGGUUUUAACAGCGUGAUAAGGUUAGUAACGUAAUUUCUCCUUCUUCUUUAUUUUUAUUUGUUUUGUUCCCAUUUAUUUUUGUGUUUCUUGCAUGCAUGGUCGUAGGUCAUUAUUACCUAAUCUUGAACCUAUAGACCUUGAACUAGAAAAAACAUUUCGCACACACAAGCAUGUUAAAAAUAAAUUUGGAAUGGAUUUACAAGCACCACAAGAGAGGCCAUUUAAGGACUAUUUUAGUCCCUUAGCUAAUUUGAGCACAUCAUGUAUAAGAUACCCAAAUGUAGCUGCUAGGAGUUUUGAACUAAAACCUAGUGUGCUAAAUUGUCUCCCCACAUUCUAUGGCUUAGAAAAUGAGGACCCAUAUAAUCAUUUGAAUGAUUUUCAUGCUGUUUGUCAAACAUUUAGAUAUAAGAAUUUUUCAGAUGAUGAUGUUAAACCUUAGACUAUUCCUAUUUUCUUUAAAGGAUAGAGCUCGUUCAUGCUCAAUACAUUGCCUACUAAUAGCAUCACAUCAUGGGAACAAAUGGUAACAAAAUUUUUGAAUAAAUAUUUCCCAGUGCAUAAAACCAAUGCUAUUCGCAGGGAAAUUUCAGAGUUUACCCAGAGAGAAGACGAGCAGUUUUUCGAAACAUGGGAGCGAUUCAAUGGGCUACUCUUGAAGUGUCCACAUCAUGGGUACGAGAAAUGACAUUAAUGCUAAUACUUUUUGGAGGGAUUAUUGCCGAAUGUGCAAGAAUGGCUAAUGGCAACAAGUGGAGGAGAGCUAAUGUCAAAAAGUGCAUCAGAGAUUUGGGAAUUCUUCCAGCGACAAGCGGAUAAUUCCCAAUAACGGAGUCGGUCACUCAGGAAUACUAAAAGAAUUAAAGGAGUAAAUGAGGUUCACAUUGGCAAGUCAACUUCGGGAAUCAAAGAAGUCAAGGAGAUGGUUAAAAGUCUCUCUCGACAAAUAGUAUCGUUAUUGACUGCUAAAUCAACAGAACCACAUGACCAUGACUCAUACUCAGAUCAAGUCAAUGCCAUAGGUGUAAUGAGAAAACCAUCAAAUUACAACCCAUACUCCAACACAUAUAACCCUGGAUGGAGAGACCACCCCAAUUUUUCAUGGUCUUAAGGAUUCCAACAAAAUGGACCAGCAGCUCCAGCUCUACCAAUGCAAUAAAUUCCUCAAAAUCCUCAAGCCUCUCAGCCUCCAUUUAUACCAUACAAUCAGAACCAGAACUACUCUCAACCCAGACCAUGGGAGGAUGCAUUCCAGAAUUUCAAGAAUGUUACUCACUCUACGAUUGAGCACAGAACCGCACCAUUGAUGGACUAUGAAAUGAGUUGCGAGCAGGCUUUAACUCACAAGCCCAAUCAGUUUCAAGCCUCGAGAAGAUGGUGGGACAACUUGCUUCUUCAGUUCAGACCUUGGCAAUGACUGUUGAGAAAGGUAAAUUUUCAAGUCAACCAGUGCCUAAUCAUAAAGGAGUACAUGAAGCAAGUACCAGUUCACCACAGUAGCAUGGAGAGGUCAAAGCAGUCAUGACCUUGCGAAAAGGAAAAAAAGUCGACAACAAAGUAGACAUGUCGGUGACAAAAGAAAAUCAAAUUGUACCGGUGAGUGUUGAGGACUCACCACCAGAGGAGAAAGAAAAAGACCAACCCACGAGAAUAUAUUCCCAAAGCUCCAUUUCCUCAGAGGUUAGCUAAAGGAAAGAAGGGAAAAUUCACAGGUGAGAUUCUUGAAAUCUUCAAACAGGUAAGUGUUAACAUCCCUUUACUUGAUGCUAUAAAAUAAGUUCCAUCUUAUGCCGAGUUUUUUAAAGACCUUUGUACUAAAAAGAGAAACAUUCAUGUUCAAAAGAAAGCAUUUUUGACAAAAAAACGUUAGUUCUAUACUCCAACAUAAAAUUCCUCUAAAAUGCAAAGACCCUGGCUCCCCCACUAUCUCAUGUAGUAUAGGGAUCCACACAAUUGAGAAUGCUUUGUUGGAUUUAGGAGCUAAUGUAAAUUUGUUGUCUUACUCUGUAUUUGUAAAACUUGGACUAGGAGAAUUACACCCAACUCCAGUGGUGUUGCAGCCUGCAGAUCAGUCCACAAAAAUACCUCGUGGUAUUGUGGAGGACGUGCUUAUCCAGGUCGACAAGUUUUAUUUUCCGGUUGAUUUCAUUGUAAUUGACACUCAACCAAUACAAGAUUCAAGGAAGCACAUCCCCAUUAUCCUAGGCCGACCUUUCUUGGCAACUGCCGAUGCUCACAUUCAAUGCAGAACUGGAAAUAUGCAGUUGUCCUUUGGCAACAUGACUAUGGAGCUAAACAUCUUUAACAUUACCAAACAACCUCACAAUGCAGAUGAUGAAAUUGUUGAUCUGGAUUUAAUAGAAACAUUAGUUGAUAAUACUUUUGUUUCAAACCUUAGUGAUGACCCUUUACAAACAUGUUUAACUCACUUUGGUUUUGAUUUUGAUAUUGACAGAUCAGUUGAUGAGGUCAACGCCCUACUUGACUCAGCACCAUUUAUGGACACUAAUAAAUGGAAGUCAAGAGUUGAACAACUAGCACCAUCAGAGAAGAAACUCAUCCCAUCAUCAGAAUCACCACCGAAACUCGAGCUCAAACCAUUGCCCAACACUCUAGAAUAUGCAUUUUUUAGAGAAGAAAGUACUAUGCCGGUAAUCAUCUCAUCAUCCCUAAAUAACGAACAAAAAGGUAAGUUGUUGGAUGUUUUAAAAGAGCACAAAGGAGCAUUAGGAUGGACCAUAGCAGACAUCAAAGGUAUAAACCCAGUAAACUGCAUGCAUUACAUUCACCUCGAUGAAAAUGCUAAAUCUACUAGGGAAAUGCAACGUCGGUAAAUCCUAAUAUGAAAGAAGUUGUUAGAACUGAAGUCCUUAAGCUAUUAGACGCAGGUAUCAUUUACCUAAUUUCUGAUAGUUCAUGGGUCAGUCCUGUACAAGUUGUCCCUAAAAAGUCAGGAGUCACAGUAGUUACCAAUGCUGAUAAUGAAUUGAUACCAACUAGAGUAACUACAGGAUGGCGUGUAUGCAUUGAUUAUAGAAAGUUGAAUUCUGUCACACGUAAAGACCAUUUUCCUUUACCAUUUAUUGAUCAAAUGCUUGAUAGAUUAGCAGGCCAUGAAUUUUAUUGCUUUCUAGAUGGCUAUUCAGGAUAUAAUCAGAUUCCCAUAGCACCAAAAGAUCAAGAGAAAACCACUUUCACUUGCCCUUUUGGCACUUUUGCAUAUAGGAGGAUGCCAUUUGGAUUAUGUAAUUCACCUGCUACAUUUCAACGAUGCAUGUUAAGCAUUUUUUCUUAUAUGGUUGAACGAUUCCUUGAAGUCUUUAUGGAUGACUUUUCUAUUUUUGGUGACUCGUUUGAUCAAUGUUUACAUCAUCUAACACUAGUUCUGCGGAGAUGUAUCGAAAAGAACUUGGUCUUAAAUUGGAAAAAGUGCCAUUUUAUGGUAAAACAAAGUAUUGUUCUCGGUCACAUUAUUUCGAGCAAAGGUAUUGAGGUUGACAAAGCCAAGGUGGAUCUCAUUUCUAAUCUUCCUCCACCCAAAACAGUCAGAGAAGUAAGAUCUUUCCUUGGUCAUGCUGGUUUCUAUAGACGUUUCAUUAAAGAUUUUAGCAAAGUUUCUAGACCCUUAUGCAAUUUACUUGCUAAAGAUGAACCUUUUAUCUUUAAUGAUUCAUCUCUUGUGGCUUUUGAAAAAUUAAAGCAAUUGUUAACAUCAUCACCCAUCAUUCAGGCCCCAAACUGGAGCUUACCAUUUGAACUCAUGUGUGAUGCAUCUGAUUAUGCAAUAGGAGCAGUGUUAGGACAAAGAGUUGAUCGAAUUCACCAUGUUAUUUACUAUGCUAGUAUGACAUUGAAUGAUGCACAGUUGAACUAUUCAACUACUGAAAAAGAAAUACUAGCAGUAGUAUUUGCAUUUGAGAAAUUUCGAUCUUAUCUCAUUGGUUGUAAAAUAAUUGUAUUCACAGAUCAUGCUGCUCUUAAAUAUCUUCUCACAAAGAAAGAUGCAAAAGCUAGACUAAUUCAUUGGGUGUUACUUUUACAGGAGUUCGACUUGGAAUUGAAAGAUAAGAAAGGCAUAGAGAAUGUUGUAGCUGACCAUCUCUCUCGUCUCUAUUUUGACAUAAUUACAGAGCCAUUAACAUUGAAUGAGUCAUUUCCAGAUGAAUAAUUAAUGAGUGUGGAAGUAUUACCUUGCUAUGCUGAUAUAGUUAAUUAUCUUGUUAUAGGUCAACUUCUAGAGUAUUGGACCAAGCAAGACAAGGCUAAAUUCUUUGCAGAAAUAAAGAAUUUCUUUUGGGAUGACCCGUAUUUGUUCAAGUAUUGUGCAGAUCAAAUUGUUAGACGAUAUGUCCCAGAAAAUGAAAUUCAGAAUAUUCUUUCAUUCUGCCAUGAACAAGCUUGUGGAGGCCAUUCAGUGCUAAAAAAACAGCUACUAAAGUUUUACAAUGUAGUUUCUAUUGGCCAACUAUAUUUCGAGACGCUUACACUUUCUGUUCUUCAUGUGAUAGGUGUCAACGAAUGGGGAGCAUUACGCGAAGGAAUAUGAUGCCACUAAAUCCAUUUUUAGUGGUUGAGAUUUUUGAUGUAUGGGGUAUCGACUUCAUGGGACCAUUUCCCCCUUCUUUUGCCCAUUAAUACAUAUUGGUUGCUGUUGACUACGUAUCGAAAUGGGUAGAAGCAAUUCCAUGUAGAACCAAUGAUCACAAGAUGGUGAUAGGAUUUUUGAAAAGCAACAUUGUUUCACGCUUUGGAUUCCCUCGAGCAAUAAUCAGUGAUGGUGGUGCCCACUUUUGUAACAAAGCAUUCAAGGCUGUUUUGACGAAGUAUUCAAUCACUCACAAAGUGGCGACCCCAUAUCAUCCGCAAACUAAUGGCCAAGUUGAGAUCGCCAAUCGAGAAAUAAAGCACAUAUUAGAAAAGACGGUGAAGCCGGACAGAAAAUAUUGGUCAUUAAGACUUGAUUAUGCAUUAUGGGCAUAUAGAACGGCUUUCAAGACCUCGAUUGGGAUGUCACCCUACAGGCUAGUGUAUGGAAAAGCUUGCCACCUACCUGUGGAACUCGAGCAUCGUGCAUAUUGGGCCAUCAAGAAAUUCAACUUUGACAUGCAGCAAGCUAGCUCAUAAAGAAGAUUACAGCUGGCAGAACUUGAAGAAAUUCGCAAUGAUGCAUAUGAAAAUGCCAAGAUUUACAAGCAAUGAAUGAAAGUCUUCCAUGAUAAGUAAAUUAUGAGAAAAUCGUUCACUCCAGGUCAGAAAGUGCUUUUAUUCAAUUCUUGCUUGCACCUAUUCCCAGGUAAAUUACGCUCUCGAUGGUCUGGCCCCUUUAUUGUUCAUAUUGUUUUUCCACAUGGGGCAAUUGAAAUUAAGGACCCAAAGAACGGUGUCACGUUUAAAGUUAAUGGUCAAGGAUUAAAGCCAUAUCUAGAGUAUCAACCACAUGGAGAGGAUAUCGAAAUAAAUUUGAGUGACCCACCAGAUUUGAAUUAAGUUUUUCUUUCUUUCUUUUCGGUGAUUUGAUUUUUUUUUCUCUCUUUUUAUUAUCUUUGCUAAUUGAAAUUAUUUUUGCAUAAGUGUGUUUGUUUAACCAUUAAGUUUUUGUUUCUUAUCAUUGUUAAUCAUGAGCAUCAUACUUAAACCGUUCCUCCUGAACAUUCUUAAACCACUUCAACGUGUAAAAUCUCAUCUCAAAAGCAGAUUCAAUUUUGUAAAACACAUCGUAUUUGGGCUCUGCAACCACCAGAGUUAGUAUCCUAUGUUGAGGGUUUAGAAAGCCAACUUAGAGACAUUGAGAGAAGUGUUUACGACAUCCAGUUGGAGCUUGGGUAAAUUCAAUAAGAGGACGAUUUUAAUUUUCUUUGUGUGUUUUAAUUUGUUUUUCUGUUUGUGUGCUUUAGUUUGUUACCCCGAUGAAGUGGCGGAUAACGGUACUCUGUGACAAUUAAGUCGGUUACUUCAGUUUUCCCAUAAUAACUGAUAUUCUGAGGCGAAGGUAUGGACAGAAAUGAGAUUCUAACGAAGCUUCAUAAGCGAUACCCUUCACUUCCUCAGAAUGCCCUCCGUACAAUCUAUAAAGCCCGGUCCGAAUGCAUGCGAUUGCUCAUGAGGAAUAACAUACCUACUGACAUCCGUUGGUUAAUCGAGGCUAAAGUACGAUUGGCAGGUGAGUUACCUCCAAAAUUUAUUGCAUACAUGCCUGGUUGUGGUAAAGGAAAUUAUGCAAGAAAACGACGAGCUUAAAGAAUUUAUGUUGCUUGUGUUGCUUGUCGUAAGUGUGCCAGAAUGAGUUGCGAUAAAAAACCAUGUUCUUUAAGAAUGAUGUCUGAUAACAGAGAAGAUAAGAUUCAAUUCAUUAGGGAUGGCUUGAAUAAGGAGUCAUUGGAUGAUAUCCUUUUGUCUCUUGAAACACAUCCCAGUGGAUAUGUGCAAGGAGCGAUUCUCCAGUUAUGGCCAUUAUUCCAGAAAGAGCAUGCACGAUAUAGUCUCGGGAAUCUGACUAUAAACGACCAUGUUUGCAAGUUUAUAAGAAAACUGGAUUGGAAGCCUAUCCUCGACCCAUAGAGGGCGUUCAAGCCGUUUCUGGACGUAAAACUAGAGGAAGAUGUGAGCCACAGUCGCAACUACCUGUAAAUAUCCUUUUACUUCACUGUUAUUUUAUUUCACUGUUAUUUUAUCUUUUCCAUUAUUGUCUUUAACAAUUUUAUUUUAUCAUUAUUUCUUUUUCUUUUUACUGUUUCCUUUUUGACUCGCGAUCCAUGUGCUUUACGCGUUAUUUGACACUGACAUUCCACCUCAUACACAGUUGUGACCCACUGUCACCAAGAUUCUUAAAUAUGACUUUUUGUUAAGUACUCACAAAUUAUUUUUGAGAAAUAUUCCAAUGGCAGCUACUCUCAAUAGACAAUUCAAGAACAUUUGUGUGCUUUCUAGAUUUAACUAUGGCAAAUAUAAAGAGUUCGUUGAGGCAGCCAUAGAUCUUGGUCGAAGCAUAGCAGAGAUAAAAUUACACUUGGUGUAUGGAGGAGGUAACCGAGGGUUAUCCAAAUUGGUCUCAGAAGCUGCUUUUAUCAGAGGAAAGCCAAGUGUUAGGCAUCAUCCCAAGAGCCCUAAAACCUUUGGGCAGUUUGAUUGACUCAUCGAUUGGAGAAGAGUUAGUUGUCUCAGGUAUGCAAGAAAGAAUAACUGAAAUGCUUAAUUAUGCUGAUGCUUUUAUUUUCCUUCCAGGAGAUCUUGCAACACUAGAGGCACUUAUCACACUAGCAUCUUGGACCCAUCUGCACAUUCACCAGAAACCCAUCGGUUUGUUAAAUGUCAAUAACUUUUAUGAUGGCUUCAUCGCAUUUCUUAACCAUGCAAUAAAAAACUAUUUCGUUCCUUCCAAUACGAAAAAGCUUUUUAUUUGUGCUCACACUGCUAAUGAGCUACUUGAUAUGUUACAAGCUUAUAAACCAGAGCCAGACCCCUGGACCUUUGUGUUGGAGUGUCUAAAAAAUGACGGUAACAGUAGCCGUAGUAAGAAGUACAAAUUAGAUUUAACCCUCCACCUGUAAAUAUUUUCUUCUGUAUUGCACCACCCAGGUGAAGUCUUCUAAACUCUACUUCUUUCCUUUAAAACAUUGAGGACAAUGUUUUGUUCUAGUUGGGGGGAGGGAAUAGUCGACAAUUGUGGAAUCUUGGUUAAGUUUUUACUGAUUUUUUGUUGUAAAAACUAACUAUUGCUAACUUUUUGCGUUGAAGAUGGCUGAAUAUGGAGUGUAGUGACUCUAGAAACGCAUCUUCAUUGUUUGAAAAAAAAAAUUAAAAAAAUAAUUUUCAGACAUUUUCUUUUUCUUUAUUAUGUUUUGAUGUUCAUAUUUCUUCUUCUGUUUAAUUUCUCCUUUAUAAAUAUACAUUUUCAAUUUUGUUUUUAAUCGAAGAUGGCUGAAUAUGGAGUGUAGUGCCUCUAGAAACGCAUCUUCUUAAGUUAAAAAAAAAAAAACCAUUUUCAUUUUCUAUCAUUUUCUAAUUAGUUUUUCUGCAUCAUUUUCACAUUUUUGCAUGCAUAUUUUCCUUUCAUGUUUAGCAUAGGUUGGGGGGUAGGAUGUUGUUUAAAAAAAAAAAUUGUGUGAUUUGUUUUAACAUUGGAUGACAUGAUUAAUUUCAAAUUUUAGUAUUUACGCUAUGUUUGCUACUUUACAUGUUGAUGUGGGAGACAAAUAUGAGUUGCUUGAAGGAAUGAACAUGUCAUAAUAAGUACCAAGUGAGUUUUUGAGCCUAUUAUUUUUCUUGGAGAGUAACCAUUUUGCCCAUUCUUUAUACAGCUUAGCAGUUUAUUAUUUUAUACACGAUCUCUAGAUUUCUUUUGAGUUAACCCUUAAAAAAAAAUUGUAAAAUUAAAAAAAAAUGAGAAAAAAAAUGUGUGUUGUUACAUUUGGAGGCCCAUCUAACUAGUAGAUAUGGAAGAUUAUUUAUAGCCCUAAAAGACGAUGGAAAGGCCAUCUUUGAUCCGUUUGAGCCUUUCUAGCCAUCCCUUUUAUGAAAUAUCCGUAGUUAACCCUUUUGAGCCUUUAAAAAAAAAAUAUUUUCUUUGUCAAACUUAUCAUCUUGACCCACUCCGAUUUGGAGUAUUACCCAAUAUCUUACAUGUUUCAUCACCUAUUUAUGUUUGAGAAAAAUGUAAAUAAUUAUUUUGUUCAGUGAAGUUGUGCCAAACAAAAACAAAAAAAAAAGAGAAAAAAAAAGAAAAAAAAUUGUUGUUUAAAAAAAACAAUAAUAGGUGAAAUCUACCUUGCAACUCCUAAAAAAAAAAUAAUUUUUAUACAUUUUUCUCAAACAUACACUUUGUUUUCCUUAUUUUCCCUCAUUUGUUAGCCAUGUCCCUAACCUACGUUACGUCCUAAUAAAAGUCCUUUUUGAUUUUAAGGAACUAUAGUCUGAAGUAGAAGCUAGUUAUAUGGGCUAAAAAUAUGUAGUGGUGCAUAAAAAAAAUAAUAAAUAAAUAAAUUGGGUUGACUAGCAUUUUUAUUUGACUUAAGAUCGUAUUAUUUCUAAGCUGAGGGCAUAUUUCUUUCAUCUUGGUGAGAGCAUGUGAUAUCACUUCUUUAUUAUUUUCUCUCAAUUACCAUUCAUUGGAGUGACUAUUUUUAUUGGGUUUAAUUUCUUUGUGAGAGUGUCACUACUUCCAGUGAGAUUUUGGGGUUUGACAUGUCAUUCUUGAAAGUAGCUAUGACAAAGUUUACUGGGCUGAUUCAUGUGGAUGAUUGAUGUGGGUGUGAUGUUUCUUUAGACUGAAGAUAAUGCUUAUACUUUUAUUUGAUUACUAUCAUUAGUCUGAUUCAAUAAACAUGAUUGUUUUAAAAAAAAUCAUUUUGGAUUUGAAUUUUUUUUUCGCUUUAUUUGCUAGGGACUAGCAAUAAGCUGGUUGGGGGUGUGUUGAGUGUUAGAAAAUGCAUAUUUAAAAAGGAGAAAAUCGUCAUUUUACCUUUCACGUCUUACUAACAACCCUUACUUUUACGUAUUUAAGCUUCUUGUAAUUUAAUUAUGUGUGUUUUAUUUUAAUUAAAUAUUUUAUGUAUUUUAGGGGCAUUAUGAUCAUUUCACAAUAAACGAGAGAUCAGACAGAAAAACGGACAUCACUUUUGAACUCAGGACGGUCGAAAACCUUAGGAGGAGCAUAAAAGGAAAAAUGGCACUGUUCACAUGUACGGUACUGUCUACGUUACUGUUCAUGACACUGUUCACAUAGACGGAUUGAUGACGUGGCAUUGACCGAUGAUGUGGCAUUGACUGAUGAGGUGUCACGAUCCUGUUAGACUAAAAUUCUUAUGUACUGUUGAUCGAUGACAUGGCAGCAUAUCAAUGGACUAAAAAUCUCGCGUAUGGUACAUGCAUUACACAGGAUUAUUUUCAACUAAACCGCGUUACUGUUCAAGCCGGGUCAAACCGUGUACUGUUGACUGAUGACGUAGCACAAUCCUAAGUGUCCAAACUGUUUUUAAUCCGAUGGCCAUGAUUUACUCAAUGUAUCUAUAAAAAGGGGCCUCCCCCCCUAAUUUGAGAGCUCUGAAUCCAUUUUCUAUAAUUCCCUCUUCAUCUUGUAUUUUCUACGUAUUUUAAUAAAUUUCCUUUUUGCCCCUAGUUCAAUUAUGAGUAACUAAUUUUUUUUCAAGCUUGGGUUGAAGGUGAAGUCUCAACAUGUGUCAUGGGCUUUAUUUGGUAAAUUUAUUUUCUCUUCCCCUCUAGUUUUUGUGGAUGUUUUGACUUCUCGUCGACAAAUAAUAAUAAUCUUGUCUAGAUACUGCCUUGGUUUCACCGACUCUCUAGUACAUGUUUGUUAUUAUUUGGCACGAUAAGCCCUUAGCACCAUAUUGAUUAGAGUGUGGUUCAUGAGGUGUGGAUUCCCCCCUCAUGAUUUAAUUGGUAUUAAUAAGGAAUAUUUAGCCCAUGAUGCAUGUUGAUACGGAUCCAGAUACCCAAGUACGUCAAUUUAAUAGAUUUUCACUUCAAUUUACUCUUGCCAUCUUAAUUAGAGUUUUAGGAUAAUCCAAAUCAUUUUCACCACAAAUCCAACCACCCAUUUAGAAAAUUAAUUCUACACACAAUUAAAAUCCACCUCCUCGUGGGAUCGACACUCGUCACCAUUGAUCUACACUACAAUAGAUUCGUGCACUUGCGAGUUCAAUAAAAUUUGCACAACAAUAUCAAUAUUAGAUUUUGGAUCAAAUUUGCCAAGAUUGUCUUUUGUGUUCAAAAUAAAACAUUUGAAGCCAAAAACUUUGAAAUAACCAAUAUUGGGUUUUCUAUGUUUCCAAAGCUCAUAUGGAGUUUUGUUAAGGUUAGGUCUAAUCAACACACAAUUUAAAACAUAACAAGCGGUGUUGACGGACUCGGCCCAAAAAUACUUAGGCAAUGAAAUUUCAUUCAACAUAGUCCUAGCCAUUUCUUGAAUGGAUCUAUUCUUUCUCUCAACAACUCCAUUUUGUUGUGGAGUUCUAGGUGAUAAAAAUUGAUGCUCAAUGCCAAAAUCAUUACAAAAAAUCUGAAAUGCAUGAUUUUCAAACUCUCCUCUAUGAUCACUCCUAAUGCAUGCAAUAUCAUACCCUUUUUCAUUUUGUAUUUUCUUACAAAGCACUUUAAAGGCAUCAAGAGCAUCAUCCUUAUUGGCUAAGAAUAAUACCCAUGUAUAUCUAGAAUAAUCAUCCACUAUCACAAAUGCAUAAUAUUUGUCAUUUAGACUAGCAUAUCUAGAAGGUCCAAAUAAAUCUAUGUGAAGAAGUUGAAGUGGUUUUGAAGUAGAAAUAUGAUUUUUAUUUUUGAAAGAUGUUUUGAUUUGUUUUCCAAAUUGACAAGCUUCACAAAUCUUAUCUUUUUUAAAAUCAAUUUUUGGAAGACCUUUAACUAAAUCAUUUUUCGAAAUUUUCGAAAUCAAAUCCAUACUUGCAUGUCCUAACCUUCUAUGCCAUAACCAACUAUCAUCAUGCAAUGCCGAAAAACAUUUAUCAAGAGUAGAUGCACAUUCUAUGUCAAUGAUACAAACAUUACCACAUCUAUUCCCAACAAAUAAGAUCUUGUCAUCACAUGAAUUCUCAAUAACACAACUAAAUUUAUCAAAAAUAACUUUAUAACCUUUGUCACAUAAUUGACUAAUACUAAUUAAGUUGUGUUUCAAGUUCUCAACCAAACAAACAUUCUUAAUUAGAGUUGAGGAAACUUUACCAACAUUUCCAAUUCCAAGAAUUUUUCCUUUUGAGUUGUCUCCAAAAGAUACGUCUCCACCAUUUUCAAUUUUGGUGAAGCUUGAGAACCAUGCAUAGUUUCCGGUCAUGUGCCUUGAACAACCACUGUCCAAGUACCAUUUAUUUUUCUUCUUCUUCAAGCCCUACAAAGAAAAACUCAAGUUUUAGGUACCCAAAGCUUUUUGGGUCCUUGAGAGUUAGUAGUGAUUCCUUUUGGAACCCAAAUGCAUUUCAUACCAUAAUAUGCAUUUCUUUUUACUGGACAUCUAUUUUUCAUAUGACCAUCUUGAUUACAAAAAUGACAUACAAUCUUAUGAUCACUUGUAGAGGUAGCUUUAACAAAAUAAUUCUUAUAAUACUUUUGCUUCAAGUUAGGCUUUUACCCAAGUCAUCCUUUAUCAAAAACACAUUUUUGUGAGUUAAGCAUAUUGUCCAACAUCUUUUGCCAAUUUGUAAAUUUCAAAACAACCUCAUUCAACUCAUUGCUCUUUUUCUUAAGCAUUUGGUUUUCAUUUUUCAAAUCAUCUAUGUGUGAUUCUAAAUACUCAUGUGAGAUGCUAGGUUUCUCAUUUGAUAAUGCAAUUUCAUCAUGCAAUGUUUUGUUCUCUACUUCUAGGCAUGCAAUUCUUGCAUUUAGAGAUUCAUUUUCAUUUUUAAACUUCGUCAUUUCCUUUUUAAGACAUACAUUCUUUUUACUAAUCUUCAUCAACUCAUUAUGCAAUUCUUUAAAAGCAUCAUACAAUUCAUCAUAGGUGGGAUCACUUACCUUAUUGAGAUCAUCAUCCGCUCCUAUUGCCAUAAGCGCUAGGUUUGAUACUUCUUGCGACCAUUCUUCAUCACUUGAAUCUUCCUCGCUAUCAUCCCAAGUUGCAACCAUGGCUUUCUUCUUGAGUUUGUUGUUAAGUGGGCACUCCGAUCUUAUAUGGCCAGGCUUCUUGCAUUCAUAGCAUGUGAUUACCUCUUUCUUCUCCCUUUGGUUCUUGAAGUUUCUGAAAUUUCUUCGCUCUCUCGUUUUCUUGAAGAAUUUUCUGAACCUCCUUGCUAGCAUGGCCAGUUCUUCAUCAUCCGGUUCACUCUCCCCAUCACUCUCAUAUUUUGAAGCUUUGAGAGCAAUGCUUUUUUUCUUCUCCUCAUGCCCUUUUUCUGCGGCCAAAUCUUCUUCACAUGAAAUGAGAGAACCAAUUAAAUCAUCAAGAGGUAAAGCAUUUAAAUCUUUGGCCUCUUCAAUAGCGGUUCUUUUAGGUCUCCAUUCUUUUGCAAGUGACCUAAUGAUUUUCUUAACUUUCUCGAUAUUUGAGAAGACCUUUCCUAAGGCUCCUAGGGUGUUUACUAUGUCCGUAAAUUUCGUAUACAUAGAGUACACACUCGCAUUUUGUUCCAUUUAGAACAACUCAUAUUGUCGAGUGUACCUACUGAUUUUUUACUCUUUCACUUGAUUUGUGCCUUCAUAAAUUACUUCAAUUUUGUGCCAAAUUUCAUUGGCACUUUCACAACUAGAGACUCGAUGAAAUUCUUUUUUAUCAAGUGCACAAAAUAAAGCAUUCAUAGCUUUGGAAUUUAGAGAAACUUUUCUCUUUUCCAAUUCAUUCCAUUCCCUUGAAGGUUUUGGAAUAUCUUCCCCAACUUCAUUUUUAUUUAGGGGCAAAAACGGACCAUCACAUACAACUUCCCAAAUUUCAUAAUCUAGUGCUUGUAAAUAAAUUCUCAUCCUAGUUUUCCAAUAUGGGUAGUCAUUUCCGUCAAAGAACGGUGGUCUAGUUGUGGACUGUCAUUCCCUAAAGGUUGAGUCAUUUUGGGUUACCAUGGAUCUUUUACUCUAGACGGUUAAGUCCUAACAAGAGAACCAAGCUCUGAUACCAAAUGAAAUACAAGUGUGCAACCCAAGAGGGGGGUGAAUUGGGAUUCUAAAAAAUUAUUUGAUUCUAAACUAAUUAUCAACCAAAUCUAAAAUGAAUUUAAUGGAAUAACACUUAAAUCAAUUACAAUAUAAAAAGAUAAGGGAAGAGAGAUUCAAACACGAAGAUUUUUAUGUGGUUCGGCCAACCUCGCCUACGUCCAUGCCUCCAAACUUUCCGGGCUUGAGGAUUUCACUAAGCACACCUCCAAGGCUUCAAAUGCUUACACUUGACUUCCAAGGUGUCAAUGAACCUUUACAAUAAGAGAUUAUCCCCAAUCUCUUAACCCAAGUGUAUCCCAACACUUACAAUCACUCAAAGUAAAAGAUUAAAAAUUAUUUUUCUCUCACACAAUAUUUAAGAUUACAAAUCAAUGCCCAAUGUGUGAAUAGAUGAAGCAAGAAUGUGUUUUAAAGCUCUAUGAAGAUUGUAUUCUCGAAUAUAAGCUCAAUGGUCGUGUUGUGAUCAAUCUUGUUUGAAUUUGAAUGAGCUUAUUUAUAGUUGGAGCUGAAAAACUAGCCGUUACAAACUAUCUACUCGAAAACGGUUCGCCGUUAACUAUUAAUGGUUAACCAUUUAGGCCGGUCAAAAGUUACCGUUAGGCCAAAUUUCAAAUAAACGGUUUGCCGUUUAUGGUUACCCUUUCGCCGUUAAUUCCCAGAGACCUGCAAGAUGAACAUCAGUUAUCUGUUUAUAUUAAACGGUUAAGGAUUUGCAUGAAAUGACUUCUCUGGAAAUUAUCUGUUAGCCGUUUGUAAUUAAUGGUUCGCCGUUUGUUUCCAGUAACCUGCAAAACGAGUUAGCUUUAUCCGUUUCAGUUAAGCUUUUGCCGUUUGUUUCCAGGUACAAUCUUUCAUUCUCGAUUUUAUCGGUUAACCGUUUCAAUAAACGGUUCGCCGUUAAAUUCCAGUAGCCUUCCGAGCUUUUUGUGUUUUCCGUUUUUCUUAAUCGUUUAGAGCUUAGGCAAUAUGUUGCUCUUUGUUUUUAGUCGAUUAACCGUUUAAAUAAACGGUUCACCGUUUAUUUCCAGAAUAACAGUUUAAGCCAGAUUUUGCUGAGAAUCAUUUUCCAAUUUGAAAUUUAACAGUGAUCCAUCUUUUAUGAAUAUAAUUGGAAUGUUUAUAAGGCUCUCAUUUAUUAAGAAAUAGCUCCAACAUUUUAGUCAAAAAUCAUUUAAAGUUUGUUAUCAUCAAAAUCAAUAUUAUUAACAUAUUCAUGUUAACAAGUUUCAGCUUUUCUUUUCUUGUCUUUUUGUUGUAAUGCUCUUGAGAUGUUAUGAAUUAAACAAACACACGUUCGUAAUCACACGCUCUUAUUAGAUAGGAAGCAUCAUCAAUAGAAGAAUCAAAUUCUCAAAUCGGGUGGCCAAAAAGACUUGAGGCAAUGAAUUAAGUCUUUUGAGCAAGUUGGGGGAUUCAGGCCUACUUGUGGGUUGAAUAGAAAAGUAGCAGCAAGCGGAUAACAAGUCUAAUGAGCCAAUAACUAAUGCUCUUUUAAUUUGGUCACCGUGUUGGGGGACUUGGAGGUAAACUUGUCGCCAGCCAGCAUGUUAAUGAAACUUAAAAAUGUCGAAGAUUUUAAGUUUCAUCAUCUUAGCUUUGCUUGUAGUAGGAAACACUAAAGGCACACCUAUUUCAGCAUGUCAUACUCGCCAAGAAUCUAAUCCAAAUGCUUCAUUUUCCUUUAAUCCUGCAGCACACCUAACAUUAUUUAUUGUUCAGGGUUUACAAGGGAAGAGUAUUUGAUCGAGAAGUUAAAAAAGGCUCCUAAAGACUAUAUCUACCCUUGUUCUGCAAGGGAUGCAAAUGAAUUUCAUAAUAAGUUAUUUAUUUUAUCUUCUAUGAGUGCUUUUACAAUAAUGAUCAACUGUAGUGGAAUUAAAACUGUGUUUUAGUAAAAGAAGAAAUUAUCCAUUAUGAGUAUGCAAUAUUUUGUCAUGUGUUUUUUGUGCGUGUGUCUAGUGUUGUUGACUCCUACAAAUUCAAGACCCGAAUGUGGUUAUCGCGAAGAGUAACAUGUAGGAUUAAUUAGUACCAUGAAUCUUCAUCAAAUAGUUAGUAUUCAACUUUUCUUGCUUUGUCUCUCUUCUGUAAUGCUUUUGGAUGCUAUGAUUAAGUAAAUACAAGCUCUAAUUCAUGCACUUAUUCGAUAAGAAGCACCAUAAAAAGAAAAAAGGGAAAUUAUCAUUGCACCACCUUUCUUUUACCUUAUAUUCAUCCAACCACCGCAAAGUUCUAACAUAUUCAUCACUUGAAUAUAAUUAAUUUCAAUUUCAUCACUUGAAAUUAUCAUUGCACCACCUUUCUUUUGCCUUAUGUAAUUAUAACCAAAAUUUUAAUUUCAUCACUUGAAAAUAAAAAUAUUGACUUUUAAUUUCUUUUACUUUAUGUUAUUUUAUUUAAGAAAAAGUUUUUGGUAAUUACAAAAUGGUUUAAAGCAAUAGUUUCUAAAUGCAAAUAUGUAUUCUUUUAUUUAUUUACGAUAGAUAGUUUGGCUUUAAUUUAAGAUAUGUCUUUUAAUUUUAGACAUUUCUUUAUUUUUAUUAUAUAACUAAAUAAUAUAAUAUUUAUACUUGAUGGACGACUUAAAAAUGAUAAUAUGUUAAUUUUUAUGUAGCUAGUAUGAUAAGAAAAAACUUUUGAUAAGACAAUAGUGAAAGCAGAGAUAACAAUAAGAUUAAUCAUUUAAUGAUGCAAAAUAUGGGCUUCGUGGUGUUGGCUCCUGCAAAUUCAAGACCUAAAUGUGGUUACCACUAAGAAUAACAAGUAGGAAUUUUAAUCAAUAUUGUUAGUUUUAACUUUUCUUUUUCUGUCUUUUUAUUGUAACACUCUUGAGAUGUUAUAAAUUAAAUAAAUACAAGUUCCUAAUCACACGCUCGUAUUACAUAGGAAGCAUCAUAAAAAAGAAGAAAUAAAUUCUCAAACUGAGUGACCAAAAAGACUUGAGGUAAUUAAUUAAUGGUGUGUUUACUUCCUGGAUUGGGGAAUCAGAAUAAGAAUGAUUGACGGCGUUUACUUCGCAAAAAUGGAGCAGAAAUCAGAAUCAAAAUUGUGGGACCCAUCACUAUUUGGGAAUGGGCAAAUUGAUUCCUAUGGGGGGAGGUGGGAAUCAAUCUCUCAUUCCCUAGAGUUCCCAUUUUGCCUCCAUUGACAUUCAAAUUUUCCUAAAAUGCCCUUCCUUUAAAUAAAAAAUAUAAAUAUCAAAAAUAAAAAAGCCAAAUAUAUAAUUAAUUAUAUUAUUAUAAUUAAUUAAUUCUUAUAUUAUAGUUAAUUAGUAUAUUGAUACAUUAUUAACAAGAAUUAUUAAUAAUUGAAAUUUUAAAUAAAUAAUCACAAUAAUUAAUAUAUUAUAAUUAUAAUUAAUUAAUUACUAUACUAUUAUAAUAAUUAUUAAUAUAGUUAUUAUAAUUAAUUCAUAUACUAUCAUUAAUUAAUUGCAAUAAUUAGCACUAUUAAUUAAUAUAAAACUAUAAUUAAUAAUAAUAAUUAUUAUAAUUUAUUCAUAUAUUAUUAUUAUUAAUUAAUUAAUAUAAUUAUUACUAUUAAUUAAUAUAUUAAUACAUUAUUAACAACAAUAUAUUAAUAAUUAUAGUUUUUGAAUAAAUAAUCACAAUAAUUAAUAUAUUAUUAUAAUUAAAUAAGUAAUAUUAAUAUUAUUAAUUAAUAUAUUUUAUAAUAAUUAUUAAUAUAAUUAAUUCAUUAAUAAUUUUUAUAAUUAAUUAAUAUAUCAAUAUAUUAUUGACAAUAAUUAAUAAUAAUAAUAAUUUUUUUUCAAUAAAUAAUCACUAUAAUUCAAAUAUAAAAUAAUAAUUAUGACAAUAAUUCAUUAAGUACUUUUUAGUAAUUUGUUACAAUCUAACUCAUUUCGAUUCCGAUUCCAAGACAAAGUUAACACAUUUAUGGUAAUCCAGCUCAUUCCGAUUUCGAUUCCUACAAUUCAAGUAAACAACUUAUUCUGAUUCUCAUUCCCUAUUCCCAUUUCAGCUCAUUCUCAUUCCUGCCCAUUCUGAUUCCAGCUGAUUCCGAUUCCAAUUUAGUAAACACAACAUAAGUCCUUUGGGCCAGUUGGGGGAUUCAGCGCUACUGUGUGGAUUGAAUAGAAAAGUAGAGGCAAGUGGAUACAAGUCAUUUGACAUAUAAUUGAUUUCUUCUCCAAUUAAAAUAAUUCUUCUUUACACGUGAUUAUUGUAAUCUCCUCUUCAGAUGUGAUCUGUUCGUACUCAGUUUUGAUUAAUGAAAGAGUGUGAAUUUUUCCUUCAAAUCUGGUAACUUGUUCUUUGCAAUCCAAUUCUAUUUUCUAUUCUUUUCUCUGUUCUUUAUCAAUUUUGAUUCCAAAUCGAUCUUGAUUGAUUAAAUAUUGAAGUAUUGAGUCAGUUCUUGUAAUUAGCCACUACAAAUUACAACAAACACAAUUACAAAAAUUCUUAAGAAAUAAGUUAGUAAGGCAUGUAGAAUACAAGAUUGCCUAACAUCCGAUGAUAAUUUAUCUAAUCAAUCCGUUCAUUCAACAUGAGUUACCAAUUGAAUUGAUGUGGGCAUAUCAACACGACAAAUGUGUCAGGAAUAAUAUGAAAAGUUUUCUUAUAUUAAUUGAGGUAAACUUUAAUUCAUGCCCCUUCUAAUAACAAUCUUCAGUUUACCCUCUAAGAGCAUGAGAACCUCAAUUUACACUAAUUUGUUUUUUCAAAAAAUGAGCUUAAAUAGGGGGUAGAUUGAUGAUCUUUUAUUUAUUUUCGUAGUAGUAAAUGGGGGUGAAUUGAUUUUUUCUCAUUUUUUGUAGUAAAUUGAAGGUUCUCUAUACAUAAGUUGAAUUUAGCCAUAAAUUAAAUCAGAUAGGUUAGUAAUAUAAGAUUUAGAAAAAAAAUAGAUUUUGAUAAAAAUAGGAUCUAUAUAGCCUCACCCUAAAAGAAAAUAGAUUUAAAAUCUAAAUAUUACGUACGGUACUAACAUUGUAAUUAUGAUUGCUUGAUCAAUAUUAGCGUUUCAACUAAUUUUUCUCUCAUAGAUUGAUUCCAUGAUACGUAUAAAACAAAGCAAACCAAAAACACACACAAAAAAAGAACAUGACAAAACAUUAAGCACUCAUAACGGAUUAAUUUCUUCUUUAAUUAAAACAUAGUUUUAAUUUCACUACGAUUAAUCAUUAUCAUAAAAACACUAAUAAAAGAUAAAAGAAAAAACUGAUUAUCAAAAUCUUUUACAUUCCCCUCGAGGCAUGUGUAGGUAUAGUAAUUUCUCGAACAAAUAAUUUUCGCUUGUAAGCCUAGGGAAAUAGAAAAUGAAGCAUCUAGGCUAGCAUGCAUUUAGUGUUUGCCAUUACAAGCAUGAUGAAACUGAGCUCUUUGACAUUUUUUCAAAUUUUUAAUUGAAUUCUAAAAAGCUUAAUUUGAAUUAAAAUGGAUGUGUCAGAAUUAGAAAGGCAUGAGUCUCUAUUUAUAUAAAGGAAUAUUGAGAAAUGUGUUGUAGUGACCUUAAUGUAAUUGAAAAGAAUCCAAAAUGAAGCUUUAAUAAAUUACACUACGUUUGUUUGAAUAAACUAUUGAUUUUAAUAUCUUGAUGCAUUAUGGAGGUAAUUUCAACAUGUAUUUAAUUAAUUUUAUCAUUUUUAUCUUAUUAUUUUGUUUAGUUUAUUAUUAGAUUUUUUCUCUUUAUAUCAAUCGUCAGGCUGCUCUUUUUAAUUGAUAAAAAUAUUUCUAUAAAUGACGUCCUCCAAUGAAAUUAUCCACAUCCUAUAUUUUAGACAAGCAGUUGGCGCAAUGUAAUGCUAGAUAUUUAUGUGGAUAUACAAUAAAGCCUUUAUAAAUUAAUAAUGUCAAAAUCAUGCAAUAUCUAUUAAUAUAAAGAGAUAUUCAAAAUGAAGUUUAAAUAACUUAUGCUGCGUUGGUUUUAAUAAACUGUUGAUUUUAAUUUCUUGUUGCAUUAUGAAGGUGAUUUCAACAUCUAUUUAAUUAAUUUUAUCAUUUUUUCUUAUUAUUUUGUUUAGUUUAUUAUUAAUUUUUUUCUCUUUAUAUCAAUCGCUAGCCUAUUCUUUUCAAUAUGUAAAAAUAUUUCUAGAAAUGAUGUCCUCGAAUGAAAUUAACCACAACCUAUAUUUUAGGUAGGCAAAUGGCGCAAUACAUUGCUAGAUAUUUGCAUGGAUAUACAAUAAAGCCUCUAUAAAUUAAUAAUGUCAUAAUCAUAUAAUAUCUAUUAAUAUAAAGGGAUACUAAUCCAAAUUAAUCUAUUAGUUAAUAAUCUAUUAAUUCAUUGUGUAUAUACAAUUCAGUGAACAUAUAUUUAAUCAACUAGAUAAUUCAUAGUAUUUUACCAAUCUAGCCAAUUCAAAGUUAGUUAGUCCCCUAAAUAUAGAUUACAAUUAACAAAAAAAAAAUAGAAUCCAUGUAGUUGUGAAUUCAGCAAGAAUAAGUAAUAUCAUAUAUGAGAUCCCACUAUGUUUAGAUUUGAAGAAAAACAAAUAAUAAUAGAUUCAUGUUUUAUUUAAUAACAUAUUAUAACAAUUAUGUUUGUAAGCCUAGCAAAUUAUUAUUUUGUAGUAAGAAUGUGACCAUAGAAUUAUAAAACAUAAUCUCUUAUGCAACUUAUUGAUUGAUUAAUAUCAAUAUCUCUUUAAAUAAAUAGAUGUUUUGUGAUUUCUUUAUUAUUAAUUUAUAAAAGUAUUACUAUAUAUCCAUGCAAAUAUAUGGGAUUGAUUGUGUCACUAGCUUGCUUAAAAUAGGAUGUGGUUAAUUUCAUUGGAGGGCGUGGCUUAUAGAAAUGUGUUUACAUAUUAAAAAAAAAUAGUUUGACGAUUGAUAUAAUGAGAAAGAAUCUAAUAAAAAACUAAACAAAAAAAUAACACUAAAAACGAUAGAAUUAAUUAAAUGUAUGUUAAAAUUGCCGUCAUAACGGAACAUGAUAUUCAAGUCAAUAGUUAAUUUAAACAAACAUAGCCUAAUUUAUUUAAUCCUCAUUUAUGGAAUCUUUCAAUUCCAUUAAAGUCACAGCAACACGUUUCUCAAUAUUCAUUCAUAUAAAUGGAGACUUAUGCCAUCCUAAUUGUUGUAGAUCUCUUUUACUUCUAAUUAAGUUACUGAUAAUCCACCUAAGAAGCAUAAAUAUGUUGAGAAGCCUUAGUUUCAUCAUCUUGGCUUUGCUUGUAGUGGCAAACACUGAAAGUAGACUUAUUUUAGCCAGUCACAUUGGCGAAGGAUCUAACCCAGAUGCCUCAUUUUCCAUUAAUCCUACAGCAUCACCUGACAUUGUUGAUUGCUCAGGGCUUACAAGGGAAGAGUGUUUGAUUGCAGAGUUAAAGAAAGCUCUCGAAGAUUAUAUCUACCCUUGUCCCCCAGGGGGAUGCAAAAAAAUUGUGUAAUCAGUUAUUUAUUUUAUCCUUUAUGAGUGCUUUUACAAUAAUGAUCAAUUGUAGUGAUAUUGAAAUUGUCUUAAUAAAAGAAGAAAUUAAUCCAUUAUGAGUAUGUGUUGUUAUGUCAUGUGUCUUUUAUGCAUGCAUUUGACGCUAUUUUGUUGUAUAUUUAUCGUUGACUUAAUCUACGAUAGAGGAAUCUGUUGAAAAACUAAUAACGAUCAGUAUUACGUUCAUCUUCUAAACAAAAUUUGAGGUAAGUCUAGAUUUCCAUGUUUUUGAAGGGUAAAUUGAAGAUUUUUAUUGGCAAGGGGAUGAAUUGAAGUUUGCCCCAAUUCAUAUAACAAAAUUUUUCCUAUUAUUCGGGCCCAUAUUGGCUUUUUAAAUUCUUUUAUUUUAUGUUAUUUUAUUUCAUUGAAGAAAAAGUUUUUGGUAAUUACAAAAUGGUUUAAAGUAGUUGUUUCUAAAUGCAAAUAUGUAUUCUUUUAUUUAUUUGGAUGGCUAGUUUGGCUUUAAUUCAAUAGAUGUUUUUGAAAUUUAGUUGUUUCUUUAUUUUUGUUAUAUAACUAAAUAAUAUAAUAUUUAUACUUGAUUGACGACUUAAAAAUGAUAAUUUGUUAAUUUUUAUGCAGCUAGUAUGAUAAGAUAAAUUUUUAUAAGACAAUAGUGAAAGCAGAGAUAACAAUAAGACUAAUUAUUUAAUGAUGCAAAAUAUGGGCUCCAUGAUGUUGGCUUUUCCAAAUUCAAGAUCUAGAUGUAGUUACCACUAAGAAUAACAAGUAGGAAUUUUAAUCAAUGUUGUCAGUUCCAGCUUUUUUCUUGUUUUAUUUGUAUUGUAAUGCUCUUGAGAUGUUAUGAAUUAAAUAAAUACAAGUUCUUAAUUGUUGUGCAAAUUUUAUUGAACUCGCAAGUGCACGAAUCUAUGGUAGUAUAGAUCAAUGGGGACGAGUGUCGAUCCCACGAGGAGGUGGAUUUUAAUUAAGUGUAGAAUUAAUUUUCUAAAUGGGUGGUUGGAUUUGUGGUGAAAGUAACUUAGAUUAUCCUAAAAUUUGAAUUAAAAUGGCGAGAAUAAAUUGAAGCGAAUUCUAUUGAAAUGCGGCACUUGGGUAUCUGGAUCCGUAUCAACAUGCACCAUGGGCUAAAUAUUCAUUAUUAGUGCCAAUUAAAUCAUGAGGGGGGUAUCCACACCUCAUGAACCACACUCUAAUAAAUAUGGUGCUAAGGGCUUAUCGUGCCAAAUAAUAAUAACCUUGUACUAGGGAGCCGAUGAAAUCAGGGCGGUAUCUAGACAAUGUUAUUAUUAUUUGUUGAUGAAAAGUCAAAACAUCCACAAAAAUUAAAGGGCAAGAGAAAAUAAAUUUACCAAAUAAAGCCCAUGGCACAUGUUGAGACUUCACCUUCAACCCAAGCUUGAAAGAAAAUUAGUUACGCAUAAUUGAACUAGGGUCAAAAUGUGAAUUUAUUAAAAUACGUAGAAAAUACAAGAUGGAGAAGGAAUUACAAAAAAUAUAGCCCAAAAAUGGAUUCAGAGAUCCAAAUUAGGGGGGAAAGACCCCCUUUUUAUAGAUACAUUGGGUAAAUCAUGGCCAUCGGAUUAAAAACAGUUUGGACGCUCAGGAUUGCGCCACGUCAUCAGUCAACAGUACGCGGUUUGACCACGCAGUUUGAACAGUGACACGGUUUGACCACGCAGUUUGAACAGUGACACGGUUUGACCACGCAGUUUGAACAGUCAACCAGCUUGAACAGUGACGCGGUUUGGUUGAAAAUAAUCCUGUGUAUAUACAUUACUGUACGCGCGAUUUUUGGUCCACUAAUAUGCUGCCACGUCAUCGAUCAACAGUGCAUAAGAAUUUUCUCCAAUGGAAUCGUGACACCUCAUCAGUCAAUGCCACAUCAUUGGUCAAUGCCACAUCAUCAUUCCGUUUGUGUGAACGGUGUCGUGAACAGUAACAUGGACAGUACGGUACAUGUGAAUAGUGCCAUUUUUCCUUUUAUACUCCUCCUAAGGUUUUCGACUGUCCUGAGUUCAAAAGUGAUGUACAUUUUGCAGUCUGAUCUCUCAUUCAUUGUGAAAUGACCACGACACCCCUAAAAUGCAUAAAAUACAUAAUUAAAAUAAAAUACACAUAAUUAAAUUAUAAGAGACUAAAAUACAUAAAAGUAGAAGUGUUAGUAAAACUUGAAGUGUAAAAUGAUGAUUUUUCCCUUUAUAAAUAUAUAUUUUCUAACACUUAACAUCCCCCCCAACCAGCUUAUUGCUAGUCCCUAGCAAAUAAAGCGAAAACAAAAUUCAAAUCCAAAUUUUUUUUUCUUAAAACACGAGUGUUUAUUCAAUCAGACUAAUGAUAGCAAUCAAAUAAAAGUAUAAGUAUUAUCUCCAGUCUAAAGAAUUAUCACACCCACAUCAACCAUCCACAUGAAUCAGCCCAGUAGACUUUGUCACAGUUACUUUCAAGAAUGACAUGUUAAACCCCAAAAUCUCACUGGAAAUAGUGAAACACUCACAAAGAAAUUAAACCCAAUAAAAAUAGUUACUCCAAUGAAAUAGUAAUUGAGAGAAAAUAAUGAAGAAGUAAUAUCACACGCUCUCACCAAAAUGAAAGAAAUAUGCCCUCAACUUAGAAAUAAUACGAUCUCAAGUCAAAUAAAAAUGCUAGUUAACCCAAUUUAUUUAUUUAUUUAUUUUUAUGCAUCACUGCAUCUUUUUAGCCCAUAUAAUUAGCUUCUACUUCAGACUAUAGUUCCCUAAAAUCAAGAAGGACUUUUAUUAGGACGUAACGUAGGCUAGGGACAUGGCUAACAAAGGAGGGGAAAUAAGGAAAACAAAGUGUAUGUUUGAGAAAAAUGUAGAGAUAUUUUUUUUUUGUGGAAGUUGCAAGGUGGAUCUUACCUAUUAUUGUUAUUUUUUUCUUUUUUUUUGUAACAACAAUUUUUUUUCUUUUGUUUUUUUUUGCUUUUGUUUGGCACAACUUCACUGAACAAAAUAAUUAUUUACAUUUUUCUCAAACAUAAAUAGGUGAUGGAACUUGUAAGAUAUUGGGUAAUACUCCAAAUCGGAGUGGGUUAAGAUGAUAAGUUUGACAAAGAAAAGGUUUUGUUUUUUUUUAAGGCUCAAAAGGGUUAACUAUGGAUAUUUCAUAAAAGGGAUGGCUAGAAAGGCUCAAACAGAUCAAAGAUGGAAUUUCCAUCGUCUUUUAGGGCUAUAAAUAAUAUUCCAUAUCUACUAGUUAGAUGGGCCUCCAGAUGUAGCAACACACUUUUUUUUUUUUUUAAUUUUACAAUUUUUUGUAAGGGUUAACUCAAAAGAAAUCUAGAGAUCGUGUAUAAAAUAAUAAACUGUUAAGCUGUAUAAAGAAUGGGCAAAAUGGUUACUCUUCAAGAAAAAUGAUAGGCUCAAAAACUCACUUGGUACUUAUUAUGACAUGUUCAUUCCUUCAAGCAACUCAUAUUUAUCUCCGACAUCAACAUGUAGAGUAGCUAACAUGGCGUAACAUCACUUAAGACCAAAGAUAAUACAAAUACUAAAAUUUGAAAUUCAUCAUGUCAUCCAAUAUUAAAACAAAUCACAAAAAAAAAAAAAAUUGUUCAAACAACAUUCUACCCCCCAACCUAUUCUAAACAUGAAAGGAAAUUAUGCAUGCAGAGAUGUGAAAAUGAUUCAGAAAAACUAAUUAGAAAAGUUACACUUAAAAUGAUAGAAAAAGAAAAUGGUUUUUUUUUUUUUUUAACUAAGAAGAUGCGUUUCUAGAGGCACUACACUCCAUAUUCAGCCAUCUUCGACUCAAAAAUUUGAAAGUAUAUAUUUAUAAAGGAGAAAUUAGAAAGAAGAAGUUAGAAAAAAAAUUAUUAUCAAAGCUUAAUAAAGAAAAAGAAAAUGCCUGGAAAUUUUUACUAUUAUUAUUUUUAUAUUUUAUUUUAUUUUAUUUAUUUUAUUUUUUUUAAAUGAAGAAGAUGCGUUUCUAGAGUAACUACACGCCAUAUUCAGCCAUCUUCAACACAAAAAGUUAGUUACGGUUAGUCUCUACAACAAAAAAUUAAUAACAAUUUAACCAAAAUUCCACAAUUGUCGACUAUUCCCUCCCCCAACCAGAACGAAACAUUGUCCUCAAUGUUUUAAAGGAAAAAAGUAUAGUUUAGAAGACAUCACAUGGGUGGUGCAACACAGAAGAAAAUAUUUACAAGCGGAGAGUUAAAUCUAAUUUGUACUUCUUACUGCAGCUACUGUUACCGUCAUUAUUUGGAGACUCCAACAAAAAGGUCCUAGGGUCUGGCUCUGGUUUAUAAGCUUGUAACAGAUGAAGUAGCUCAUUAGCAGUGUGAACACAAAUAAAAAGCUUUUUGCUGUGGAAGGAAUGAAAUAGUUUUUUAUUGCAUGGUUAAGAAAUGCGAUAAAGCCAUCAUAAAAGUUAUUGACAUUUAACAAACCGAUGGGUUUCUAGUGAAUGUGCAGAUGGGCCCAAGAUGCUAAUAUGAUAAGUGCCUCUAGAGUUACAAGAUCUCCUGAUAGGAAAAUAAAAGCAUCAGCAUGAUUAAGCAUUUCAGUUAUUCUUUCUUGCAUACCUGAGACGACUAACUCUUCUCCAGUCGGUGAGUCAGACAAAUUGCCCAAAGAUUUUAGGGCUCUUGGGAUAAUGCCUAACACUUGGCUUCCUCUGACAAAAGUAGCUUCUGAGACCAAUUUUGAUAACCUUCAGUUACCUCCUCCAUACACUAAGUGUAAUUUUCUCUCUGCUAUCCUUCGACCAAGAUCUAUGGCUGCCUCAACGAACUCUUUAUGUUUGCCAUAGUUAAAUCCAGAAAGCACACAAAUGUUCUUGAAUUGUCUAUUGGGAGUAGCUGCCAUUGGAAUAUUUCUCAAAAACAAUUUGUGAGUGCUUAACAAAAAGUCAUAUUUAAGAAUCUUGGUGACAGUAGGUCACAACUAUGUAUGAGGUGACAUGUCAGUGUCAAAUAACGCGUAAAGGACAUGGCUCGCGAGUCAAAAAGGAAACAGUAAAAAGAAAAAGAAACAAUGAUAAAAUAAAAUUAUUAAAGACAAUAAUGCAAAUGAUAAAACAACAAUGAAAUAAAAUAACAGUAAAGUAAAAGGAUAUUUACAGGUAGUUGCGACUGUAGCUCACAUCUUCCUCUGGUUUUACGUCCAGAAACGGCUUGAAUGCCCUCUAUGGGUUGAGGAUAGGCUUCCCAUCCAGUUUUCUUAUAAACUGGCAAAUAGGGUCGUUUAUAGUCAGAUUCCUGAGACUAUAUCGUGCAUGCUCUUUCAGGAAUAAUGGCCAUAACUGGAGAAUCGGUCCUUGCACAUAUCAACUGGGAUGCAUUUCAAGAGACAAAAGGAUAUCAUCCAAUGACUCCUUAUUCAAGCCAUCUCUAAUGAAUUGAAUCUUAUCUUCCCUGUUAUCAGACAUCAUUCCUAAAGAACAUGAGUUUUUAUUGCAUCUCAUUCUUGCACAUUUAUGACAAGCAACAGAAAUUUUUCGAGCUCUUCGUUUUCUUGCAUAAUUUCCUUUAGCACAACCAGGCAUGUAUGCAAUAAAUUUUGGAGGUAACUCACCUGCCAAUCGUACUUGAGCCUUGAUUAACCAAUGGAUGUCGACAGGUAUAUUAUUCCUCAUGAGCAAUCGCAUGCGUUUGGACCGAACUUUAUAGAUUGUAAGGAGGGCAUUCUGAGGAAGUGAAGGAAAUCGAUUGUGAAGCUUUGCUAGAAUAUCAUUUCUAUCCAUACCUUCGCCUCAGAAUAUUAGUUAUUAUGGGAAACUGUAACCAACUUGAUUGUCACGGAGUACUGUUAUCCGCCACUUUACUGGGGUAACAAACUAAAGCACACAAACAAACUAAAACACAUAAAGAAAAUUAUAAUCGUCCUCUUAUUGAAUUUACCUCAAGCUCCAAUUGGAUAUUGUAGACACUUCUCUCAAUGUCUCUGAGUUGGCUUUCUAAAUCCUCAACAUAGGAUACUAAUUCUGGUGGUUGUAGAGCCCAAAUACGAUGUGUUUUACAAAAUCGAAUCUGCCUUUUAAGAUGAGAUUUUACAUGUUGAAGCGGUCUAAGAAUGUCCAGGAGGAACUGUUUAGCUAUGGCACUCAUGAUUAACAAUGAUAAGAGAAAACUUAAUGGUUAAACAAACACACUUAUGCAAAAAUAGCAAAAGAAUAAUAAAAAGAAAGAAAAAAAUCAAAUCACCGAAAAGAAAGAAAAAAAAAACUCAAUUCAAAUCUGGUGGGUCACUCAAAUUUAUUUCGGUGUCCUUUCCAUGUGGUUGGUACUCUAGAUAUGACUUUAAUAUUUGACCAUUAACUUUAAAUGUGACACCGUUCUUUGGGUCCUUAAUUUCAAUUGCCUCAUGUGGAAAAACAGUAUGAACAAUAAAGGGGCCAGACCAUCGAGAGCGUAACUUACCUGGGAAUAGGUGCAAACGAGAAUUGAAUAAAAACACUUUCUGACCUGGAGUGAACAAUUUUCUCAUAAUUUGCUUGUCAUGAAAGACUUUCAUUCACUGCUUGUAAAUCUUGGCAUUUUCAUAUGCAUCAUUGCGAAUUUCUUCAAGUUCUGCCAGCUGUAAUCUUCUUUCUGAGCUGGCUUGCUACAUGUUAAAGUUGAAUUUCUUGACGGCCCAAUAUGCAUGAUGCUCGAGUUCCACAGGUAAGUGGCAAGCUUUUCCAUACACUAGCCUGUAGGGUGACAUCCCAAUCGAGGUCUUGAAAGCCGUUCUAUAUGCCCAUAAUGUAUCAUCAAGUCUUAAUGACCAAUCUUUUUUGUUUGUCCUCACCGUCUUUUCUAAUAUGUGCUUUAUUUCUCGAUUGGAGAUCUUAACUUGGCCACUGGUUUAUGGAUGAUAUGGGGUUGCCACUUUGUGAGUGAUUGAAUACUUUAUCAAAAGAGUUUUGAAUGCUUUGUUACAAAAGUGGGCACCACCAUCACUGAUUAUCGCUCGAGGGAAUCCAAAGCGUGAAACAAUGUUACUUUUCAAAAAUCCUAUCACCACCUUGUGAUCAUUAGUUCUACAUGGAAUUACUUCUACCCAUUUCGAUACGUAGUCAACAGUAACCAAUAUGUAUUGAUGGCCAAAAAAAGGGGGAAAGGGUCCCAUGAAGUCGAUACCACAUACAUAAAAAAUCUCAACCACUAAAAUUAGAUUUAGUGGCAUCAUGUUCCUUCGUGUAAUGCUCUCCAUUCGUUGACACCUAUCACAUGAAGAACAAAAAGUGUAAGCGUCUCGAAAUAUAGUUGGCCAAUAAAAACCACAUUGUAAAACUUUAGUUGCUGUAUUCUUAGCACUGAAAUGGCCUCCACAAGCUUGUUCAUGGCAGAAUGAAAGAAUAUUCUGAAUUUCAUUUUCUAGGACACAUCAUCUAACAAUUUGAUCAGCACAAUACUUGAACAAAUAAGGGUCAUCCUAAAAGAAAUUCUUUAUUUUUGCAAAAAAAUUGGCCUUGUCUUGCUUAGUCCAAUGCUCUAAAAGUUGACCUGUAACAAGAUAAUUAACUAUAUCAGCAUACCACGGUAAUACUUCCACACUCAUUAAUUGUUCAUCGAGAAAUGACUCAUUCAAUGUUAAUGGUUCUGUAAUUGUGUCAAAAUGGAGACGAGAGAGAUGGUCAGCCACAACAUUUUCUGUGCCUUUCUUAUCUUUAAAUUCCAAGUCAAAUUCCUGCAAAAGUAACACCCAACAAAUUAGUCUAGCUUUUGCAUCUUUCUUUGUGAGAAGAUAUUUAAUAGCAGCAUGAUCUGUGAAUACAAUUAUUUUACAACCAAUGAGAUAAGAUUGAAAUUUUUCUAAUGCAAACACUACUGCUAGCAUUUCUUUUUCAGUAGCUGAAUAGUUCAACUGUGCAUCAUUCAAUGUCAUACUAGAAUAGUAAAUAACAUGAGGAAUUCGAUCAACUCUUUGUCCUAAAACUGCUCCUACUACAUAAUCAGAUGCAUCACACAUGAGCUCAAAUGGUAAGCUCCAGUUUGGGGGCUGAAUGAUUAGUGAUGAUGUCAACAACUGCUUUAGUUUUUCAAAUGCCACAAGACAUGAAUCAUCAAAGAUAAAAGGUACAUCCUUAGCAAGUAGAUUGCAUAAGGGUCUAGAAACUUUGCUAAAAGCUUUAAUGAAACGUCAAUAAAAACCAGCAUGCCCAAGGAAAGAUAUUACUUUUCUGACUGUUUUAGGUGGAGGAAGAUUAGAAAUGAGAUCCACCUUUGCUUUGUCAACCUCAAUACCUUUGCUCGAAAUGAUGUGACCGAGAACAAUACCUUAUUUUACCAUAAAAUGACACUUCUCCCAAUUUAAGACUAUGUUCUUCUCGAUACAUCUCUGCAGAACUAGUGUUAGAUGAUGGAAACAUUGAUCAAAUGAAUCACCAAAGACAUAAAAGUCAUCCAUAAAGACUUCAAGGAAUCGUUCAACCAUAUAAAAAAAAAAUACUCAACAUGCAUCGUUGAAAUGUAGCAGGUGCAUUACAUAAUCUAAAUGGCAUCCUCUUAUAUGCAAAAGUUCCAAAAGGGCAAGUGAAAGUGAUCUUCUUUGAUCUUUUGGUGUUAUGGGAAUCUGAUUAUAUCCUGAGUAGCCAUCUAGAAAGCAAUAAAAUUAAUGGCCUGUUAAUCUAUCAAGCAUUUGAUCGAUAAAUGGUAAAGGAAAAUGGUCUUUACGUGUGACAAAAUUUAACUUUCUAUAAUCAAUGCAUACACGCCAUCAUGUAGUCACUCUAGUGGGUAUCAAUUCAUUAUCAGCAUUGGUAACUACUAUGACUCCUGACUUUUUGGGGACAACUUGUACAUGACUGACCCAUGAACUAUCAGAAAUUGGGUAAAUGAUACCUGCUUCUAAUAGCUUAAGAACUUCAGUUCUAACAACUUCUCUCAUGUUAGGAUUUAACCGACGUUGCAUUUCCCUAGUAGGUUUAGCAUUUUGAUCAAGGUGAAUGUAAUGCAUGCAGUCUACUGGGUUUAUACAUUUUCUGUCUGCUAUGGUCCAUCCUAAUGCUCCUUUGUGCUCUUUUAAAACAUCCAACAACUUACCUUUUUGUUCGUCAUUUAGGGAUGAUGAGAUGAUUACCGACAUAGUACUUUCGUCUCCCAAAAAUGCAUAUUCCAAAGUGUUGGGUAAUGGUUUGAGCUCGAGUUUCGGUGGUGAUUCUGAUGAUGGGAUGAAUUUCUUCUCUAAUGGUGCUAAUUGUUCAACUCUUGACAUCCAUUUAUUAGUGCCCAUGGAUGGAGCUGAGUCAAGUAGGGUGUUGACCUCAUCCACUGAUCUGUCAAUAUCAAAAUCUAAACCAAAGUGAGUUAAGCAUGUUUGUAAAGGGUCAUCACUAAGGUUUGAAAGAAAAGUAUUAUCAAUUAUUUCUUCUAUUAAAUCCACGUCAACAAUUUCAUCAUCUGCAUUGUGAGAUUGUUUGGCAAUGUUGAAGAUGUUUAGCUCCAUAGUCAUGUUGCCAAAGGACAACUGCAUAUUUCCAGUUUUGCAUUGAAUGUAAGCAUCUGCAGUUGCCAAGAAAGGUCGGCCUAGGAUAAUGGGGAUGUGCUUCCUUGAAUCCUGGAUUGGUUGAGUGUCAAUUACAAUGAAAUCAACAGGAAAAUAAAACUUGUCUACCUGGAUAAGCACAUCCUCCAUAAUACCACGAGGUAUUUUAGUGGACCGAUAUGCAAGCUGUAACACCACUGGAGUUAGGUGUAAUUCGCCCAGUCCAAGUUUCACAAAUUAAUAAGGUAACAGAUUUACACUAGCUCCUAAGUCCAACAAAGCAUUCUCAAUUGUGUGGUUCCCUAUGCUACAUGAGAUAGUGGGGGAACCUGGGUCUUUGCAUUUUAGAAGAAUUUUGUGUUGGAGUAUAGAACUAACGUUUUCUGUUAAAAAUGCCUUCUUUUGAACAUGAAUAUUUCUUUUUUUAGUACAAAGGUCUUUAAGAAACUUGGCAUAAGAUGGAACUUGUUUUAUAGCAUCAAGCAAAGGGAUGUUAACACUUACCUAUUUGAAGAUUUCAAGAAUCACACCUGUGGAUUUUCCCUUCUUUCCUUUAGCUAACCUCUGAGGAAAUGGAGCUUUGGGAAUAUAUUCUGGUGGGUUGGUUUUUUCUUUCUCUUCCGAUAGUGAGUCCUCAACAUUCAUAGGUACAAUUUGAUUUUCUUUUGUCACCGGCAUCUCCACUUUGUUGUCGACUUCUUUUCCUUUUCGCAAGGUCAUGACUGUUUGACCUCUCCAUGCUACUGUGGUGAACUGGUACUUGAUUCAUGUACUCCUUUAGGAUUAGGCGCUGGUUGACUUGGAAAUUUACCUUUCUCAACAGUCAUUACCAAGGUCUGAACUGAAAAAGUAAGUUGUCCCACCAUCUUCUCGAGGCUUGAAACUGAUUGGGCUUGUGAGUUGAAUCCUGCUCUAAUCUCAUUUCAUAGUCCAUCAAUGGUGUGGUUCUGUUGCUCAAUCGUAGAGUGAGUAACAUUUUUGAAAUUCUGGAAUGCAUCCUCCUAUGGUCUGGGUUGAGAGUAGUUCUGGUUCUGAUUGUAUGGUCUAAAUGGUGGCUGAGAGGCUUGAGAAAUUUGAGGAAUUGGUUGUAUUGGUGGAGUUAGAGCUGCUGGUCCAUUCUGUUGGAAUCCUUGAGACCAUGAAAAAUUGGGGUGGUCUUUCCAUCCAGGAUUAUAUGUGUUGGAGCAUGGGUUGUAAUUUGAUGAUUUUCUUAUUACACCUAUGGCAUUGUCUUGAUCUAAGUAUGAGUCAUAGUCGUGUGGUUCUGUUGAUUUAGCAGUCGUUAACGAUGCUAUUUGUCGAGAAAGACCUUCAAUUGUCGCUUUGACUUCUUUAAUUUAUGAACUUGACUCGCCAAUGUGAACCUCAUUUACUCCCUUAAUUCUUUUAGUGUUCCUGAGCGAUCGACUCUGUUGUUGGGAAUUAUCCGCUUGUCGCUAGAAGAAUUCCCAAAUCUCUGAUGCACUUUUUGACAUUAGCUCUCCUCCACUUGUUGCCAUUAGCCAUUCUUGCACAUUCGGCGAUAAUCCCUCCAAAAAAUAUUGACAUUGGUGCCAUUUCUCGUACCCAUGAUGUGGACACUUCAAGAGUAGCCCAUUGAAUCGCUCAUAUGUUUCGAAAAACUACUCGUCCUCUCUCUGGGUAAACUCUGAGAUUUCCCUGCGAAUAACAUUGAUUUUAUGCACUGGGAAGUAUUUAUUCAAAAAUUUAGUUACCAUUUGUUCCUAUGAUGUAAUGCUAUUAGCAGACAAAGUAUUUUACCAUGAACGAGCUCUAUCCUUGAAAGAAAAUGGGAAUAAUCUAAGUUUAACAUCAUCGUUUGAAAAAUUCUCAUAUUUAAAAGUUUGACAAACAACAUGAAAAUCAUUCAGAUGAUUAUAUGGGUCCUCAUUUUCUAAGCCAUAGAAUGUUGGGAGACAAUUUAGCACACUAGGUUUUAGUUCAAAACUCCUAGCAGCUACAUUUGGGAAUCUUAUGCAUGAUGUGCUCAAAUUAGCUAAGGGACUGAAAAAGUCCUUAAAUGACCUCUCUGAUGGUGCUUGUUGUUGUUGCAAAUCCAUUUCACUUUUAUCCUUAAUUACAACGUGUUUGUGUGUGCGAAGUAUUUUUUCAAGUUCAAGGUCUAUAGGCUAAAGAUUAGGUAAUAAUGACCUUCGACCAUGCAUGCAAUGAAUACAAAAAAAUGAGAACAAAAUUAAUAAAAGUAAACAAAAAUGAGAGAUUACGGUACUAACCUUAUCACGCUGUUACAACCUUACUAUAAAAACACACUAAAAAAAAUACGUGAAAUAAAUUAACUAAAAAUAAAUUAAUAAGAUAAACAAAAAUUAUAAAAAAAUGAAUUGAAAAUUAAAUUACAGAAUUUUAAAGAAGAGAAAAAGAAAAGAAAUUCUUACCUCUAAACGUAGAUUCACUUUUUUUCUUUUUUUUUCAAAUAAGAAAAAUUACAAGAAAACAAUUAAAAGAAAUUAUUUAUAAAAAUUAAUUCUACGAAUUAAAAUAACUUACCUCCCCGGCAACGACGCCAAAAACUUGUUGUGCAAAUUUUAUUGAACUUGCAAGUGCACGAAUCUAUGGUAGUAUAGAUCAAUGGUGACGAGUGUCGAUCCCACGAGGAGGUGGAUUUUAAUUAAGUUUAGAAUUAAUUUUCUAAAUGGGUGGUUGGAUUUGUGGUGAAAGUAACUUAGAUUAUCCUAAAAUUUGAAUUAAAAUGGCGAGAAUAAAUUGAAGCGAAUUCUAUUGAAAUGCGGCACUUGGGUAUCUGGAUCCGUAUCAACAUGCACCAUGGGCUAAAUAUUCCUUAUUCGUGCCAAUUAAAUCAUGAUGGGGGUAUCCACACCUUAUGAACCAUACUCUAAUAAAUAUGGUGCUAAGGACUUAUCGUGCCAAAUAAUAAUAACCUUAUACUAGGGAGUCGGUGAAACCAGAGCGGUAUCUAGACAAUAUUAUUAUUAUUUGUCGACGAAAAGUUAAAACAUCCACAAAAAUUAAAGGGCAAGAGAAAAUAAAUUUACCAAAUAAAGCCCAUGGCACAUGUUGAGACUUCACCUUCAACCCAAACUUGAAAGAAAAUUAGCUACUCAUAAUUGAACUAGGGACAAAAUGUAAAUUUAUUAAAAUACGUAGAAAAUACAAGAUGGAGAAGUAAUUACAUAAAAUAGAGCCCAAAAAUGGAUUCAGAGAUCCAAAUUAGGGGGGGAAGGCCCUUUUUUUAUAGAUACAUUGAGUAAAUCAUGGCCAUCGGAUUAAAAACAGUUUGGACGCUCAGGAUUGUGCCACGUCAUCAGUCAGCAGUAAGCGGUUUGAACAGUGACACGGUUUGACCAAAAAGUUUGAACAGUCAACUGGCUUGAACAGUGACGCGGUUGGUUGAAAAUAAUCUUGUGUAUAUGCAUGUACUGUACGCGCGAUUUUUUGUCCACUAAUAUGCUGCAACGUCAUCGAUCAACAGUGCAUAAGAAUUUUCUCCAAUGGAAUCGUGACACCUCAUCAGUCAAUGCCACAUCAUCAGUCAAUGUCACGUCAUCGUUCUGUCUGUGUGAACAGUGUCGUGAACAGUAACAUAGACAGUACGGUAGAUGUGAAUAGUAUCAUUUUUCCUUUUAUACUCCUCCUAAGGUUUUUGUUGAGUGUUAGAAAAUGUAUAUUUAUAAAGGAGAAAAUCGUCAUUUUACACUUCAAGUUUUACUAAAACCCUUACUUUUAUGUAUUUAACCUUCUUGUGAUUUAAUUACGUGUGUUUUAUUUUAAUUAAGUAUUUUAUACAUUUUAGGGGCAUCAUAGUCAUUUCACAAUGAAUGAGAGAUCAGACGGCAAAAUGGACAUCACUUUUGAACUCAGGACGGUCGCAAACCUUAGGAGGAACAUAAAAGGAAAAAUGGCACUGUUCACAUGUACGGUACUAUUCACAUAUACGGUACUGUCUACGUUACUGUUCACGACACUGUUCACAUAGACGGAUCGAUGACGUGGCAUUGACCGAUGAUGUGGCAUUGACUGAUGAAGUGUCACGAUCUAGUUGGACUAAAAUUCUUAUGCACUAUUGAUCGAUGACGUGGCAGCAUAUCAGUGGACCAAAAAUCCCGCGUACGGUGCAUGCAUUACACAGGAUUAUUUUCAACCAAACCGCGUCACUGUUCAACCCGGGUCAAACUGUGUUACUGUUCAAACCGCGUGGUCAAACCGCGUACUGUUGACUGAUGACGUGGCGCAAUCCUGAGCAUCCGAAAUGUUUUUUAUUCGAUGGUUAUGAUUUACUCAAUGUAUCUAUAAAAAGGGGGCUUUCCAUCUUGUAUUUUCUACGUAUUUUAAUAAAUUCUCAUUUUGCCCCUAGUUCAAUUAUGAGUAGCUAAUUUUCUCUCAAGCUUGGGUUGAAGGUGAAGUCUCAACAUGUGUCAUGGGCUUUAUUUGGUAAAUUUAUUUUCUUUUUCCCUCUAAUUUUUGUGGAUAUUUUGACUUCUCGUCGACAAAUAAUAAUAAUCUUGUCUAGAUACCGUCUUGGUUUCACCGGCUCUCUAAUACAAGGUUAUUUUUAUUUGGCACGAUAAGCCCUUAGCACCAUAUUGAUUAGAGUGUGGUUCAUGAGGUGUGGAUUCCCCCCUCAUGAUUUAAUUGGUAUUAAUAAGGAAUAUUUAGCCCAUGAUGCAUGUUGAUACGGAUCUAGAUACCCAAGUACGUCGUUUUAAUAUAUUUCUAUUCAAUUUAUUCUCGCCGUUUAAAUUCUAAUUUUAGGAUAAUCCAAAUCAUUUUCACCACAAAUCCAACCACCCUCAUACAAAAUUAAUUCUAUAUAUAAUUAAAAUCCACCUCUUUGUGGGAUCGACACUCAUCACCAUUGAUUUAUUCUACAAUAGAUUCGUGCACUUGCGAGUUCAAUAAAAUUUGCACAACAAGUUUUUGGCGCCGUUGCCAGGGAGGUAAGUAAUUUUAAUUCAUAGAAUUAAUUUUUGUGAAUAAUUCCAUUUAAUUGUUUUCUUGUAUUUUUUUCUUUAAAAAAAGAAAAAAAAAAGUAAAUCUACAUUUAAAGGUUAGUAUUUCUUUUCUUUUCCUUUUCUUUAAAAUUCUGUAAUUUAUUUUUCAAUUUAUUUUUCUUUGUAAAUAUUUUUUUGUUUAUCUUAUUAAUUUAUUUUUAGUUAAUUUAUUUCACGUAUUUGUUUUUGUGUAUUUUUGUAGAAAGGUUUUAACAGCGUGAUAAGGUUAGUAACGUAAUUUCUCCUUCUUCUUUAUUUUUAUUUGUUUUGUUCCAUUUAUUUUUGUGUUUCUUGCAUGCAUGGUCGUAGGUCAUUAUUACCUAAUCUUGAACCUAUAGACCUUGAACUAGAAAAAAGCACUUCGCACACACAAGCACAUUAAAAAUAAAUUUGGAAUGGAUUUACAAGCACCACAGGAGAGGCCAUUUAAGGACUAUUUUAGUCCCUUAGCUAAUUUGAGUACAUUAUGUAUAAGAUACCCAAAUGUAGCUGCUAGGAGUUUUAAACUAAAACCUAGUGUGCUAAAUUGUCUCCCCACAUUCUAUGGCUUAGAAAAUGAGGACCCAUAUAAUCAUUUGAAUGAUUUUCAUGCUGUUUGUCAAACAUUUAGAUAUGAGAAUUUUUCAGAUGAUGAUGUUAAACUUAGACUAUUCCCAUUUUUUUUAAAGGAUAGAGCUCGUUCAUGGCUCAAUACAUUGCCUGCUAAUAGCAUCACAUCAUAGGAACAAAUGGUAGCAAAAUUUUUAAAUAAAUAUUUCCCAGUGCAUAAAACCAAUGCUAUUCGCAGGAAAAUCUCAGAGUUUACCCAAAGAGAAGACGAGCAGUUUUUCGAAACAUGGGAGCGAUUCAAUGGGCUACUCUUGAAGUGUCCACAUCAUGGGUACGAGAAAUGGCACCAAUGCCAAUCCUUUUAGGAGGGAUUAUUGCCAAAUGUGUAAGAAUGGCUAAUGGCAACAAGUGGAGGAGAGCUAAUGUCAAAAAGUGCAUCAGAGAUUUGGGAAUUCUUUCAGCGACAAGCGGAUAAUUCCUAACAACGGAGUCGAUCGCUAAGGAAUACUAAAAGAAUUAAAGGAGUGAAUGAGGUUCACAUUGGCGAGUCAACUUCGGGAAUCAAAAAAGUCAAGGAGAUGGUUGAAGGUCUCGCUCGACAAAUAGCAUCGUUAUCGACUACUAAAUCAACAGAGCCACAUGAUCAUGACUCAUACUCAGAUCAAGCCAAUGCCAUAGGUGUAAUGAGAAAACCAUCGAAUUACAACCCAUACUCCAACACAUAUUACCCUGGAUGGAGAGACCACCCCAAUUUUUCAUGGUCUCAAGGAUUCCAACAGAAUGAACCAGCAGCUCCACCUACACCAAUGCAACCAAUUCCUCAAGCCUCUCAACCACCAUUUAGACCAUACAAUCAGAACCAGAACUACUCUCAACCCAGACCAUGGGAGGAUUCAUUCCAGAAUCUCAAGAAUCUUACUCACUCCACGAUUGAGCAAUAGAACCGCACCAUUGAUGGACUACGAAAUGAGUUGAGAGCAGGCUUCAACUCACAAGCCCAAUCAGUUUCAAGCCUCGAGAAGAUGGUGGGACAACUUGCUUUUUCAGUUCAGACCUUGGCAAUGACUGUUGAGAAAGGUAAGUUUCCAAGUCAACCAGUGCCUAAUCCUAAAGGAGUGCAUAAAGCAAGUACCAGUUCACCACAACAGUAUGGAGAGGUCAAAGCAGUCAUGACCUUGCGAAAAGAAAAAGAAGUCGACAACAAAGUGGAGAUGCCGGUAACAAAAGAAAAUCAAAUUGUACCUGUGAAUGUUGAGGACUCACCAUCGGAAGAGAAAGAAGAAACCAACCCACGAGAAUAUGUUCCCAAAGCUCCAUCUCCUCAGAGGUUAGAUAAAGGAAAGAAGGGAAAAUCCACAGGUGAGAUUCUUGAAAUCUUCAAACAAGUAAGUGUUAACAUCCCUUUACUUGAUGCUAUAAAGCAAGUUCCAUCUUUCGCCAAGUUUCUUAAAGACCUUUGUACUAAAAAGAGAAAUAUUCAUGUUCAAAAGAAGACAUUUUUAACAGAAAAUGUCAGUUCUAUACUCCAACAUAAAAUUCCUCUAAAAUGCAAAGACCCAGGCUCCCCCACUAUCUCAUGUAGUACAGGGAACCACAUAAUUGAGAAUGCUUUAUUGGAUUUAGGAGCUAGUGUAAAUUUGUUGCCUUACUCUGUAUUCGUGAACCUUGGAUUGGGAGAAUUACACCCAACUCCAGUGGUGUUGCAGCUUGCAGAUCGGUCCACAAAAAUACCUCGUGGUAUUGUGAAGGACGUGCUUAUCCAGGUAGAGAAGUUUUAUUUUUCUGUUGAUUUCAUUGUAAUUGACACUCAACCAAUACAGGAUUCAAGGAAGCACAUCCCCAUUAUUCUAGGCCGACCUUUCUUGGCAACUGCCGAUGCUCACAUUCAAUGCAGAACUGGAAAUAUGCAGUUGUCCUUUGGCAACAUGACUAUGGAGCUGAACAUUUUCAACAUUGCCAAACAACCUCACAAUGCAGAUGAUGGAAUUGUUGAUGUGGAUUUAAUUGAAGCAUUAGUUGAUGACACUUUUCUUUCAAACCUUAGUGAUGAUCAUUUACAAACAUGUUUAACUCACUUUGGUUUUGAUUUUGAUAUUGACAGAUCGGUCGAUGAGGUCAACGCUCUACUUGACUCAGCACCAUCCAUGGACACUAAUAAAUGGAAGUCAAGAGUUGAACAACUAGCACCAUCAGAGAAGAAACUCAUCCCAUCAUCAGAAUCACCACCGAAACUCGAGCUCAAACCAUUGCCCAACACUUUGGAAUAUGCAUUUUUGGAAUAAGAAAGUAAUCUGCCGGUAAUCAUCUCAUCAUCCCUAAAUGACGAACAAAAAGGUAAGUUGUUGGAUAUUUUAAAAUAGCACAAAGGAGCAUUAGGAUGGACCAUAGUAGACAUAAAAGGUAUAAACCCAGUAGACUGCAUGCAUUACAUUCACCUUGAUGAAAAUGCUAAACCUACUAGGGAAAUGCAACGUCGGUUAAAUCCUAAUAUGAAAGAAGUUGUUAGAACUGAAGUUCUUAAGCUAUUAGAUGCAGGUAUCAUUUACCCCAUUUCUGAUAGUUCUUGGGUCAGUCCUGUACAAGUUGUCCCCAAAAAGUCAGGAGUCACAGUAGUUACGAAUGCUGAUAAUGAAUUGAUACCCACUAGAGUGACUACAAGAUGGCGUGUUUGCAUUGAUUAUAGAAAGUUGAAUUCUGUCACACGUAAAGACCAUUUUCCUUUACCAUUUAUCGAUUAAAUGCUUGAUAGAUUAGCAGGCCAUGAAUUUUAUUGCUUUCUAGAUGGCUACUCAGGAUAUAAUCAGAUUCCCAUAGCACCAAAAGAUCAAGAGAAAACCACUUUCACUUGCCCUUUUGGCACUUUUGCAUAUAGAAGAAUGUCAUUUGGAUUAUGUAAUGCACCUGAUACAUUUCAACGAUGCAUGUUGAGCAUUUUUUCUAAUAUGGUUGAACGAUUCCUUGAAGUCUUUAUGGAUGACUUUUCUAUUUUUGGUGAUUCAUUUGAUCAAUGUUUACAUCAUCUAACACUAGUUCUGCAGAGAUGUAUCGAGAAGAACUUAGUCUUAAAUUGGGAGAAGUGCCAUUUUAUGGUAAAACAAGGUAUUGUUCUCGGUCACAUCAUUUCGAGCAAAGGUAUUGAGGUUGACAAAGCCAAGGUGGAUCUCAUUUAUAAUUUUCCUUCACCCAAAACAGUCAGAGAAGUAAGAUCUUUCCUUGGGCAUGUUGGUUUUUAUAGACGUUUCAUUAAACAUUUUAGCAAAGUUUCUAGACCUUUAUGCAAUCUACUUGCUAAGGAUGUACCUUUUAUCUUUAAUGAAUCAUGUUUUAUGGCUUUUGAAAAAUUAAAGCAAUUGUUGACAUCAUCACCCAUCAUUCAACCCCCAAAUUGGAGCUUACCAUUCGAGCUCAUGUAUGAUGCACCUGAUUAUGCAGUAGGAGCAGUAUUAGGACAAAGAGUUGAUCGAAUUCCCCAUGUUAUUUACUAUGCUAGUAUGACAUUGAAUGAUGCACAGUUGAACUAUUCAACUACUGAAAAAGAAAUGCUAGCAGUAGUGUUUGCAUUAGAGAAAUUUCGAUCUAAUUUUAUUGGUUGUAAAAUAAUUGUGUUCACAGAUCAUGCUGCUCUUAAAUAUCUUCUCACAAAGAAAGAUGCAAAAGCUAGACUAAUUCGUUGGGUGUUACUUUUGCAGGAGUUCGAAGUAAGAAAUGCACAGAAAAUGUUGUGGCAGACUACUCUCUCGUCUCCAUUUUGACACAAUUACAGAGCCAUUAACAUUGAAUGAGUCAUUUCCAGAUGAACAAUUAAUGAGUGUGGAAGUAUUACCUUGGUAUGCUGAUAUAGUUAAUUAUCUUGUCACAGGUCAACUUCCAGAGCAUUGGACCAAGCAAGAUAAAGCCAAAUUUUUUACAGAAAUAAAAAAUUUCUUUUGGGAUGACUCGUAUUUGUUCAAAUAUUGUGCAGAUCAAAUUGUUAGACGAUGCGUCCCAGAAAGAGAAAUUCAGAAUAUUCUUUCAUUCUGCCAUGAACAAGCUUGUGGAGGCCAUUUCAGUGCUAAGAAAACAGCGACUAAAGUUUUACAAUGUGGUUUCUAUUGGCCAACUAUAUUUCGAGACGCUUACACUUUCUGUUCUUCAUGUGAUAGGUGUCAACGAAUGGGAAGCAUUACGCGAAGGAAUAUGAUGCCACUAACUCCAAUUUUAGUGGUUGAGAUUUUUGACGUAUGGGGUAUCGACUUCAUGGGACCCUUUCUCCCUUCUUUUGGCCAUCAAUACAUAUUGGUUGCUGUUGACUACAUAUCGAAAUGGGUAGAAGCAAUUCCAUGCAGAACCAAUUAUCACAAGGUGGUGAUAAGAUUUUUAAAAAGCAACAUUGUUUCGCGCUUUGGAUUCCCUCGAGCAAUAAUCAGUGAUGGUGGUGCCCACUUUUGUAACAAAGCAUUCAAAGCUCUUUUGACAAAGUAUUUCAUCACUCACAAAGUGGCGACCCCAUAUCAUCUGCAAACCAGUGGCCAAGUUGAGAUCUCCAAUCGAGAAAUAAAGCACAUAUUAGAAAAGACGGUGAAGCCAGACAAAAAAGAUUGGUCAUUAAGACUUGAUGAUGCAUUAUGGGCAUAUAGAACGGCUUUCAAGACUCCGAUUGGGAUGUCACCCUACAGGCUAGUGUAUGGAAAAACUUGCCACAUACCUGUAGAACUCGAGCAUCGUGCAUAUUGGGCCAUCAAGAAAUUCAACUUUGACAUGCAGCAACCUAGCUCAGAAAGAAGAUUACAACUGGCAGAAUUUGAAGAAAUUCACAAUGAUGCAUACGAAAAUGCCAAGAUUUACAAGCAACGAAUAAAAGUCUUCCAUGACAAGCAAAUUAUGAGAAAAUCGUUCACUCCAGGCCAGAAAGUGCUUUUAUUCAAUUCUCGUUUGCACCUAUUCCCAGGUAAGUUACGCUCUCGAUGGUCUGGUCCCUUUAUUGUUCAUACUGUUUUUCCACAUGGGGCAAUUGAAAUUAAGGACCCAAAGAACGGUGUCACAUUUAAAGUUAAUGGUCAAAGAUUAAAGCCAUAUCUAGAGUACCAACCACAUGGGGAGGACAUCGAAAUAAAUUUGAGUGACCCACCAUAUUUGAAUUGAGUUUUUCUUUCUUUUCGGUGAUUUGAUUUUUUUUCUUUUUAUUAUUCUUUUGCUAAUUGAAAUUGUUUUUGCAUAAGUGUGUUUGUUUAACCAUUAAGUUUUCUCUUAUCAUUGUUAAUCAUGAGUGUCAUAGCUAAACAGUUCCUCCUGAACAUUCUUAAACCACUUCAACAUGUAAAAUCUCAUCUCAAAAGACAGAUUUGAUUUUGUAAGACACAUCGUAUUUGGGAUAAUCCAAAUCAUUUUCACCACAAAUCCAACCACCCUCAUACAAAAUUAAUUCUAUAUAUAAUUAAAAUCCACCUCCUUGUGGGAUCGACACUUGCGAGUUCAAUCAAAUUUGCACAACAGUUUUCGACUGUCCUGAGUUCAAAAGUGAUGUCCAUUUUGCCGUCUGAUCUCUCAUUCAUUGUGAAAUGACCAUGACACCCCUAAAAUGCAUAGAAUACUUAAUUAAAAUAAAAUACACAUAAUUAAAUUACAAGAGACUAAAAUACAUAAAAGUAGAAGUGUUAGUAAAACUUGAAGUGUAAAAUGACGAUUUUCUCCUUUAUAAAUAUACAUUUUCUAACACUUAAUACUAAUGACAUGCUCUUAUAUGAUAUGAAGCAUCAAAAAAAGAAGAAACAAAUUCUCAAACUGGGUGGCCAAAAGGACUUGAGGUAAUGAAUUAAGUCUUUUGAGCAAGUUGGGGGAUUCCUGCUACUGUGUGGAUUGAAUAGAAAAUUAGCGGCAAGUGAAUAACAAGUCAUUUGAUUUACGAUUCAUUUAUUCUCCAAUUAGUAUAAUUCUUCUUUACACAUGAUUAUUGUAAUCUCCUCUUUAGAUGUGAUUUGUUUGUACUCAGUUUUGAUUAAUGAAACAAUGUGAAUUUUUCCUGCUCAUCUGGUAGUUUGUUCUUAACAAUCCAAUUCCUUUUUUUUUUCUUUACUCUAUUCUUUAUCAAUCUUGAUUCCAAAUCAAUCUUGAUUGAUUAAAGAUUGAAGUAUUGAGUUAGUUCUUGUAAUUAGCCACUACAAAUUACAACAAGUGGUAUGAUAGCUUUGGUAAUUUUUGGGUAUGUCACUUCUAAAGCCAGAGAUUGAGAAAUUCACCAUUGGUGGUGAUUUCUCACUCUGGAAGAUGAAGAUCAGACCCUGAUGCCACUACUAAUUUAUCAGGGUCUUGAGUCAACUCUGGGUAAUGAAGAUCCUAAUAAAGCUACAAGUUCCAUGCCUGAUGAAAAGAAGUAGCACAUCCAGAACAUAGCCCAUAUUACCUUGAUUUUGAGUCUUAGUGGCUCAAUCUUAAGGGAAAUCUUUGAAGAAAAAUUGAUCUAAGGAUAUGGAAUAAGGUGGAGGCACUAUGCAUGAAGAAGUCUUUGGCUUACAGGCUUUAAUUGAAGAAAAAGUUUUAUACUUUUCAAUAAAAUAAGGCGUUUUUAUCCAAGAACACAUUGAUACUUUCAAUAAGAUCAUCCUUAAUCUUAAAGGGUUUGAAAAUGUGAAAAUUAUAGAUGAAAAUAAAGCAUUUUUCUUGCUCAGUUCAUUGCCACAAUCCUAUGAAGGUUUUGUAGAUACAAUGUUGUAUAGAAGAGCAACAUUAACUUUAGAAGAUGUUAAGGCAUCAUUGAGCUCAAAGGAGAUUCAGAGAAAUAAUGGGCAUGAAAUCAGUAAUGGAGAAGGGCUGAUUGCCAGAACUAGAAAGAAAAAGGAACAAAAGAAUAAAAAUCAAGAAAAGGGCAAAAGAAAGAGCCAAAAAGUCGAUAAGAAGAAAAAAAGAAAAAGAAGUGUUUUUACUAUAGCAAAGAAGGUCACUAUAUCAGAGACUAUGCAGAGUAAAAGAAAAUGGAGCAUAAAAAAAAAUCAGGAGAUGCAGUUGUGGCUUUAGAUGACUCUUCAUAUGAUGGUUGUCACGGUGUUGAUCUGUUAAUAUCAUCAAAAGGCAAACUUAGAAGAUCAAUGGGUGUUAAAUUCCGGCUGUUCAUUUUACAUUUGCCCAAUAAGUGUCUAUUGAUGGUGGUAGAGUUCUUAUAGUAAAUAAUAAUAAGUGCAAAAUUAUUGAAAUAGGAUCUGUUAAGAUAAGGAUGUUGGAUGGGGUCUUUAAAACUUUACAUGGUGUAAGACAUGCCCUUGGAUUAAAGAGAAAUUUAAUCUCUUUAGGCAUGUUGGAUAGCUCUGAAUAUUCAUUUAAGUCUAAUAAUGGUGGCAUAGAGUGACUAAAGGGGAUUCUAUUAUGAUGAAAGGUGAAAAGAGGAACGAGUUGUAAGUGUUAGUUGGUUUUUUCAUUCUUGCAAGUGUUGUAAUAACAGUAGAGUUUGACAAGAUAAGUAGUCUUGAGUUUUGUGAGAAUUGUGUCUUUGGGAAGGCACAUAGAGCCAAGUUUCCAAAAGGGGCAUAUAGAUCUAAGUGUCUUAAAAUUUAUUCAAUCUGAUUUGUGAGGGAUAGCUCAAGUGCCAUCUUUGUCAAGGGUAGAUAUUUUAUGACCUUAUUGAUGAUUGCACAAGAAAAGUGUGGCUUUAUAUUCUGAAAUCCAAAGAUCAGGCCUUAAAGAAAUUUAAGGUUUGAAAAACAUUGGUGGAAAAUAAAAGUGGAAGGAAAUUGAAGGCCUUAAGAAUUGAUAAUGGCAUAGAGUUCUGCAACAAGGAGUUUGAAGACUACCAUCAGAAGCAUAUAAUUUUAAGGCAUAAAACUGUCAAAUUAACUCCUCAGCAAAAUGGUUUAGCAGAAACAUUGAAUAAGACCCUUGUUGAUAGAACCAAGUAUAUGUUGAUUAAUUCCAAAAUUCUAAGAAGUUUCCAGGCAGAGGCUUGAGUACAGCUUGUUAUCUAGUCAACAAGAGUCCUUCAUCAGCCAUUAGUUUCAAAACACCUGAGGAAAUGUGGUCAGGGAGGCCUGUAAAAUAUGAUAAUUUAGAAUCUUUGGUUGUCCUGCUUAUGCACAUGUAAAUCAAGGCAAGCUUGAACCAAGAGACUUGAAAGGAUUUUUUGUUGGCUAUGCUGAUGGUGUCAAAGGAUAUAGAAUAUGGUGUGAACAACAUGGAAAAUGCAUUAUUAGUAGAAAUGUUAUUUUCAAUGAAGCAGCUAUGGUUAAGGCUAGAAAGGAAAUAAUAGAAGUUGAUAUGCAUGUUGAAGGAGAUGCGAAUUAACCAACUGAGUCCUCUAAGCUUAAGGUGGAGUUUCUUAGAGCUAAGGAUGAGGAAAUAGAUACAUCAAAUGCUGAAACUGGUCCAUUUGAUGAAAUUAAAGCUGCUGAAACACAAGAAACACAACAAAUUAACAUACAGAGCUAUCAACUAGCUAGGGACAUAAGCAGAAGGCAAACCAGGUCACCUGUGAGGUAUGGUUAUACAGAUUUGAUUGCCUAUGCACUGAUGAGUGCAAAAGAAAUGUCAAUUGAGGAGCCUUUUAGCUAUUCUAAGGCCAUUGAAAGUGAGAACUGUGACAAAUGGAUUGAGGCAAUGAGAAAGGAGAUGGAUUCUUUACAGAGAAAUCAGAUGUGGACACUUGUUCCAAAUCCAAGUGACAAGAAGCUGGUUAACUGUAAGUGGAUCUUUAAGAAAAAGAAUGGCAUCCCUAGAGUUGAACCUUCAAAAUUCAAGGUAAGGCUUAUGGCCGGAGGUUUUAUAUAGAGAAAGAGUGUAGAUUUCAACGAAAUCUUCUCCCCUAUUGUAAAACAUGGCUCUAUUAGAAUUCUUUUAACUAUGGCAACAUUGCUUGUAUAGAGCUUAAGCAAAUAGAUGUUAAAACUGAUUUCCUAAAUGGGAAGCUUGAAAAGCAAAUUUUAAUGACUCAUCCUGAAGGUUUUGCAAAGAUAGGGAAAGAAAAUCAUGUUUAUUUGCUGCAUUAAUCACUAUAUGGGCUAAAGCAAUUUCCUAGAGAGUGGUACAAAAGAUUUGAUGAGUUCAUAGUAACUAAUGGUUACCACAUGAGUAGGUAUAAUAACUUUUUUUACUAUGGUGGCUCAGAUUGAGGCAGAGUGAUAUAUUUGCUUUCUUAUGUAGAUGAUAUAUUGAUUGCAAGCAGACACAAAACUGAGAUUGAAAAGCUUAAGAAACUGAUGAACCAUAAAUUUGAGAUGAAUGAUAUUGCUAGUGCCAAAACGAUUCAUAGGAUGGAGAUCACAAGGAAUAAAGUGUCUAGUGUUCUUUUCUUGAGUUAAGAGAUGUAUGUUAAUAAAGGUGUUAGAGAGGUUUUAUUAUGCAAUAGUGCAAACCUGUUCUGACUUCUCUUGGCUCUCAGUUCAAGUUGACUGUGUCUCAAGCAUCAGAUGUUGUCAAAGAUAAGUUCAGGAUGAAAGAAAUACCAUAUGCACGGGCCGUGGGGAGCCUUAUAUAUGCAAUUGUGUGUAUCAGACCUGAUAUAACUUAUUCAAUGGGUAUAGUCAGUAGAUCUUAAGCUUUCCAAGUAAGAUCCAUUGGGAUGCUGUCAAAUAGAUAUUAAGGUAUCUUAGGGGUACCUCAAACCAUGGCUUACUGUUUGGAAGAUCAAGUUAAGGUGUGAGUGAAGUGGCGGGGUAUGUAGGCUCUGACUUUGGUAGAGACUUCGACAAAAGGAAGUCAACCACUAGAUAUUUGUUCAUGCUGAACAAUUAUAUAAUUAGUUGGAAAUCAUCUUUAAAGUUUGUGGUAGCUCUAUAUUCUAUAUAAGCUAAGUUUGUAGCAGUCACAGAAGCAACCAAGGAGUCUAUGUGGCUUAAAAGUAUCCUCAAUGAACUUUGGUUAAAUAAAAAAUUAGUUCAAAUUUUCUGUGAUAUUCAAAAUGCUAUACAGUAGGCUAAGAAUCAAAUGUAUCAUGAGAGGACUAAGCAUAUAGAUGUGAAGCUACAAUUUAUUAGAGAUAAAGUUGCAAAAGGGACUAUGGUGAUAUCUAAGAUUCAUAUAGAUGUAAACCCAACGGACAUGCUUACUAACGUUCUUCCAACAGCUAAGUUUGAGUUAUGUGUGAACGUGGUGGGCAUCCUGCCUAAACCAAACUGAAUUCAUGAGUGGACCGCAAUACUUGAAGGUUUUUUGAAGCACCUUUUAUGAUGUGCAAUCAAUUGAAUCAGAUUUGCAAGGUGGAGAGUGUGGAGAUGUAGUUAACUGAUUUUGGGGACUAAAGUGAAAUUGAAUGAGAGUUUUAUGGGUCAUUAUGUAUAUUGCACUCAGUUGGAGGGUGCUUAUGAAAAUUUCUGCUGACAUGGCCUAGGUUGUUAAACUUUGUUACAUGGUUUCUACAAAUGUUCCAAAAUGGAGAUGAUGGCUUGUAGCAUAUGAUAUAUAAGCCUUCUCUCACUCAUUUCUUUUUCAAUUAGAAUAAUUCUUCUUUACACGUGAUUCUUGUAACUCUUCAGAUGUGAUAUGUUUGUACUCAGUUUUGAUUAAUGAAAAAGUGUGCAUUUUUUCUUCAAAUCUGGUAACUUGUUCUUUAUAAUCCAAUUCUUUUUCUGUUCUUUACUCUGUUUUUCAUCAAUCUUGAUUCCAAAUCGAUAAAAGAAACAACUAAUGAUCAAAAUCAUUAACAUUCCCUCCAAGGCAUGUGUAGGUAUAGUAACUUCUUGAUCAAACAAUUUUCACUUGCAAGCCUAGGGAAAGAGAAAAUGAAGCAUCUGAAAUAGCAUGCAUUUAGUGUUUGCCAUUACAAGCAUGAUGAAACUGAGCUCUUUGACAUUUUUUCAAUUUCUUAAUUAAAUUCUAAACAGCUUAAUUUGAACUAAAAUGGAUGUGUAGGAAUUAGAAAGGCAAGGCUUCUAUUUAUAUAAAGGAAUAUUGAGAAAUGUAUUGUAGUGACUUUAAUGUAAUUAAAAAGAAUCCAAAAUGAAGCUUAAAUAAAUUACACUGAGUUUGUUUGAAUAAACUAUUGCUUUUAAUAUCUUGAUGCAUUCAGAAGGUAAUUUCAGCAUAUAUUUAAUUAAUUUUAUCAUUUCUUAUUAUUUUGUUUAGUUUAUUAUUAGAUUUUUUUCUCUUUAUAUCAAUCGUCAGGCUAUUCUUUUUAAUAGAUAAAGAUAUUUUUAUAAAUGACGUUCUCCAAUGAAAUUAACCACAUCCUAUAUUUUAUACAAGCCGUUGGCGCAAUAUAAUGCUAGAUAUUUCCGUGGAUAUGCAAUAAAGCCUUUAUAAAUUAAUAAUCUCAAAAUCAUGCAAUAUCUAUUAAUAUAAAGAGAUAUUGAUAUUAAUUAUGAAACAACUCGCCCGAAACCACACGAGCCAAAUGUACUUGAUAUUCUAUAACAUAAUUGACAAUAUUCCAUUUAAUAAGUAUUAUGCCGUAUCUCUCCCCUAUGGAUGUAAUAUUUCCAACCUACAAUUUAUAAAACAAACACUCCUAAAAUAGUUCAAUACACAACCAACCUCCACAUUCAACUUCCCUAAUCAAAAUACCAGUUAUGAUCUGAGCAUUCGAAUGUCAAAAUAGAAUAGGUUAUACUUAAUCACAAAUUAUAACAAAAUUAUACAAUCUAAAAUAUCCUAACAAAAAUAUCUACAACUCCGAACACCAUCACGUGGCCAUAUUUCUAAAAUAACUAUCGUUGCUGGGCCGACUGCUGUAUUUGAGUGAUUAAACUCACUUAAUGAUAAAUUAAAUCAGUUGUUUCUAAAUGAAAAUAUGUAUUCUUUUAUUUAUUUGCAAUGGCUACUUUGGCUUUAAUUUAAUAUAUGUUUUUGAAAUUUAGAUAUUUCAUUAUUUUUGUUAUAUAACUAAAUAAUAUAGUAUUUAUACUUGAUUUAUGACUUAAAAAUGAUAAUAUGUUAGUUUGUUAAUUUUUAUGCAGCUAGUAUGAUAAGAAACAAUUGUUGAUGAGAUAAUAGUGAAAGCAGAGAUAACAACAAGAUUAAUCAUUUAAUGAUGCAAAAUAUGGGCUUCAUCAUGUUGGCUCCUGCAAAUUUAAGACCUAGAUGUGGUUACCACUAAGAAUAACAAUGUUGUCAGUUUCAGCUUUUCUUUUCCUGUCAUUAUGUUGUAAUGCUCUUAAAAUGUUAUGAAUUAAACAAAUACAAGUUCCUAAUCACACGCUCUUAUUAUAUAGGAAGCAUCAUAAAAAGACGAAAUAAAUUCUCAAAUUGGGUGGUCAAAAAGACUUAAGGCAAUGAAUUAAGUCUUUUGAUCAAGUUUGGGGGCUUGCUGUGUGGAUUAAAUAGAGAAGUAGAAACAAGUGGAUAACAAGUCAAAUGAAGCCAAUGACUAAUGCUUCUUUAAUUUUGUCAUCGUAUUAGGGGACUUGCAGGUAAACUUUUAGCUAGCCUGCUGAUGAAGCUUAAAAAUGACGAAGAUUUUUAGUUUCAUCAUCAUGGCUUUGCUUGUAGUGGCAAACACUAAAGCCACACCUAUUUCAGCAUGUUGCACUCGCCAAGAAUCGAACCCAAAUGCUUUAUUUUCCUUUAAUCCUACAGCAUCACCUGACAUUAUUGAUUGCUCAGGGCUUACAAGGGAAGAGUGUUUGAUCGAGAAGUUAAAAAAAGGCUCUCAAAAACUAUAUUCCCAAGAGGAUGCAAAUGAAUUUGAUAAUUAGUUAUUCCUUUUAUCUUCAAUGAGUGCUUUUGCAAUAAUGAGCAAUUGCCGUGGAAUUAAAACUGUGUUUUAGUAAAAGAAGAAAUUAAUUCAUUAUGAGUACGCAAUAUUAUGUCAUGUGUUUUUUGUACGUGCAUCUAGUGCUAUUAACUCGUACAAAUUCAAGACCCAGAUGUGGUUAGCACGAAGAAUUACAUGAAGAAUUAAUUAGUACAAGGAAUCUUCAUCAAGUAGUUAGUAUUCAACUUUUCUUGCUUUGUCUCUCUUCUGUAAUGCUUUUGAGAUGAAAAAUACAAGCUCUAAUUCGCACAUUCUUAUUAGAUAAGAAGCACUAUAAAAAGAAGAAACAAAUUCUCAAAGUGGGCAACUAAAACGACUUGAGAAUAUGAAUAAACUCUUUGGACAAGAAGGGGAUUGAACACCGCUGUGUGGAUUGAAUAGAGAAGUAAAAGUAAAGAGAUAAUGAGUCCAAUGAAGCUAGCAGUUAAUGUUCCUGUACCUUGGUCAUAGUAAUGGGGACUUGGACGCAAACUAGUAACUAGCUUGCUAAUGAAUUCCUCUUUUUGCGGACUUGAGCAAUUGCCAAGGUAGCCAAUAUGCUUGGUGUGUGCAACAUUGUAAAAAUUGAUAUGCUUGUUGAAAGCGGAUUGAAUUAAUGGUAAUAAAGAUAGACGAUGGUUGUGGUGGUGAUGAGAGAGAGAAAAAAACUUAAACAGGUUUAAUUUAAAAACAAAUGGGAUUAAUCGGAAGGUGGGAUCAAAUACUGCUACUCUUUUUUUUUUUUUGGCCAGAAAUAACAUUGCUAGGCCAAGACCCAUGAGCCUUAGAUUUUUUUUUCUUUCUUAAUUGAUUGAGUGACAAAUUAAUAAACUAGAAGAAGCUUGCAAGGCUCUAAUGCUCAGUAUGAUACCAAUUAGAUUUAAUGAUGUUUCAAUUUCUAUUUGUCAAAGAAUAUAGUUGUGUAACAUAAUUAACAUUAUGUCAAAAAUUUUGAAACAAACUUUUUCAACAUCGAAAUUAGAUCUGCAAAAAAUUGUACCAAGCCAUGCUUGGGUAGCCAAUUCUCUAAACAUCUUUAAUAACAACAUUCUUAAUAAAUUAGUUAGUAAGGUAUGUAGAAUACAUGGAUUGGCUAAGAUUCUAUGAUAAUUUAUCUAAUCAAUCCAUUCGUUCAACAUGAGUUGCCAAUUGAAUUUUUAAUUUAAUUUGUGGGUAAGUGUUGUUGCAAGUGUUUAUGGUUGAAAAAUUGUUGCAUCUCCAAAUAGGUCAUCAAAAUAUUAUUUAUUCGGCAAUCCUGCAUCUAUAACAAGAGUUGAUGAAUCAAGAUUGAUUGAUAUAGACAUAUCAAUGGAGCAAACACGAUUCAGAAAUAAUAUCAAACAUAUUGUUAUAUUAAUCAAGGUAAACUUUAAUUCAUCCCCCUCCGAACAACAAUCUUCAAUUUACCCUUCAAAAGUAUGAAAGCCUUGAUCUGCACCAAUUUUUGUUCAAAAGCCAAGUUUAUGAACUUUUAUUUGUUUUUGUAGUAGUAAAUAGGGGUGAAUUGAUUUUUUUCACAUUUUUUUGUGGUAAAUUAAAGAUUCUUGACGCAAAAGUUGAAUUUACCCAUAAAUUAAAUCAGAUAGUCUAGUAAUAUAAGAUUUAGAAAAAAUUAAAUUUUGAUAAAAAUAAGAUCCAUAUAGCCUCACCCUAAAAGAAAAUAGAUUGAAAAUUUAAAUAUUACGUAUGGUACUAACAUUAUAAUUAUGAUCACUUGAUCAACAUUAGCGUUUCAACUAAUUUCUCUCUCAUAGAUUGAUUCAAUGAUAUGUAUAAAACAAAGCACACCAAAAAAACACACAAAAAACACAUGACAAAACAUUAAGUAAUCAUAAUGGAUUAAUUUCUUCUUUUAUUAAAACAUAGUUUUAAUUUCACCACAAUUAAUCAUUAUCGCAAAAGCACUGAAAAAGAUAAAAGAAACAACUGAUUAUAAAAAUCAUUUACAUUCCCCCAAGGGCAUGGGUAGAUAUGGUAACUUCUCGAUCAAACAAUUUUUGCUUGUAAGCCUAGAGAAAUGGAAAAUGAAGCAUCUGGGUUAGCAUGCUUUUAGUGUUUGCCACUACAAGCAUGAUGAAAUAGAACUCUUUGACAUAUUUUCACUUUCUUCAGUGAAUUCUUAACAGCCUAAUGUGAAUUAAAAUUGAUGUGUAGGAAUUAGAAAGGCAUGAGCCUCUAUUUAUAUAAAGGAAUAUUGAGAAAUAUGCUGCAGUGCCUUAAUGUAAUUGAAAAGAUUACAAAAUUAAGCUUAAAUAACGUAUGUUGCAUAGGUUUUAAUAAACUAUUGAUUUUAAUUUCUUGUCGCAUAAUGAAGGUAAUUUCAACAUAUAUUUAAUUAAUUUGAUCAUUUUUUAUUAUUUUGUUUAGUUUAUUAUUAAAUUUUCUUCUCUUUAUAUCAAUCGUCAAGCUAUUCUUUUUAAUAUGUAAAGAUAUUUCUAGAACGAUGUCUUCGAAUGAAAUUAACCAUAUCCUAUUUUUUAGGCAGACCAUUAGUGUAAUACAAUGCUAGAUAUUUGUAUGGAUACACAAUAAAGCCUCUAUAAAUUAAUAUCAGAAUCAUACAAUUUCUAUUAAUAUAAAGAGAUACUGAUAUUAAUUAAUCUAUAAGUUAAUAAUCUUUUAAUUUAUAGAGUGUAUAUACAAUUAAGUGAACAUAUAUUUAAUCAACAAGAUAAUUCGUAGUAUUUUACCAACAUAGCCAAUUCAAAAUUAAUUAAUCCCCUAAAUAUAGAUUACAAUUAACAAAAAAAAAAGAGAAUUUUUGUUGUUUUGAAUUCAGCAGGAAUAAGUAAUAUCAGAGAUGGGAUCCCACUAUAUUUAGAUUUGAAGAAAACAAAUAAUAAUCGAGUCAUGUUUUAUUUAAUAACAUAUUAUAACAAUUAUGUUUGUAAACCUAGCAAAUUAUUAUUUUAUAGUAAGAAUGUGACCAUACAAUUAUAAAACAUAAUCUCUUAUACAAUUUAUUGAUUGAUUAAUAUCAAUAUCGCUUCAAAAUUAAUAGAUGUUGUAGGAUUUCUUUAUUAUUAAUUUAUAGAAGUAUUACUGUAUAUCCAUGCAAACAUAUAGGAUUGAUUGUGUCACUGGCUUGCUUAAAAUAGGAUGUGGUUACUUUCAUUGGAGGGCGUGGCUUGUAGAAAUCUCUUUACAUAUUUAAAAAAUAGCCUGACGAUUGAUAUAAUAAGAAAGAAUCUAAUAAUAAACUAAACAAAAUAAUAACACUAAAAACGAUCAAAUUAAUUUAAUGUAUGUUAAAAUUGUCGUCGUAAUGCAACAUAAUAUUAGAGUCAAUAGUUAAUUUAAACAAACACAACAUAAUUUAUUUAAUCCUCAUUUAUGGAAUCUUUCAAUUCCAUUAAAGUCACUGCAACACGUUUCUCAAUAUUCAUUCAUAUAAAUAGAGACUUAUGCUGCCUUGAUUGAUGUAGAUCCCUUAUACUUCUAAUUAAGUUAUUGAUAAUUCACCUAAGAAAUAGAAAUAUGUCGAAGAGCCUUAGUUUCAUCAUCUUGGCUUUACUCGUAGUGGCAAACACUGAAAGUAGACUUAUUUUAGCCAAUCAUAUUGGCCAAGGAUCUACCGCAGAUGCAUCAUUUUCUAGUAAACCUACAGCAUCACCAGACAUUGUUGAUUGCUCAGGGAUUACAAGGGAAGAGUGUUUGAUUGCGAAGCUAAAGAAAGCUCUCGAAGACUAUAUCUAUCAUUGUCCCCCGGGGGGAUGCAAAUGAUUUUGAUAAUAAAUUAUUUCUUUUAUCUUUUAUGAGUGCUUUUGCAACAAUGAUCAAGUGUAGUGAAAUUGAAACUAUAUCUUAAUAAAAAAAAGAAACUAAUCCAUUAUGAGUGUGCAAUGUUAUGAUAUGUGCCUUUUGUGCGUGCAUCUGACGCUAUUUUGUUGUAUACAAAUCGUUAACUCAAUCUAUG